rnacentral:lncRNA from 1 species
UGGCAAUUGAAACAUCUUCCAGAACUGCGAGUAUUAUUAUAUCAUGAAGGUCCCACGCAUAAUUUUAGCCUCCAAAAUCUUACCCAUUUAAGAGUGGACGGGUGCACUAUGCUGAGGCGUCUCUUCUCAUCAACACUUGCUCGAAAUCUGUCGCAAUUGAAGUUGUUAGGUAUUGUUAACUGCUUGGAAUUAGAGCAAAUCAUUGAUGAGGAUGAGGAUGAGGAUCAUCUCCAACCUGUAUGUUUCCCAAAACUCACAAUGAUCACUGUCAGUUAUUGCCCCAAACUAAAGCGUCUAUUUCAUAUCAGCGUAGCUCCAAGUCUUCAAAAACUGGAGUCCCUAUUCAUAACAGCUAAUGAUGAAUUAGAAGAAGUAUUCUGGCAUAAAGAUGGAGCAAACGUCACGGAUUACAAUGAAAUUGUUAUGAAUAAACUUCAGGUGUUGGAAGUGACAGAUUUACCAAACCUCACCAACUUUUGGCCUGCGGGUUAUCAGAUCUCAAUUCCAUCUUAUAAGGUUUUUGUUCAUAAUUGUCCCAUGCUUCCUGAAAAUUCAGGAGAUAUAUUAUUCCAAGAAUUCUGGAGAACUUUAGUUAAUUGAUUCUAUACAUAGUAUUAUUACUAUUGUGCAUUCUAUGAAGCAUUUUAUGUUUGAUAGCGUAAUUUAAUAUCAUGUUAUAAUUAUAUUGGUAUGGAUCAAUGCUUACACUAUUAACUAAGGAUUAUUUUGCAACAAUACUAAUUAAUUCCCUAUAUAUAACGAGUCAUAUUCAUGUCUGGAUGCUUGGAUUUAAUAAAUUCAAAUUAUUAGAAUCAAAGUUAUACAGCACCUGAUUCUAAUUCUUGAUUUUGUAAAAUCAUGACGUCCGAACCUACGCACCCUUUUGCUUGUAAUAAAAAAAUAUUGUAUUUUAUGAAUAACAAUACUAUUGUACAACGUCACGUGACAGUAUUGCGUAUUAGCUUUCGUCUACUUGUAUCAUGAAGGUUGCCGAUGUACAGUGAAGCUAAGUUGGCAUUCUUCAUAUAUCUUUGGUAUCCCCAAACAAAAGUGCAUAAAUCGGCAUUAAUUCAUCAUCUUUUUCAGUACUCUGUAAAAUUUCUGAUUCAAAUUAUUUUAAAAGUUUCAACUUUUAAUAUUUUCAGGGGACGGCUUAUGUUAUAUAAUGUUUUAUUUCGGCCUUAUGCUGCAAAACAUGAGAAAGAAAUUGAUCUUAAUUUGUUGAAGCUGAGAAUUAAGGCCAGGGAAAUAGGUCUUCUGUUUUGGAAGAAGGCUGCCAUUUAUGGGCAAACAAGGUUUUUUGAGAUUUUGCAGUACGCCUCUUCUCACUCAACUUCACUGCCUAAAUCUGAUCAGGUAAUUUAACAACAUUUUGUAAGAUAUUUUGCUGCCAAUUUCCUCAUUAAGAGACAAAAAAUGUUUUGUUUUAGGAUUUAUGAAAAACGACAGAGAAGUAAGUGGAAAAAAAAUAAAAGAAAUUAUAGUGAAUUUUCUUUUUAUAUUACAAUAGGAAGCAAGUUAAACUACAGCAGCGGUAAGAAGCUACGGAAGAAGCAGGGCAUUUGCCAACAAAAUAUGAGGCUGCUGCUAAAAUGGAAACAGUGCCAGUAUCAUCAUCUUUCCAAGAUGGCAAUUUAAUUAAUUCCUUCAAUCAAAAAGGGGUUUCCACGGAUCAAGCUAUCCCGCAAUCAAGAAGCAAAUGGCCGUUGUUCAGGACUGCAGCAGCAAGCCAAUAAUAAAGCCCUUGUAUUUGUCUUCUGCCAUUAUGAAGAUGAUUUAUAUACGUAGAUGAUGCAAAUUGAACACCAAUUAAUAGUUAAUUAGUCUCCAUUGUUUUCUUGCUACCAAUUUUGUAUCAUAUAAAUCUCAUGGGACUAUUGAUUAACAAUAUAUAUAGUGAGUAGUAGUGGUUGGGUACUUUCAGUUAGAAGAAAAUUGUAACAUGCAAUAGUCAAUACUUAAUAACACAUUUAUGGUGUGUUUACUUGUGGGUUUGGGGAAUAAGAAUGAAGAAAUGAGAAUCAAACCUAUGUUUACUUGUCAAAAUGUAAUUUGGGAAUGGGAAUAAAAUGUGUAAGUCACACACAAUUUGGAAAUAAGGAAUGAGAAUCUUAUUCCUAUGGGGGGUUGGGAAUGAGAAUUAAACAUAAAUUUACCUUUCUAUCCUUCUAAUUUUUUCAUAUUUCCUAAAUUACCCUUAUUCAAAUCACAAAUAAUUUUAUUAUUUUAAAUGUAAUUAAUAAUAAUAAUUAUUAUUAUUAAAUUUUAUUAACUUUAUUAUUUUAGUUAUUAUUAAUUAUUUUUAUUUUUAUUAAUAUUAUCAUUAUUAACAAUAAAAUAAUGAUAAAAAUAAUAAUUAAUAAAAUAAUUAAUUUAUCAUUAUUGUUGUUGUUAUUAUUAUUAUAUUAUUAAUAAAAUUAAUAAUAACUACAAUAAUAAAGUUAAUAAAAUUUAAUAAUAAUAAUGUAAUUUUCAUUAUCUACAUACAUGUAUAAAUAUUAUUAUAAAAAUUAUAUUAAUUAAAAAAUAAGAAUAAUAAUAAAUGUUAAUAAUGAUAAUAUUAAUAAAAAUAAUAACAAUAAUUAAUAAUAACUAAAAUAAUAAAGUUAAUAAAAUUUAAUAACAAUAAUAAUAAAUGUUAAUAAUAAUACUAAUAAUAAUAAUAACAACAACAACAACAAUAAUAAUGAUAAUAUUGUUAAGAGUAAUGAUACAGCCACAAACUCUUGUACAAACUUAUCUUAUACAAACUGAUGUGGCAUUAAUUCAUUAGUUGAAUGAAAAUAUAAAACAAUAUAAACAAAUCAUGUGGGCCAAGAGAUAUUUAAUUCAACCAAUAAAUUAACGCCACAUCAGUUUGUACAAAAUAAGUUUGUACAAGAGUUUGUGGCUAUAUUAUUACUCUAUUGUUAAUAAUGAUAAGUUAAUUAUUUUUAUUAAUUAUUAAUACUAUGGGUAUUUUGGUAAAUUGAUUCUCAUUCCCAAUUCUCAUUCCCAUUUAUUUUGCCAGGUAAACAUAUCAAUGGCAUUCCAGCACAUUCCCAUUCCCAUUUAUUUUUGCCACAUUGAAAUCACAUUCUCAUUUCACACCAUUCCCAUUCCUAACUCAUUCACAUUCCACCUCAUUCUCAUUCUCAUGAAGUAAACGCAUCAUUAAAUUGCAGCAUGUACUAGCCUACUUAAAUUGUCUAUUCAUUUUUGUUCACGUUCGGAGAAUUAACUAAUCAACAAAUUAAUAUGUGACACGUUUUGUAAUUACAUGCCGAUAAUUUUUUAUAAGGUAAUUUAAUGCGCAAUGCAGCCAUUUUAGACACGAGGUUUGGAUGUAUUUCUCAUUGUUAUUAAAUAUGAGUUAGGAUCUCACUUUAUAUUGUUAUCUACUAAACUACUAAUCACUCAUGUUAAGAAGUAGCUCAAAUCAAAAGAACAUCAUAAUCUGUUAAAUAAAUGACGAGUUAUCUUAAAGUACAAUCUAAUUGAUUUUACCAUUUAUAGUGGAAGCAACAAGUCAAGUGCUCAAUUUUUAAAGGAUUAAAUUAUUUACACUAUAAAAUUAUUCUGAACAUUUAUUAUUUCAUGCAAUUAUUUACUUAAUUUAAAAAUUAAGAUUUUUUUUAAAAAUUUGAAUAGGUCUGAAUUAAAUGAAAGUCUGAAUAGCUCUAAGUUUUACUUUGUACAUUUUUUAAAAGACUUUAAAAAAAUCCUUACUAAUUAAAUCAUUUUAGCUAAUUUGUAAAUAAAUUCUUUUUAACACAAUUUGAAUUUCUUGAAAUCGUGUCUUUUCUGCCUUCUGAUUUUAUUGUGUUAAACAAAUCGAAUGGCUUUUGCCACGUAUGUUUCUCCCGUGCAUUUGGUUUAUUUCCCUUUCGAGUGAUGCAUCCUGCAACUCUUCAGCAAGAGAGUUUACUCGUCUUGCUUUCUUUCCCUUGAAUCAAGAGACUUUUUGAAAUAAAUUAUUUUAUUUAAAUAAAAGUAUUCGAAGUAAUUUUUAAAAUAUAAAUACCCAUUUUAUUUAUAAAAAAAACUAUAUUAAGGCAUGGGAAGGCCGUAUCUAAUCGGCUUGGAAAAUUGUCACAUGCAAUAGUCAAUAACACGUUUAAAUUGGAGCAUGUACUAGCUUACUUAAGUUGUCUACUCAUUUUUAUCCACGGGUAGAGAAUUAACUGAUCAACAAAUUAAUCUGCGACACGUUUUGUAAUUGUAUGCCGAUCAUUUUUUAUAAAGUAAUUUAAUGCACGAUGCAACCAUUUUAGGCACGAGGUUUGGAUGUACUUCUCCUUGUUAUUAAAUAUGAAUUAGGAUCUCACUUUAUAUUGUUAUCUACUAAACUAUUAAUCAAUAUGUAGCAGCUCAAAUCUAAAGAAAAUCAUAAUCUAUUAAAUAAAUCAUGAGUUAUUUUAAAGUACAAUCUAAUUGAUUUUGCCAUCUAUAGUGGAAGCAACAAGUCAAGUGCUCAAUUUUUAAAGGAUUAAAUUAUUUACAUUGUAAAAAUUAUUCUAAACAUUUAUUAUUUCAUACAAGAUAGAACCAUUCACUUAAUUUUAAAAAUUAAGGUUAUAUUUUUUUUUAUAAUUUGAAUAAUUUGAAUAGAUCUAAAUUAAAUGAAAGUCUGAAUAGCUCUAAAUGUAUAUCAUUGAGGACAUGUUUGUUUUUUUAUGACUAAAUAUAAGUGUUAAAUUAUUUGUCUUAUAAGCCAAAAAAAAACUGAAUUAUGAUAUUUUGGCAUUUAUGUCCCUAUAAGUAUUAAUAUAUAUUUGAUAAGUUAGAGAUGGUAAGUAAAUUAAAAUCAUUUUAUUAUUAAUUAUAACAUAUCUAUUUUUUUCAAUAUAUACAAUGUUACAGCUAAAAAAGGUACAAUGUUAAUUACAUUAUUUGUGUGUAUUAUAUGAUUUUUUUUCGUUCAAUCACACAAUUUAACAUAGAAUCAAUUAACAAUUUCAAGUAAAAUAGAAUUUUACAUAUAUUAUUAAUUGUAAAAGUUAAAAUAAUUAAGGAAUAAAAACAACAGCUACAUCCCAACAUAUUAAUUUUUGUUAAAAGUUUUGUUCAAAAUAGUUGUUAUAAAAAAAAAAAAAGAGCCCGAGAUGAGUACAAAGUCCAAAAAUAUAGAUUUUACAAAAUAAGUUGAUUCAAUCCUGUAAAAUCUCCACGAAAUAACGACAAUUGGAAAGAGUAAAAUAAAAAUUAGUUAUGUUUGAUUGGAAAUAAGCCUAUUAAAUAGGGGUAUUUUUGAGAGAUUGUAGUGAUUUUCGUUCAAACUUUUUUCAAUUCAGAUAAAAAUUAAGUUAUUUAACUUUUUAUAUUAAGUGCUAUAUUCUGAAAUUUAGAUAAAAUAUGAAAAACAAACUAGUAAACUUAAAAAAUGUUUGACUUCACACAUUUAACAGACAAGCUUUAAGUUUUACUUUGUAGACUUUUUAAAAGACAAAAAAGAAAUCCUUACUAAUUAAAUCAUUUUAGCUAAUUUGUAAAUAAUUUUUUGACACUAUGCGAAUUUGUUGAAAUUGUGUCUUUUCUACCAUAUGAUUUUAUUGUGUUAAACAAAUCAAAUGGCUCCUGCUGCGGAUUUUUUCCAGUGCAUUUUGUUUAUUUCCCUUUCAACUGUUGCAUCCUGCAACUCUUCAGCAGGAGAGUUUAUUUGUCUUGCUUUUUUUCCCUUGAAUCAAGAGACUUUUUGAAAUAAAUUAUUUUAUUUAAAUAAAAGUAUUCGAAGUAGUUUUUAAAAUAUAAAUACCCAAUUUAUUUAAUAAAAAAAAACUAUAUUAAGGCGUGCGAAGGCGUAUCCAAUCGGCUUGACGCUCAACCCUCCUAACCACAAAAAAUGCAGGUAUAAAAAAAAUUCAAUAGAGCACAUGUUAAAAAGAUGCUAUUUUUUAUUUUUUUUAUUUUUUGGGUAUAAUGGGGUUCGUAACAAGAGAUAAGGAUGGACAAAGUGGGGAUAGACAACCCCAUACAUUUCAUGCGUGAAAAAAGGGAGCAAAUUAGUAGGGGAUCAUUGAAAUGGUGACAUCCCAAUGGUAGAAAGUAGAGACAGAGCAUAAUUAGCUAAGAAAUCUGUGGUAUACACAUGAUUGACGGUGAUGUUAUAGUGUCGAUUCAUUAACAUAAGCUCAGGAACAAUUAAAGAUGUUAUUUUUUAACAUAAGCUCUGGAAUAAAAAUUAAAAAAAAAAAAACCACAUUUAAGAUUUAAAACACAAGUUGUCUUAAAUUAAUUCGAUUACAUGUGGCUAUUUGAAAUUAUUAAAAAUAAAUUCUAUUUUUCCCGCUUUCCCUAUCACUUUGCCAACGUGUUAUUUUCACAUUGGUGGAUCUAAUCUAAGUAGUGGCCUGAUUUGCAGCCUCGAAUUGAGCAUAUACAUUUUACUGAAUUCGACAAAAUCAAAAAUCGGGUGCUUACCAGGCAAUACAGACCAGCCACAAACUUUUAUUAGAUGAUUGCCACGUAGCGAAGAAUCAACGGUCAAUACCAGCUGGGAACUGACUAAGCCUGCGCUAUAAAGUCCACGCGGCAUGCAGAUACGGGCCGACCAAAAUGGACAGCAGACUCAAUCACCCCGGCCUCUGCUGGUCUCAUCUCUUCUCGUCGAACCAACCUCUUUUCUAGGAGGCUCUCAAACCGUCCCACGUGUCCUGACCACACAUAGAUUUGUGUGGUCACCAACCUCUGCCUUUAUCUCUCUCUAUUUCUAAGGACGUGUUUGGUCUCAUCUUCAAGGUGCAUUUCACAAUGAAACGAUGAAAAUAAAAUAUGUUAAUGGAUCAAUAACAUAUUAUGCUUAUUUAAUUUAAAUAUUUAAUUGAGAUAUUUACUGGUGGAUCACAUAUUAUUUAAGGAUAUUAAUUGAUUUUAUUAUUAAUUAUUAGUCUAUCACCACCUUAUAGAUCACACAUAAAAUCUUACAUCAGUUAAUAUCUUAAUUAAAUAUAUAAAGUGAAUAAAUAUAGUAAUUAAUCUAUCAUAAUUCUAUUCUACGAUUUAAUAAAAAUAUUCUCAUACAAAUCAUUUCAGCUGCUGUUAAAAUUAAAAAAAUUUGUCAAAACUUUUGGAAAUUAUAUUUUGCCAAUGUCAAGCUAAAUUACAUUAUAUUGAGAAGGAUAAAAGUUUUAGGCAAGUGAGAAUUGUUCUUUAUGACUUAUGCAAGUCAACAUUUAUCCGUUUAUACAUUGAUUUUGUUUGAAUAUAAACUCAAUUAAACGAUUAGGACAGGUUCAAUGCACUAGUUUCUCGUGCUUAAGACAUGUUCAAUAAAUAUAAAAGUAAAAUCAAUAUUUGGGGUUCAUUUUAAAUUUAUUUUUAUAUGGGUGAUGUAUCUUUUCACAAACGUGUAUAAGUAAAUAUAUUUAGAAUUUGGGGUAAAGAUCUUAUAUUUUUUUAUAUUGUAUAACACGUAUAAAGAUAUUACGUGUGAAUAUAAUACAUAUUAUAAUGUGCAUAUCAUAAAUUAAAAGAAAUAGUGAUGUUAUGUUUAUUUAAUAACAUAACAAUUCUAUGACUAAGUAAAAUUUCCUUACAUUUUCUUGGUAGCAUUUUGGUUCGAAUCAAAUCUAUCCGAAUCCGAUUUUUGAUGCCCAACCCUACAUGCAUGCCUUUAUUUUCAUAGGAAAAGUCAUAGCCACCUUGCAACAGCUCUUUCAAAUUUAAUGGUUUUGGUGCCAACUUUGGUGCUAAAGUCAAAAGUAAUAUAUUAUUAAUAAAGUGUUGGCUCUACUGGCAAUGUAGUCCCUUUAAGUGACUUGAUUGAGUUUGCUCCACAGUUCGAGUCGCAGGAAAAUCGCCUUUGUUGGGAGAACCUGUGCCUCUCGGUUCGAGGGGGACUUCUAAUCUGAAUUGUGGUACGGGCUUAAAAGUGCCUCCCACAGUUGGGACCCUCCCCAGAAUACCUCGUGGUCAAAACCAAAAAAAAAAAAGUCAAAAGUAAUAUAUUAAUUAAAUACCCAUUUUUUUUCAUAACAACCAAUUAGAGAAUUAUCAUAUUUGAAAAUAUAAUUUUACUUUAUAAAACCCAUCAAAAUGCCAAAACUAUUCUUAAUGUUUUUUCUUCUCUCAUCUUUUUCCUUCACUCUCUCUCUCUCUCUCUCUUUUUUAAUACAUAGAAAACUCUUAACAUCAAAAGAAAAAAAAAAUCUCUUGUACUAUUAUUAUACUCUUAUAUUAACUUGUUACAAUUCUUUCGUUAUUUACGCACAAGAAAAAUUCACUUCUUCAAUCUAUAGUCCUUUUACAUACGUGUAGUUUUUAUUAGAUCUAUACUUUAUAGAGAUUAAAAAUAAGGGGAAAUAAAUUAUUAAUUAGAUGGCGUGUUUGUGACAGAUUGCAGGUUUAAUUUUCGUUUAUUUCAUCAAAAAGAGCAUCAUUUUGAAUUGAGAAAUCAUGAUCUAGUUUGCUUUUUGACAGCCGAAUUAUGAAAUGAAGAAGAAGGUAGAUUGCUUUUUUGCUUGUGGUGGCAAUAAUUUAUUUUUGACGGUGAUAAUAAUCCAGCAAAAAGUCGAUGUAGUCGCAGACAAGAUGAAGUAGACACUUUUUCUCUUUGAAAGUAACCCAUUUUCACUUUUUUUUUUCCCGCAAUCCAAAAUAGUAGAUUGGAAAUCUAUUAUUUUCACUUUAUUGCAAUCCAAAAUGGUAGACGGAUAAUCUUUUGAAUAAUAGAUUGGUAGUCUAUUAUUUUCACUUCCACCUCCGGCAUAUUUCUAGAUGUUGUAACCAUGUGGUUGAUGUAUUGGCGAAAUUUACUCUUCAAGAUUCUAAAUUCUUAGUAUAUUUGGAGGAUUAUCCCAAUUUUUUAGAAUGUUAUCUUUAAGUUGAUUUCUGAAAUAAAAUACUCACUUUUAUUAAAAAAAAAAUGGUAGACAAGUAGUCCAGCAAAAGCCUUAAAAUGUCCUUUGCUUUACUCAAAAUUAUUAUUUUUUUAAAUUAUAUAUUUAAUCAUUAUUAAAUAAAAGACUUUUUAAGUUAUUAAGUUAAGAGAUAAAUUAAAAGAUAAGUAAAACACAAACUCUAAUGCACAUUUUAUCACGUAGUAUAUUAAAGCACGUAUUUUCUUAUCUUUUGACUUAAUCUUUAGGUUACUAACUUAAUACACACACAUAUAUGGAAUAUAUUGAGAUUUCAUAUAUAAAUAUUUAUAAUACAAUCCAGAGAUAUAUUAAACAUUAAUUUUAAAAUAUACUUCAAAUACAUUGAGAGAAAUCUACCUUUAUUUAAAGAGAAUAAAGGGCCUUUUUUUGACUUAAUAACUCAAUUGACUCAAUUUUAAUUAGUUAAGUUAUUAAGUUUAUUUACUUUUUAACUUAAUAAAAAAUUUUAGCCAUUAAGUCAUUAAGUUAUUUUUUUAGCUUUUUACUUAUUCUAAGAGGUCUGAAUAAUAUUACUAACGAUAUUUUCCAAAGUGUCAUAUCUAAUUAAUUAAUUUUCAUUCUUACCUAAAUAAAAUUUUAUAAUUAGCAUUAUUACCCAUCUUUAUAUAACUUGUGAUAAUAUAUAGUGGUAAACUAUUAUUAUUUUUAUCUUUUUUAUUUUCUUCAAAUUAGCAUUAUUUAUUUUUAUAAAUUUUUAUAAAUAUUUUUCAUGUAAAAACAUCAUAAACUAUAAUAAAAUUGAUUAACAUAUAUAAUAUAGAAUAUUAAAGAGUUGUAUUGAAUUGAAUAUGAUUUACGUUUUGGUAAUAUAUUAUCUUAUUUAUAUUUUUUGAGAUGUUUAUUAUUUAUUUAACAUUUAUAAUUUGUAAGGGUAUAAAUGUAAAAAUCUUAGUUUUCAAAUCUUUUGAAGUUAAAAAAAAACUUAAUAUUUAUUUUUAGCAGUUUAGACAAAAAAAAAAGUAUAUCAUUUAGAUUUGGAUAUUCAACUCUAUUUAGAAUUUAAAUUAAAUCAAGUUAUUCAAAUUUUAGAUUAAAAAAAUAAACACCACCAGAGCCUAAGAGUAAGAUUCAAAUUCAUUCCAAAGAGAAAUUUAUAAUAAGAGGAAGAAUAUUGUAGAUAUAAGCUCAUUCUGUUAACACUUAACAACCCAAAAGAUACCCCAAAUACAAACAGCAAGUACAAGCUUCUUUGAAAUCUUUUGAAUUUCUUUGAAUUUUUUUUAUUUUAAAUGAGUUUUACCAAAUUACACUCAACCAGUCAGAAAAUACCAAAUGAGAACACAAACGGGUAGGGAAGGUAUUUGAUAAUAUGGAAAUACAAUGUAAGUGAGAAGACAUUAAACCUCAGGGAAAGUAUCUAAAAAUUACCUCAUUUCACUUUCCACUUUUCAAUUCACACUUAUAUAGAAUUAAAAAAAAAAGGAAAAGCAAAGAAAAGAAAAGUUAAGCGACGAAGUCGAUAUCAAUUUGUGAAGCAUGACUCGGACCUUGCUACCAAAGCUCAUUCAUUUUUCAUGCUCUCGGAAGUUACCAGAUCUGUGAGUUGCUCUCCUUUCGGUAUGUGACUUUUGCUUCCUAUAUCACUUGCAGUUCAACUUUUUUUUUUCUUUUUUCCUUUCUGAGAACUAAAGAUUUGAUAGAGAGCAAGAAUUUAUAUGAGAUGUUAAUUAGCUAAAUCCGAUGUUGUUUUCAUCUGAUGUUUAUUUAUAUUGCUAGAUGCAGCUUUUAAUUUUCUCCAAACUUGUGUGACUCCCUAACUGGAGCUUUCUGCAGUAAUUGAGGUAAACGAAGAAGGUAUGAGACAUCGUUUCAUAGGCUCUUAAUUUGAUGUUUGUUUCAAUUCCAAUAUAUUAUGUUAAUUGGCUAGAUCCGAUAUAUAUAUAUAUAUAUAUAUAUAUAUAUAUAUAUAUAUAUAUAUAUAUAAUCAGUAUUAAAUAAAAGAUAUCUUAAAUUAUUAAAUUAAGAGGUAAAAUAAAAAAUAAAUAAAUUAUUCACUUCAAUAUAUUAUAUUUUACUAUGUAAUAUGUUAAAACACAUAUUUUUCUUAAUUUUAAUUUAUUUUUAACUUAAUAACUUUAAAGAUCUCUUGUUAGAACAUUACAAUAUAUAUAUAUGUAUUUCUUUUUGUGUGUUAUGAAAUCUGUUGAGAUUUUAAUAAAAAUGUUUAUAAUAUAAUUAAGAGAUUUGUUGAACAUUAAUUAUAAAAUAUACCUAAAAUUUGUGUAGAGAAAUCUACUUUCAUUUAAAAAGAAUGAGUUUAAUAAGAAUGAGAUUUAAAUUCAUUCUAAAGAAAAUUAUAUAAAAGAAAAGUGAAAAUCUUAUAUUUAAUUAAACUCAUCCUCUCAACAACCCGAAAGAUACCCAAAUGCAAGCAGUUUGGACACAAAACUUGUUAUUUUUUUUUUAAAUUUUAAAUCAGUUUUACCAAAUUACCCCUUAUGACAUGAUAGAUGAUAAGGCUUAUUAAUUUUUUUUAAAUUUUAAAUCAGUUUUACCAAAUUACCCCUCAUGAUAGAUGAUAAGGCAUGUGUAUCAUUUUCACUUUCCACCUUUCAAUUCUCACUGAUAUAUCAUUUCAGACCUUUAUACCAAAGUUCAAUCAUUUUUCAUGCUCUUGAAGUCACCAGAUCUGUCAUCCGUGAACUAGCGACUCUCAUUUCGGUACGUUACUUCUGAGAACAAGGAGUUAUAUAUGAUGUUAAUUAGCUAGAUAUAUGCGAUGUUGUUUUGAUCUGAUGUUUAUUUAUAUUGCUGGAUGCAGCUUUUAAUUUUCUCCGAACUUGUAUGACUCUCUAACCGGAGCUUCCAGGAGUAAUUGAGGAUAUAUAAGGAAGAAGGUAUGCUAUAUUAUUGUUUCACAGGCUCUUAACUUGAUGUUUGUUUUAUGCCAAUUUUGCACGUUGGAUUAAAAAUAUACAGAUAAAAUGGUCGAUAAUUUUUAAGUUCUAAAUAUUUUAUGGUGCGUUUAUUUUAUGGGAAUAGAAAUAGGCUCACGGAAAUGAAAAUAGGCUAAUGGAAAUAGGCUGAAAUGAGAAUGAGAUAAUGAGAAUAAUAUUUUAAUAUUUAUUUAGCAAAAAUAAAUUAGAAUGGGAAUGUGCUGGAAUGCCAUUAAUGUGUUUACUUGGCAAAAUAAAUGAAAAUAAGGAAUGAAAAUAAGAAUUAAUUUAUUAAAAUAUUUAUAGUAUUAAUAAUUAAUAAAAAUAAUUAAUUUAUCAUUAUUAACAAUAUUAUUAUUAUUUUUAUUAUUAAUAAAAAUAAUAUUAAUAAUAACUAAAAUAAUAAAAUAAAUAAAAUUUAAUAAUAAUAAUAUUAUUUAUUAUUAUCAAUAUUAUUAUUAUUAAAUUUUAUUAAUAUUAUUAUUUUAAUUAUUGUUAUUAUUAUUAUUAUUAACAUUUAUUAUUAUUAAAUUUUAUUUAUUUUAUUAUUAAUUAUUGUUAAUAGUAUUUUUAUUAAUUCUUAAGUCAAAGAUGGUUGGUUAGAGUCAAUCACCUCCAAGUCAGUAUUGUUGACCAUACUUUAAAAAUAAAAUUAAUUUUUCCUUGAAAUUUUUUCAUGAGUGCACGUGCAUAGGAUGUUGAAGCCGUCUAAUCUCUAAGGUCCCGUUUGGGAUUACUUUUGGGAGGGUUAAAAAUGAUUUUAAAAAUUUAAAGUUAAUUUUGGUGUUUGGUAAAAAAAAAUCAAAACCACUUUUGCCAUAAUCAGCUCCUCCUAUAGCUAAUUUUGAAAAACAGGGAAGGAGUAACUUUUAGAUUCUGAUUUUGAGAAUCAAUUUUAUCAUUUAAUAUAAUUCCAUAAAUAUCCUUAUAAUUAUUACUUAAACCCGAAAUUAUCCUUAUUUAAAUUGGAAACAAAAUCAAUAUUUUAAUAAUUUUUUAUUAUAAUUAACGCACACCUUUCGUUUACCAUAUUUCUUCAUAGUUUGUAUAACUAAAUAUACAAGGCACAAAGUUAUAAAAAAUGCUAUGUUUAUGCUGCUUGGCAAGAAGUUAAUAUGCCAAUUCCACAUUUUUAUAAAAAAAAAAAUUUAUUUGAUUCAACGAGAUAUUGUACGUGUACAUUUUUAUAUGUAUAAGUAAAUUUCAUCUUACAUUAUGUACAUUUUAGUCAUUUAUUUUUUUACAGCAGUUUAACAAUAAAAUUUACCAAACAUCCAUAACUGCUUUCAAAAUUUACAGUACUUUUAAAAAUAAAAUUUACCAAACACUUAACUUAUUCUCUUCACAGCUGAUUAUUUCAACAACACGGCUAACAGUAAUUAUUUUAAAAGCUGCAGCAUUACCAAACUAGCCCUAAUACUCUUUUCAACUGUUAUUAUGGGUGGCUUUUCAGUUUUCAUCACUCUUUCCAUAUUCCCUCAUGAAACUACCUGUCUUCACUCACAAUUCACAACGAGCUCAUCGAAAAAAUAAAUAAAUAUGGGGCGGACAAAGUUCAAAUUUAUUUUUUUGACCCUUACCUCCUCCCAGUCUUGAACCCACUACGCGAAAACCACCCCCUCGCAACGAACGCUGAGGCUUAUAUAAAUUCUAUUCAAUUUGAUGCUUGAUAUUUUUGUUUAAAAAUUUCUAAAGUAAUCUAAUUUCAAUAUAAUCCACCAUAUAGCACGUUUACCUUGCUUCUUCUCUUCUGUUUUGCAGCUAAAGUCUACUUAAAGCUCGGUGCUUGCAUUAUUUUGUUCUUAUUGAUCAAAGUUGGCGCUAAUAAACAGAAAAAAGUAAUUAAACGUUCUCCUUCGAUCUUGUGAUCAAGCCUCGUUGUUUUGCUUAUAGCGUACUGAGAUCAACUUUGUUAAUUGCAGAUAAAUAGCAGGUAUUGCAUCAAAGCUUGGAGAAUUAUUGGUGGAUGCUACCGUAAAACAAGCUCGCUAUCUGUUCUGUUUCAACAGCAUUGUUAAAGAACUUGAGGAUAAAGAAACUAAUUUGAAGGAGGCACAAGAUGGCAUCAAUGAAAGAGUAGAACAAGAACGACAAAUACACCGCGCCAUUGACAUUGAGAAAGAUGUAGAGAAGUGGCUGGCGGAUGUAGUCAAAGAAAUGGCCGAUGUCCAAACGUUGAAAGCAAAGAUAGCUGAAAAGAAGAGUUGUCUUAAUGGAUGGUGUCCUAAUUGGGGUUGCCAAUAUUGGAUGGGUAGAAAAGCAUCAAAGGAGACUAGCAAGUUGUCUAAUCUACAUGACCGCGGCAAAUUCAACACGGUUGCCCGUCCUAAACCUCUUCCAUCAGACAAAGAAAUUCCUAUUCCAAGAUUUGUUUCUUCUUUUGAGACUACACAAUUGACUUGCAAUCUGAUUAUUGAAGCACUGAAAAAAGACAGCACAAAAAUGGUGGGAUUGCAUGGUCUCGGUGGAGUAGGAAAGACAACCCUGGCAAAAUUUGUUGGCAAUCAACUUCGGCAAGAAAAGAUUUUCGAUGAGGUGGGGAUUGCCACUGUAUCUCAGGAUCCAAACAUAAUAAAUGUUCAAAGUGAGCUGGUAAAGUCGUUAGGUUGGGCGUUAGAUGAGGAUGGUGAAAAAAAGAGAGCAGACCGAUUGCGCAUGAUGUUCUCUGAGAGUAAAGGCCGCAAGAUACUCAUAAUCCUUGAUGAUGUCUGGAAAGAGCUCGACUUGGCGAUAGUAGGUAUUCCCGCCAAUUGCUGCAAAAUCCUUCUAACUACUCGCUUGCAGCAAGUUUGUGAUCGCAUGGGUUGUGACACGCGGAUUAAACUAGAUGCUCUAGACCAAGCAGAAGGAUUGGAUUUACUAAGAAAGCAUGCCGGCAUUGACGUUGCUCAUAAAACCUUGACUGAUGUUUCAAAACGAGUUGCUGAUGAAUGUAAGGGGCUGCCUUUAGCUAUUAAAGCUGUUGGAAGUGCACUAAGAGGAAGAACCGCUGAUGAAUGGAAUGUAGCACUGGAUAAACUACAAAAUGCAAAACUCGAUAAGAUAGAAGGUAUUGAUAAGGAUUCCCAGGGCGUUUACGGUUGUCUCAAAUUUAGUUAUGAUUAUUUGAAUGGUGAGGAUUCCAGGUCAUGCUUCUUGUUGUGUUCGCUGUUUCCAGAAGAUUAUAAGAUAGAUUUGGAGGAUUUGCUUGGAUAUGCAGUGGGGUUGGUUUGGUAUCAAGCUGAAUCAAUCGAAAAAGCCAGAAGCCUACUGCGUGGAACGAUCAAAGGACUCAAAGAUUCUUCAUUGCUGUUAGACACUGAUGAUGACAGAUUUGUGAAAAUGCAUGACGUAGUUCGCGAUGUAGCCAUAUGGAUAGGCUCAGAGGAGAAGAAAUUUUUUACUAGGAAAGGUAGCAUUGGAUUGGCGGAACGGGCAAGGGAAGAAGGCCUAGAACAAUACGGAGGAAUCUCUUUGGUGGGAAAUGGAAAAGAAGAGCUUCCUAGUGGUUUGGAAUGCCCUAGCCUUCAUAUUUUGCGAUUGGAGAAUACUGAAUAUGACAACAAAUUGCAAGUUCCAGAACAUUUUUUUAAAGAGAUGUCAGCAUUGAAAGUUGUCACUAUAAUAGGUGGAGUUCUUUCACUUAAAUCACUUCAAUUCCUCGCCAAUAAACUUCGAGUUCUGCAGUUGAUUCGAUGUGAGGUGACUGACGCGUCUUUCCUUGGAAAGUUAAGGACACUUCAAAUACUUUAUCUCGAGAAGUCUCCCAUUGAAAUUCCAGAUGAAUUUGGGGAUGAGCUUAGUAGAUUGAAACUUCUGUAUAUUGCUACUGCCUCUAUUUCUCCCAUUACGAUAAAUAAAUUUCCUCAAUUAGAAGAAUUUUAUGGUGUGAUAAAAAAUUGGGAGGUUGAAGGGAUGAGUUCAGAAGAAAGUUACGCUGGGCAUGCUGAGUUGAAGUCCCAACCCGACGGAUCCGUUGUAUGUCUUCCAAAAGACUUUUCAUUUCAGAAAUUACAAAGGUAUCGCAUCAGUGAAGUUGACAGCUUUGGUUAUGAAAUUGAUCGAGGGACAAGGUACUUAUCCAUUGAGAAGAACCAUCCUAAAGCGACGCUAGUUAUUUUUUCAGCAUUGUAUCCAGAAUUGGAAAAUCUUUAUCUAAAGAGGGUAAGAUGUUGUCAUAAUAUUGUGCCAAGCAUAGAUGAAAGGGGAUUAAAUGAGUUGACUGUUCUUGACGUCACCGAUUGUAAAGAUUUAGAAUGCAUAAUGGAUGCCUCUAAGUCGCCGCAUGGAAAGAGUGGGAAUCCUGUGAUGCUCUCAAGAUUAGCAAAGUUGUAUAUGUCAGAAUUACCAGAACUGAAGUGGAUAUGGAAGGCGCCCGCCCAACAUGUGAUCAGCCUCCAAUCUCUUACAGAAUUGAGUGUGUCAGAGUGCAACAACUUGACUUAUAUCUUCACGUUGUCACAAGCUCGAAGUUUGGUGCAGCUUAAAAGUCUGGAAGUGAGUUACUGCAAGAGACUGGAAUGUAUCGUCGAAGCAAAAUUUGAUCAUAAUGAAAGGGAAAUAAGUGUAGGAGAUGGAAAUACAAUAUUUGCGCUCCCUUCGUUGAUAAAAUUAAGAUUUAAAGAUCUCCCCGAACUCAUCAGCUUCUGUUCAGAAAAUUAUUAUUCAACUUGGCAGGCAUUGGAGGUGUUAGACCUAAGCAGCUGUCCUAAAUUGACCGUCAACAGUACUGAACUUGAAGCCAAUUUGCAGUAUCUUGGAGAGGUAUGUUCGCUUGUGUUUACGUUUUUUUUUCUUUCUUUUACUUUAAUUUUACUCAAAAAGAUAGUUUAUCAAAAACUUUUGUGAUCAGUCAUUCAUAUCACCUUGCAUUUGGCCGUGUUGAGAUGAAUAUGAAUCAUGGUGGUGGUAAUGGUGAUGAUGACAAUAAUAAUGAUCCAGAAUCUUGAGUAAAUUUCUUUAUUUUACGACCUAAAAUUCAUUCUUCAAAUAAAAGUCGUAUCUUGUUUUACUUUAUAAAAAAACUGGAUGCAAGCACUUGUAAAGUAUAUAUAUUAUUAGUCCAAUUCAAUUCAUUAGUUAAUUUAACCAUAGAGAUAGAAUACUAAUUUUUCUCAAACAAACAGAUGUCACUGCUAUAUCACUUCACAUGAUCUCUUUCAACGAAUUUCUUUUUUUUUUUAUAAAUUCCUUACUUUCACAGAGUAUAAUUAUUUUAUAAGUUUACAUGUGUAGUAUUAUAUUUUUGUGUGGAUUUUUUUAAGUAUUUGUCGCUUAAUUGUCAAUUUGACAAUCCUAGCCGCUAACAAAUUUCAAUUACAUCAAGUUAUUUAUUUAUUUGUCUCAGAAAUUACGAAUUCUACAAGUAGGCAAAUGCACCCAUUUGCGAGACACAAUUGACGCUCUGUUGAAGCAUGGCUUUAAAAAUUUGGAAGAAUUGGGGAUUGAAGAACUUGGAGUACAUGUGGCAUUUCAAGUGGAAGCUAUUAUCGCUGAGGGACAAGAAAACAAACUAUUCCCAUGUUUGAAGACGUUGUGGUUGGAAAACCUUCGAGAACUGCAAGUAUUAUUAUAUCAUGAAGGUCCCGCGCAUAAUUUUAGCUUGCAAAAUCUUACCGAAUUAACUGUAAUGGGGUGCACUAAGCUGAGACGUCUCCUCUCAUCAACACUUGCUCGAAAUCUGUUGCAAUUGGAGGUGUUAGACGUUCGCGAUUGCUGGGAAUUAGAGCAAAUCAUUGAUGAGGAUCAGGAUCAGGAUCAUCUGCAACCUGUAUGUUUCCCAAAACUCACAAGGAUCGAUGUCAGUAGUUACCCCAAACUAAAGCAUCUAUUUCAUAUCAGUGUAGCUCCAAGUCUUCAAAAACUGGAGAACCUAUACAUAGGAUUUAAUGAUGAAUUAGAAGAAGUAUUCUGGCAUAAAGAUGGAGCAGACGUCACGGAUUACAAUGAAAUUGUUAUGAAUGAACUUCUAGACAUGAGACUGGUAGACUUACCAAACCUCACCAACUUUUGGCCUGCGGGUUAUCACAUCCCAUUUCCAUCUGCAUCCCAUAAAGCUGUUCGUAAUUGUCCCAAGCUUCGUGGAAAUUCAGAAGGAGAUAGAUGAUUCCAAGAAUUCUGGAGCACAGGUCAACUCUUGAGAACUUUAGUUAAUUGAUUCUAUACAUAGUUGGUUCAUGUUUUCGUUUGUGAUAGCUAAUUGAUCUAUCCUAAAAUCAAAAUUUCUCUUUCAAUAUAUAUAUAUGUGUUAUAUUAUAAUUUUCUCUGUUUGUUUUUUUUUAAAAUCAUUUUAUUCAUCAUUCAUUCGUAUUUAAUGCCCAAUUUAUUGGUUGGAUAUAUAGGCACAGCAAACCACAGACGAGGAGACGCCAAUGAAGACGCCAGCGAAGAAGAAGAAAAAGAUGGCAGCGAACAUAAAUGACUUUAAAAAAUUCCAAAAAUCCAAAAAAAAAAAAAGAUUUGUUCAGCGUGUUCAGUUCACCCAAGAAGCUAACAAGCUUUGUUCUAUACUUGCUCUGCAGAUGGAUGGUUAAUAUUUAGUCCGUGCUCAAAUUGUGAAGACUAAAUAUUAACAAGCUUUGUUCUAUACUUGCUCUCAAGAUUUGCUCAACUUCAAAAUUCACCUCUUCUGUUUGUGAUCAUUGUUUCUUCAAUUGUUGAAAUUUUGACAAAAUUGCUGGCUAAAUUGAUGGCCUUUUCGAUGGGCAUUAAUUGGGCUAAUUUAGUAGUAGCGCGCAUUUUCUAGACGGCGAAGAAAGUGUGUAAUGUUGUGACAGCAAUAAUUUUUAUUUUUUAAGUUUGCGAGAGUAUUGGAUAUUUUGGGAUUUUAGGAAGUGAGACUUCAUCAACUCAUAAAUGAGUGGCUACAAAUGUGUCUUUCGCGUUCUCUAGUACCCCGUACCUUUUGACUAGAGAUGGCAAAAGUCCGGGUCGGGUCCGGGUUUGGGGCUGCCCGGGACCGACCCGGAUAUCAAAUGUAGCUACCCGGACCCGCACCGUGCCUGGAAUUUUUCUAUGCGGGCCGGGCACGGGUUUUUUCCGGGUUUUCUCUACCCGAAUUUGAGUGGUGAAUGGUGAUGAAUUUGAGUGGUCAUAAUAUAUGAGACAAAAUCAGAAACGCACAUAUUACAUAUAGCUUCGAAAUUCACUGCAAACCCAACUUGCAAAAACCAUCAUUUCUCACAACACGCACAUAUUACAUAUAGCUUCGAAAUUCACUGCAAACCCAACUUGCAAAAACCAUCAUUUCUCACAACACACAAAAAUUAAAAGGCAAAUCACACGCCAAAAAAGAAUAAAUAAAAGGUGUCAAAACAAUUGUUUACUUCUAAAUUCUAACAAACCAUAACAGUCCAAAAUCAAAACAUCUUAACUAUAAGCAAACAUCUAAUGGAAUUAUCAAAAUUAAAAAAAGGAAAAAAUUCUAUAAUAAAUUAUUACAACAUCUUAACUAUUUCAAUUUCAAUCUACUUUAUAAAUUUAAGUAAAUAACAAAUAAAAAUCAUUUCAAUCUAUUAUCCACUACCUAAAUUUAUUCAAUUUCUAAACUAAAUUCAUUCAAUCCCUAUAAAAAAUUUAAAUUGAACAUCACAAUAAUCACCAAAUAAAUCUAAAUAAAUGUAGCAUACUAACACCCAACAUAUUACAUAAUACAUAUCAUAAUAACUCCAAUAUCAAUAACCAACAUAACAUAUAAAAAUCCCAAAAUAUCAAACACACAUAAUUCAUAAAAGAGUUUAAAAUAACAGAUUAUGUCAAACAGCUCGACGAUUGUGCCCCAUCAUCAUCAUCAUCAUCAUCUGAAAUUAACUCCUCCCCAGCAAAAAUCUCAUUUUCCGGAACUCCACCUAAUAACAAAAAUAACAGAUUAAGAUUUAAAAACAUUUUGAGCAAACAAAUAAUACGAUAACAUAAUUCAAAUAACUUUAUACCUCGAGAAGAAGCCCAAAUCCAAUUUUGAGCACACAUUAAGGAUUCCAAAGUGUUAGGAUUAAGUCUACUACGAUGCGGACUCAGAGGCAACAGUGGAUACAUGAAUGGCUAAGAUAUCCUUGGCCAACUCGCCAAAAAUAGGAUAUUGGCCUGUGUGCAUCUUCCAAAAAGCUAAAAUAUCAAAGUUCGGAAUAAUAUCCAAUAAUUCAUCAUCUAAAUACCUAUCCAACUCCGACUUAGUCACCUUAACACGCUUAUUUUGACUUCGAAAUAUUUCAAACUCAUCUACAUCCCAAUACUUAUUCGCAUUCGAAGAAGAUUCCAAAGGAACAUCAUCCAACCCAACAUCCUGCCUAUCACUCAAAACCAUAGCUUUCAUUUCAUAUUCUUUCACUAAAUCAUGACAAAGCUUAUGUGCAUGCUCAAUAUGCUCAUCCGCUGUAUCACCAUAGAUCUUUGGGAAAUAAAAAUCAAUCAACAACAUCUUAUAUCUCGGAUCAAGAACUACAGCCACAACUAACAUCGGAUGAAUUUCAUUCCAAUAUUUUUCAAAUUUAUCAACCAUUUUAUCAGCCAUAAUUCUAAUAGCAAGAUUAUCGGAAGUGCGCCACCCAUUAAUCGACAUUUUCAUUUUACAUAUUAACGGAAAGAACAAAUUAGCAGUAGGGUAUUUUGUACCCGAAAACAUCUCCGUUAACAUGUAAAAUGAUUUCAAAUGCUCCACCAUUGUGGCUGCCAAAUCACACUCACUAUCACUAGGCAAGCUCUUAUAUUGAGACUCACGCUGUUGUAGCCGAGAAAAAACACUUUUAUACAUUAGUGCUACAUCAAGCAUGGCAUAAGUAGAAUUCCAACGAGUUGGACAAUCUAACUUCAAACUUUUUUUACAAUUAAUUUUCAGUUGCCUAGCAGCUAGCUCAAAAGAUUCAAAUCGUUUUGGUGUUUGUGUCCAGUAACUAACACUCUCCCUAAUCUUUCCAACCCCGUUUUCUAUAACUUUCAACCCAUCCCGCACAACCAAAUUCAGUAUAUGAGCAGUACAUCUCAUAUGAAAAAUUUACCAUUGGAAAUUAAGGUACCGAGAUCAAACCUUAAUAACAAUUUCUCCACCAUCGCGUCAUUAGUGCUACAAUUAUCCAAGGUCAUUGAAGACAACUUUCUAUCCACGUUCCAAUCCAACAAACAUUGCACCAACUCAUUAGAAAGGGCCUCAGCAGUAUGAGGGCUCGGAACAUAAAUAAACCUAACAAAUAUUCAAGUGAUAAUAUUAAAUACACAAACUUAAAAUAUUAUAACAAUUUAAACUUAAAAGAAAUCAAAUAUAAGUAAUAAAAAAUUGAAAGAAAAAUUAAGCAAAUAAAAAGUUAUAGACAAAUUAGAAAUUACCUUAAAAUUCGGUUAUGCAAUUUCCAAGAGUUGUCAAUAAAAUGUGCUGUGACAACCAUGUAUCCUUUUUUCUGGUUACUUGCUAUCCAUAAAUCCGUAGUAAUAGCCACUCUACCUUGAUUUUUCUCCAACAUAUGCAAAGUCUUAAUCUUCUCAAUAUGAUAAAGUUUCGAAAUCUCACUCUUUAAUGUAUUUCUACUCAUUGGCUUAACCACGGGGUUGGUAUGUGCCAUCAUUUCUCUAAAGCCUUUAUAUUCCACAAAUUUAAGUGGAAGCUCAUGCAUCACCACCAUCCUUGCGAUCAAACUCCGCAAAACUUUUGGAUUAAAACUAUCAAAGCCAAUGUCACAACUCCCAUCCUCUCUUUUGAGCACUUUGAGACUUCCUUGAAGUGCUUCUUGUAUUUUCGGUUGACUCCUCGAAAAACAAGAUUUCACGUGCCUAUUCAAGCUCGUGGUCCCUAAUGUGUAUUUGGCUUCUAAAAAUGCAUUACAGUGCAUGCACUUUGCCUUUUUUUCUCCAUUAAUAGUUACUUUUGUAAAGUGAUCCCAAGCUGUAGAGACUUUCUUUCCCUUUUUAUCUUUAAGAGUUGACAGUGAAAUCUCCUCAACCUCAUUAUCAUUGCUAUCUUCAAAAUUCCGAGAUAAAUUUGGAGCAUUUGACGAAUUAAUUUCUAUAUUGUCUGACUGUGACUGUGACUGUGACAUCGCACUGCUGUUUAUUAUAAAAAAAAAUAAUGAAUAAUUAUAAAUAAUCAUGCAAAUUACAUAGUUAUAAUAUUAUAUAACAAAAUUAACUUACAAGCAACCUAAAUUAACUUACAACCAACCUAAGCAACCUAAUAAAGCAAAGAAGAAAGACCAGACAGAUAAAUAAAUAAACAACUGAGAAAUUUCUGGAGCAAUUGCAUGAACAUGACCACAAUACAAAGAAAAUUAACAGGUUUAAUUAAUUAAUAGACUGAAGCAAGUAUUUUGUCACUGUCUGAUUAUAAUUAGAAAAUAUUGUAUAGUUUUAAAUUUGUGUUUUAAAAUAUAUAUACAUGCCUGCACAGAUAUCAAACUUAUCUCAUUCUCAACUAAGCAAACUUGUUAGUUUGGUAACAAUCAUGCUUAUUUCGCCACUAGGCCGUAGUUGAGUGGUGAAUCCAUGUCUUUAUACUAGUGAAGGUAUAUAAGGUAAGGAUUAAAAAAGAAAAAAGAAAAAAAACAAUAAACACCAUUUGAAUAUUCCCCUGGUCACAAGUCUUUUGGUUGCGAUUGCAUUGUACUUUAGUCCCAGUAGCUGAAAUUUCCCACUUUACAGAAAUUCUUAAUGUGAGCCAAUUCUUUUUUAGUUUUUAGAUGGCCCCUGGUGCAUAAUCACAAAUAUGCAGAAGAGAUACUUGCCAGUACUACUCACUUUGCAAGCUUACGAAAUGAACAUAUAUAAUUUAUGUUAUCACAAUAUUAAAGUAAUUAUCACUACAGCUCAUGAUCACCACAUACAAGUUACUUAUCAUUUCUUAAAAGUGCUGCUCACACAGGAAAUAGUGUUCCAUUUGAGGUUCAUAGCCUCUUUGGUUCAAGUCUAGCUAGCUGCAACUUAAACAGGAAUUAAUGCCAGAAAUUGUUCAAUUGAUCAGCUGUAAAUUGUGAACUAUGAGCUAUAUCAAAACGAUUGCAGUUUGCAGAUAAAUGAGAUCAAACGUAUUCCAAACGAAACACCCAUAUGAAAUAGAAAAACUACUACAACAGCAUAAUGAGGGUGUUUAACAUUAGCUCUUUCUUAUUAUGUUCUGUGCAGCCAUUAACAACGUAAACACUUCCAGCAUCCAAGAAAAUAAUUAAGCACAUAUUGAAAGCAAUUUCAUCAUUUUUUUUUGAAAAAACAGCCAAAAAAAAAAUUACCUCGUGGGUCGUGGCUGUGGGUUGCAGGCUUGCAGCUGAUAUGGUGACAAAACAAUGGAGUGAGAGUGUGAGACCAACUAUGGUGGCGAACGCCGUCGCACGGUGGCUGCCGCUGAGAAGCUAACCAAACAGUGAAGAGCUCUUUGACGGACUGACGAGUGACGACUGUGCUUUGCGGUUCGUGGAGGGAGAGGCGCGGUCACUGUCAAUACUGCAUCGCCAUCGGUGAAGGAUAGGUGGUGGCUGCUGGUAAUGGUGGAGAGACGAAGGGAGGAGGUGCCGAUUCUGAUUUCUGAGACUUGUCUCGAAUUCGCGAUUUAGGGUUGGUUGGCCGGUUGGGUUUGGGGGAAAUUGGGUAAAGGAAAAAUGCAAUUUUCGUUUUAUAUUUUCCUCUUUUUUUUUUACUUAAUAAAAAAGCGGGCACGGGUCCGGGUUCCGGGUAUUUGGUGCUGUGACCCGACCCGUGCCCGGAAACUGCCGGGCAUUGAAAAUCAAUGCCCGGAUCCGCUUUUUUCAUGCAUGCGGGCCGGGUUUUACCCGGACCGCGUGUGCCGGGUCCGGUCCGGAUCCGGUCCGGGCGGGCUUUUCUGCCAUCUCUACUUUUGACAGCCACGCAUUCUUCUUGGCUCGUGGAAACUGGAAACUCAUUUUCUCAAAUAAGACUUUGCUUUUAUGCUACAAGCCUACAAGUGCUUUUAAUAAUUAUUUUGUUAGGAGAAUCGGUGCCUGCUUUGGAGCCCAACCCAUCAAGAAAUAUUAGUGAAAUUUUUUUUAUUAUUUAGUGUAAUGGCAAACCAAUUUUCUUUUCAAAUUCUAAAUCUUUUGUAUUUAUAUCAAAAAAUUUUAUUAUCUCUAUUAUAUGGCACCCACAUAGUAAUUAGUGAAUAUAUAAUGACAACUGGAAAUCAUGGCUAGUUUUAGAAUAUUGAACAAGGUUACUAUUUAUAUAUAGAUAAUUGUUCAGAACAUAAGGCAUGUAAUUUUUUUUAUUUUUCAAAUUAAUAAAUAGAUAAAUAAGAAUUGAGGUGCCGAAUUCUUAAUUAAUUAGUUGUUCCAGUCUUGAAUAUCCAUUAAUGUUAAUGUGGAAUGUGCAUUUGAAAGAGCAUUUUGUAAAAUGAUUUUACUAAGCUAGGUUUUUUUUUAAUGAUAUUUAAGUUCAUUUUUUCUAUUUUUUUCUCAAAGCAUUUCAAUCAUUUUUCGUUUCACAAAUCAUUCAAUUAUGGAUAGGGUUAUUUACACUCUAAAUAUUACUUUAAACAUUCCACUACUCUACACACUCAUACAUAAUUUAUAGAAAAAUUAUGUUUUACUUUAUAUACUCUUUCAAAUUCAAAAAAUAUCAUAUCUUAAACUAUUUAAGUUACUCAAACUUUAUUUCAUAAAUAGUACAAUGAUAACAUGAUAAUAUUUCAUAAAUAGUGCCCAAAAAAAAAGAUAAAGAAGGAGAUGAAGAAGACAAAGAGAUGAAGAAGAAGGGCCAAAGCAAAUAUAAAAAAUUUCUUUUAUAUUACUUUUGUUUUAUUUUAUUUUUAAAAAUAAAAAAUAAAAUACAUACUUUGGUCUAGCUGAGUAGCUGCUUGCUUCCUCGAGAUCACAUGCAUGUUUCACUAAUUUGCUUUUGUUGCUUCACUUGCCACCUCAUGCUUGACGCCUCUUUCUUUUUUGCUUUAUUCGUGAAUAUAUAUAUAUAUAUAUAUAUAUAAGGUUUAAAUACAAUGGAUACUACUUCAUUUUUCAUAUUUUUGGAGAAGCCGAAAUCAAAAGCAAAACAGAGAGAAGAAAAAGAAAUCGGGAGAAAGAAAGAAAAGGAAAGGAAAAGAGAAAGAAAAAGAAAAGAAGAAAAGAAAUAAAAGAAAACAGAGAAGCCAAGAGUGAAGAAAAAUAGAAAAAUGAAAGAAAAGUAGAAAGCAGAUUGAGAAGCCGAGAGUCAAAAAGAAGUUAGAAAAGAGAAAUUGAGAAGAAACUUUAAGAAAAUGAAACUAUGCAGUUAGAUUAAUAUUUAGUGAAUUAGUGAGCAAUAGAUAUAUAAAGUUUAAAUAGCUAUAUUACAGUUUUCAUGAUACAUAUCGGGUAUUUUAUUAAUUAUAAUAGUUAAUUUUUGAACCCUGUGUUUUAGGAGAAAUUCAUGUUUCCAGAAACCCACAAGAGCUUGAACGAACCCGACAGUAAACUAGACUCUGUGAAUGGAUACUAUUAUUACUAUUAUGCAUUUUAUGAAGCAUUUAUGUUUUAUAGUAUAAUUUAAUAUAUGUUAUAAUUAUAUGCACAAAUUUUAUAUAUUUGAUUGAUUCAUAAAAUGUAAUUGUCAAUCACCAUAUAUGUAUUCUUUCACAUCAGCUCUGUACAUGCAGAUUGAGAGUUAGGUUACUCUACCCGUAUAAUGUAGUUAAAUUCAGCUAGUAUUGAGAGGUUUUUCCCCUGCCUACUCGUGCGAUGACGAUUUUGGUGAGUAUUAAGAGUUAUUUUCUCUGAGUACUAUUUGUUGCAGUUUUUCCAUUUAUAUAUGUAUGAUUUUAUGUCAUACGAUUAUGUAUGAGCUCUAGUGCAUUACUUUAUAUAUAUAUAUAUAUAUAUAUAUAUAUAUAUAUAUAUAAUUAUAUUCACUCACUGAAUCGUAAACUCACUAUUCUCCUAUUUAUCUCAUUUUUCCUAGGUCUUGGUUGGAUUUCAUGCAAUUCGAUUUUUAAUCAAUUGAGGUUAUGCCAUGACACACAUUGCUGCAUGACUUGCAUUUUGAGCACGUUUAUGUCCAUAUGUAUAUAUUUAAGAUAUAUGUGUAUAUAGUGAGUUUUAAAUUGUACGAAAUUUGAAUAUGUUUAUUAUAUGUUUAUAGAAAAGGCCAAUGCCAUUUUUAUAUAUCCAUGAAUUAGUUUAUGUCGUGAGUUUUAAAUAUUAAACCACGUGAUUCUCCUCGAAUCCGACAUAUGGGUCGGGCGGGUUGUGUCAUUCAUCCACCAUGAUUUUACAAUUUAUAUCAUUCAUCCAAAAUAUCUUUAAUUUCCAAUAGAAAAUUGACAAAACCAUAGCAAAUUGAUCAUUUUGCUCUUAAAAGCCAAUUUAACGUAAAAAGACAAAGGAAAAUUAUCAACCACAUACUUUUAGUUUACCCUGUUAUUGAAAACACUUAAAAGUUUGAAUUUAUUUAAUUUUUUACUCUAAAUUUAUAAUUGAUAUCAACUACCCACAAAAAAUGUUAACACUGUUAGAAUAUUUUAUAGAAUUUAAAUAAAGGUCAUUUUAUCCUUGGAUUCAAGGGCAUUUUUCAAUUUGCACCAUAAAUAAUAAAAUAAAAUCAAGCUUUUUAUAACUAUUAAAUUGAAUUUGAGGAUUCGAUUGAUUGGGUGCUUAUCAAUUAGGGUUUAGAGUAAUUAGUGGAUUUAGUUUGAUUAUGUGAAUUUUUGAAGAUAAAUUUAGAAAAUAAAUUAGAUUUUUUUUAAUUAAGAAAAAAUAGAGUUUUAAGUAUAUUUAAUUGAAUAUUGGUUAUAAAAAAUGGUUUUUUAUUUUGAUAUUGAAAGCUAUUAUUUUAUUUUUUAUUUAGCAUAUUAAAUGUUUAAAUUAUCCUUGUGACGUCAUUAAUUAUAAAUGGCAGAUGAUAUUUUGGUGGAUAGCUAACAAAUUAUAAACUCAAGUUGGAAAAUUGAACAAAUUCAGAUUUUGUAGUAAUUUUUAUAGCAUGGUAAACUUAAGUUGGAUGUCUGAUAAUUUCUCUUUUAUUUUUUAUCCAGUAUGUUGAAUGUCUGAAUUAUCCUUGUGGCGUCAUUACUUUUUUAGCAAAAGCGAAUGAUUUGGUGGAUGAAUGAUGCAACUUGUAAGUGUUGUAUUUUUAUGACAGUACAAUUCAAGGGUGGACGGUUAAUAAAUUCCCAAGUUUAUAAGUUCAUAAAAAUAGUUUUAACCAUUUUACUAUCUUUUUUUCUUUGAAUAGCUUUACAAAUGAACACAAUAAUAAACAUUACGUUUGGCACAUAUGUUAUUUUCUUCGAGUUUGCUCAUCAAUUCAAAGUGUUAUCGCACAAGUUACUUGUAAUAAGAUAUAAAUGCAACACUAAGUCAUAAAAGAGAUGAAUAAUUGAACCAAAAAAAAUUGAGAUCAUUUCCUUCUUUUAUGUUGAGGUUUCAAGCCAUCGCCAACAAGAAACCACACGGUUAUAUCAAAGAACAAGCUUAAUAACAAAACUAGAAAAAUCCUUUCACAGGAGGUUGACAUCACAGCCUUGUGAUUGACAAAGAUAGCUUCCCUCGUGCUGAGCUCGAGCUCAAAGCAUGGACUGAAGAUGGGCUCGUAAUGGCUGCCGGUCACAAGAAAUAUAAGCAUCUGCUUGGGAUUCAGUUUCAUCUGGACAGCAUUCUUACCAGCGAAGGCAAGACAAUUGUUCGCAAUUUUAUCAACAAUCAUUCAGAUAACGCCAAUUCAGUAUAACUAAUCUAAUAGUUAUAAGUAUUUAUUUAAACUUAUAAGUGUUUUUUAGAUUUUUUAUCAUUAUUUAGUUAUUUUUUAGUAGAACUUUUGAGAUUAAAUAAAUUAUUUUACCUCCACUAAUAAAAACUUAAAUUUUGAGCCAUUUUUUUAAAAGGUUAGAAUGUUUAAAAUAUUAUUUAUUUAUUAAAUAAAUUAUUUUAUUUUUUCAUAACAUAACUUUAAAAAAUUAUUAAUUAAAGUAAUUUUUUAAUUUUUAAUAAAAACUACCAAGGAGAAUCAAAUAACUACAAUUUAUUUUUAAAAGAAAUAUACUAAUAAAAAUAUUACUUAAAUAAACUUUGUUUUAAAAAAAAUACUAAAUAGAACCUUAGGCUAAAAAAACUUAUUUUAAGCCCAGCUAAAUAGAACAAGCCAGAUAUUGAACAGCUCCUGUUUUGGCGCCAAUAUUGGUAUGGAUCAAUGCUUACACUAUUAACUAAGGAUUAUUUUGCAACAAUACUAAUUAAUCCCUUACAUAUAACGAGUCAUAUUCAUGUCUGGAUGCUUGGAUUUAAUAAAUUCAAAUUAUUAGAAUCAGAGUUAUACAGCACCUGAUUCUAGUUCUUGAUUUUGUAAAAUCACGACGUCCGAACCUAGGCAUCCUUUUGCUUGUAAUAACGAAAAAUUGCAUUCGUUGUAUUGUAAUUAUAGGGUUUUGGUCGCUGUUUUCACAGUUGGUGAGAGGGUGGGCGAUACCUUUAUUUCAUGGUAUGUGUAUUUUUAUGAAUAACAAUACUAUUAGUACAACGUCACGUGACAGUAUUGCGCAUUAACUUGAAGGUAAUACUAAGUUAAUGGUUCAUAUAUCUUUGGUAUCCCAAAACAAAAGUAAUAAAUCUGCAUUAAUUCAUCAUCUUUUCAGUACUCUGUAAAAUUUCUGAUUCAAAUUAUUUAUAAAGUUUCAGCUUUUAAUAUCUUCUGGGGACAGAUUAUGUUAUAUAAUGUUUUAUUGCGGCCUUAUGUUGCAAAACAUGAGAAAGAAAUUGAUCUUAAUUUGUUAAAGAUGAGAAUUAAGGCCAGGGACAUAAGUCUUCUGUUUUGGGAGAAGGCUGCCAUUUAUGGGCAAGCAAGGUUUUUUGAGAUUUUGCAAUACUUCUCUUCUCUGUCUCACUCUGAUCAGGUAAUUGAACAACAUUUUGUAAUCUAUUUUGCUGUCAAUUUUCUCAUUAAGAGACAAAAAAUGUUUUGUUUUGGGAUUUAUGAAAAACGACAGAAAAGUAAGUGGAAAAAAAUAAAAGAAAUUAUAGUGAAUUUUCUUGUUAUAUUACAAUAUAUAGGAAGCAAGUUAAACUGUUUUUUAUUCUGCUGCAGCAGCAUCAACAAGCUACGGAAGAAGUUUUUUCAAACAUUAAUAUGAGGCUGCUGCUAAAAUGGAAACAGUGCCAGUAUCAUCAUCUUUCCAAGAUGGCAAUUUAAUUAAUUCCUUCAAUCAAAACGGAGUUUCCACUGAUCAAGCUAUCCCGCAAUCAAGAAGCAAAUGGACGUUGUUCAGGACUGCAGCAGCAAGCCAAUAAUAAAGCCCUUGUAUUUGUCUUGUGCCAUUAUGAAGAUGAUUUAUAUACGUAGAAGAUGCAAAUUGAACACCAAUUAAUAGUUAAUUAGUCUCCAUUGUUUGCUUGCUACCAAUUUUGUAUCAUAUCAAUCUCAUGGGACUAUUGAUUAACAAAAUAUAUAGUGCGUAGUAGUGACAGGGGACUUUCAGUUAGAAGAAAAUUGUAACAUGCAAUAGUCAAUAACACGUUUAAAUUGUAGCAUGUACUAACUUACCUAAAUUGUCUAUUCAUUUUUAUCCACGUGUAGAGAAUUAACUAAUCAACAAAUUAAUCUGUGACACGUUUUUGUAAUUGCAUGCCGAUCAUUUUUUAUAAGGUAAUUUAAUGCGCGAUACAACCAUUUUAGGCACGAGGUUCGGAAGUACUUCUCAUUGUUAUUAAUUAUGAAUUAGGAUCCCACUUUAUAUUGUUAUCUACUAAACUACUAAUCACUCAUAUGAAGAAGCGGCUCAAAUCUAAAGAAAAUCAUAAUCUAUUAAAUAAAUGACGAGUUAUCUUAAAGUUCAAUCUAAUUGAUUUUGCCAUCUAUAGUAGAAACAACCAGUCAAGUGCUCAAUUUUUAGAGGAUUAAAUUAUUUACACUGUAAAAAUUAUUCUGAACAUUUAUUAUUUCAUACAACCAUUCACUUAAUUUUAAAAAUUAAGAUUUUAUUUUUUUUUGCUUUUUUAAUUUGAGUAUAUCUUAAUUAAAUGAAAGUCUAAAUAGCUCUGAAUGUAUGUGCUUGAGGACAUAUUUGCUUUUUUAUGACUAAAUGUAAGUGUUAAAUUAUUUGUCUUAUAAGCACAAAAAAAAUGAAUUAUGAUAUUUUGACAUUUAUGUCCCUAUAAGUAUUAAUAUAUAUUUGAUAAGUUAAAGAUGGUAAGUAAAUUAAAAUCAUUUUAUUAUUAAUUAUAAAAUAUCUAUUUUUUUCAAUAUAUACAAUGUUACUGCUAAAAAAGGUACAAUGUUAAUUACAUUAUUUGUGUGUAUGAUAUGAUUUUUUUUUUCGUUUAAUCACACAAGUUGACAUAAAAUCAAUUAACAAUUUCAAGUAAAAUAGCAUUUUACAUAUAUUAUUAAUUGUAAAAGUUAAAAUAAUUAAGGAAUAAAAACAACGGCUACAUCCUAGCCCAUUAAUUUUUGUUAAAAGUUUUGUUCAAAAUGAUUGUUAUAAAAAAAUAGUUGUUAAAAAAAAAAGAGCCCGAGAUGAGUACACGACGUAACGGCAACUGAAAAGAGUAAAAUAUAAAUGAGUUAUGUUUGAUUAAAAAUAACGUAUUAAAUAGGAGUAUUUUUUAGCUAUUAUAAUUAUUUUCGUUCAAACUUUUUUUAAUUCAGAUAAAAGUUAAGUUGUUUAAUUUUGUCUAUUAAGUAGUAUAUUCUAGAAUUUAGAUAAAAUAUGAAAAACAAACUAGUAAACUUAAAAAAUGUCUCACUUCAUACAUUUAAAAAACAAGCUUUAACUUUUACUUUAUACACUUUUUAAAAUAUCUAAAAAAAUCCUUACUAAUUAAAUCAUUGUAGUUAAUUUGUAAAUAAAUUCUUUUUAACACAAUUUGAAUAUCCUCGAAUCGUAUCUUUUCUGCCUUAUGAUAUUAUUGUGUUAAAAAAAUUAAAUGGCUUCUGCUACGGAUGUUUUUCCCGCGCAUUUGGUUUAUUUUCCUUUAAAUUGUUGCAUCUUGCAACUCUUCAGCAACAGAGUUUACUUAUCUCGUUUUCAUUCGCUUGAAUCAAGAAACAAUUGUGUAAAAUUGUAAGAUUAAGUAAAUAAAUAAACUCGAACAUAAGUUUAGUUAUUAUUAUGAACCAGAAGUUUUAAGUAUAAGAAUUAUAAAUCAUUAUUACAUUAGUUAUAAUAGAUUAUUCAUUUGUUCAUAACAAUAAUUCAUGUGAUGAGAAUUUUUUAAAUAAAUUAUUUUAUUUAAAUAAAAAUAUUCGAAAUAAUUUUUAAAAUAUAAAUACCUUACUUAUUUAAAAGAAAAUAUUAUAUUCAGGCAUGCGAAGGCUACAUUCAAUUGGAUUGACACUCAACCCUCCCACUAACAAAAAGUGUAGGUAUAGAAAAAACUCAACCAAAGAUAUGUUAAAAAGAUAUAGAUAUAUAGAUAUUUAGUACAAUGGAACUCUUAACAAGAAAUAAGGACGGAUAAAACAAGGAUAAACAACCUCGUACAUAUCAUGUGUGAGAAAAGGGAGAAAAUUAGUAUGGGGUCAUUAAAAAAUCAAAAUGGUGACAUUCCAAUUUUUUAUAGAACAAAGCUUAUUUUUAGCUCCUUGCACGAACUGAACACGUUGGACAAAUUUAUUUAUUUUUUUUGGAUUUUUGGAAUUUUUUAAAUUCAUUUAUGUUCACUCCCAUCUUUUUCUUCGCUGGCGUCUUCAUUGGCAUCUCCUCGUCAGUAGUUUGAUGUGCCUAUACAUCCAACCAAUAAAUUGGGCAUUAAAUACGAAUGAAUGAUGAAUAAAAUCAUUAAAAAAAAAAACAAACAGAGAAAAUUAUAAUAUAACACAUAUAUAUAUUGAAAGAGAAAUUUUGAUUUUAGGAUAGAUCAAUUAGCUAUCACAAACGAAAACAUGAACCAACUAUGUAUAGAGUCAAUUAAUUUAAAGUUCUCAAGAAUUACCUCUGCUCCAGAAUUCUCGGAAUCAUCUUCUCCUUAUGAAUUUCCACGAAGCUUGGGACAAUUACGAACAAGAACUCUAUAGGAUGCAGAUGGAAAUGGGAUCUGAUAACCCGCAGGCCAAAAGUUGGUGAGGUUUGGUAAGUUUAUCAGUUCCAACUUCCGAAGUUCAUUCAUAACAAUUUCAUUGUAAUCCGUGACGUCUACUCCAUCUUUAUGCCAGAAUACUUCUUCUAAUUCAUCAUUACCUAUUAUGUAUAGGCGCGACAGUUUUUGAAGACUUGAAGCUACGCUGAUAUGAAAUAGAUGCUUGAGUUUUGGGCAACUAAAGACAGAGAUCGAUGUGAGUUUUGGGAAACAUACAGGUUGGAGAUGAUCCUCAUCCUCAUCCUCAUCAAUGAUUUGCUCUAAUUCCAAGCAAUUUGAAAGAAUUAACUCGUCCAAUUGCAACAGAUUUCGAGCAAGUGCUGAUGAGAAAAGACGUCUCAGCAUAGAGCACCCGUCCACUCUUAAAAAGGUAAGACUUUGCAGGCUAAAAUUAUGAGUGGAACCUACGUGAUAUAAUAAUACUUGCAGUUCUCGAAGGUCUUCCAAUUGCAACGUCUUCAAACAUGGGAAUAGUUUGUUUUCUUGUCCCUCAGCGAUAAUAGCUUCCACUUGAAAUACCACUUGUACUCCAAGUUCUCCAAUAUACAAUAUUUCCAAAUUUGUUAAGCCAUGCUUCAACAGUGCUGGAAUCGUGUCACUCAAAUGGGAGCAUUCGCCUACUGUUAGAAUUCUUAAUUUCUGAGACAAAUAAAUAAAUAACUUGAUGUAAUUAAAAUUUGUUAGCAGCUAGGAUUGUCAAAUUGACAAUUAAGCGACAAAUACUUAAAAAAAAAUUACCUACAAAAAUAUAAUACUACACAUGUAAACUUAUAAAAUAAUUAUACUUUGUGAAAGUAAGGAAUUUAUAAAAAAGAAAAAGAAAUCCGUUGACAGAGAUCAUGUGAAGUGAUAUAGCAGUGACAUCGUUUUGUUUGAGAAAAAUUAAUAUAGUAUUUCUAUGGUAAAAUUAACUAAUGAAUUGAAUUUGACUAAUAAUAUACAUACAUUACAAGUCCUUGCAUCCAUUUUUUUUUAUUAUAGAGUAAAACGAGAUAUGAAUUUUAUUUAAAAAAUGAAUUUUAGGCCCUAAAACAAAGAAAUUUGCUCAAGAUACUGGAUCGUUAUUAUUAUCAUCACCACUACCACCACCGUCAUCUUCAUCUCAACACGCCAAAUGCAAGGUGAUAUGAAUGACUGAUCACAAAAGUUUUUGAUAAACUAUCUUUUUAAGUAAAAUUAAAGGAAAAGAAAGAAAAAAACGUAAACACAAGCGAACAUACCUCUCCAAGAUACUGCAAAUUAGCUUCAAGUUCAGUACUGUUGACGGUCAAUUUAGGACAUCUCUUUACAUCUAACUCUUCCAAUGCCGGCCAAGUUGAAUAAUAAUUUUCUGAACAGAAGCUGAUGAGUUCGGGGAGAUCUUUAAAUCUUAAUUUUCUCAACGAAGGGAGUGCAAGUAUUGUAUUUCCAUCUCCUGCACUUAUUUCCCUCUCAUUAUGAUCCAAUUUUGCUUCAACGACAUAUUCCAGUCUCUCGCAGUAACUCACUUUCAGACUUUUAAGCUGCACCAAACUUCGAGCCAGUGACAACGUGAAGAUAUAAGUCAAGUUGUUGCACUCUGACACACUCAAUUCUGUAAGAGAUUGGAGGCUGAUCACAUGUUGGGUGGGCGCCUUCCAUAUCCACUUCAGUUCUGGUAAUUCUGACAUAUAUAACUCUGCUAAUCUUGAGAGCAUCACAGGAUUCCCACUCUUUCCAUGCGGCGACUUAGAGGCAUCCAUUAUGCAUUCUAAAUCUUCGCAACCGCCGACAUCAAGACGAGUCAACUCAUUUAAGCCCCGUUCAUCUAUGCUUGGCACAAUAUUAUGACAACCUGUUACCCCACUUAAAUAAAGAAUUUCCAGAUUUUGAUACAGUGCUGAAAAAAUUCCUAGCGUCGCUUUAGGACGGUUAUUCUCAAUGAUUAAGCACCUUGUCCCUCUAUCAAUGUCACAUAAAGCGUCUAAGAUCUUUCUCCAUCUAUCACAGUCAUAUGAAGUGCCAAAUUCCACGACGCCAUACCUUUGUAAUUUCGGAAAUGAAAAGUCAUUUGGAAGACAUACAACGGAUCCGUUGGGUUGGGAGUCCGACUCAACACACCUAGCGUAACUUUCUUCUGAACUCAUCCCUUCAACCUCCCAAUUUUUUAUCCAACCAUAAAAUUCUUCUAAUUGAGGAAAUUUAUUUAUCGUAAUGGGAGAAAUUUUGCCAGUACUAAUAUACAGAAGUUUCAAUCUACUAAGUUUAUCCCCCAAUCCAUCUGGAAUUUCAAUGGGAGACUCCUCGAGAUAAAGUAUUUGAAGUCUCUUCAACUUUCCAAGGAAAGACGCGUCAGUCACCUCACAUCGAAUCAACUACAGAACUCGAAGGUUAUUGGCGAGGAAUUGAAGUGAUUUAAGUGAAAGAACUCCACCUAUUAUAGUGACAACUUUCAGUGCUGACAUCUCUUUAAAAAAAUAUUCUGGAACUUGCAAUUUGUUGUCAUAUUCAGUAUUCUCCAAUCGCAAAAUAUGAAGGUUAGGGCAUACCAAACCACUAGGAAGCUCUUCUUUUUCAUUUCUCACCAAAGAGAUUCCUCUGUAUUGUUCUAGGCCUUCUUCCACUGCCCAUUCCGCCAAUCCAAUGCCAACUUUACUAGUAAAAUAUUUCUUCUCCACUUUGCCUAUCCAUAAGGCUACAUCGCGAACUACGUCAUGCAUUUUCACAAAUCUGUCAUCAUCAGUGUCUAACAGCAAUGAAGAAUCUUUGAGUCCUUUGAUCGUUCCACGCAGUAGGCUUCUGGCUUUUUCGGUUGAUUCAGCUUGAUACCAAACCAACCCCACUGCAUAUCCAAGAAAAUCCUCCAAAUCUAUCUUAUAAUCUUCUGGAAACAGCGAACACAACAAGAAGCAUGACCUGGAAUCCUCACCAUUCAAAUAAUCAUAACUAAAUUUGAGACAACCGUAAACGCCCCGGGAAUCCUUAUCAAUACCUUCUAUCUUAUCGAGUUUUGCAUUUUGUAGUUUAUCUAGUGCUACAUUCCAUUCAUCAGCGGUUCUUCCUCUUAGUGCACUUCCAACAGCUUUAAUAGCUAAAGGCAGCCCCUUACAUUCAUCAGCAACUCGUUUUGAAACAUCAAUCAAGGUUGUAUCAGCAACAUCAAUGCCAGCAUGCUUUCUUAGUAAAUCCAAUCCUUCAUCUUGCUUUAGAACACCUAGUUGGAUCUGCGUGUCACAACCCAUGCGAUCACAAACUGGCUGCAGGCGAGUGGUUAGAAGGAUUUUGCAACAAUUGUCUCUAUCACCAACGGGAAUACCUACUUUUUCCAAGUCGAGUUGAUUCCAGACAUCAUCAAGAAUUAUGAGCAUCUUGCGGCUUUUACUCUCAGAGAACAUCAUGCGCAAUCGGCGUGCUCUAUCUUUUUCAUAUGUCUCUGUUAAUUCCCAACCCAACGACUUUACUAGCUCACUUUGAACAUUUAUUAUGUUUUGAUCCUGAGAUACAGUGGCUAUCCCUACCUCAUCGAAAACAUUUUCUUCCCGAAGUUGAUUGCCCACAAAGUUCGCCAAAGUUGUCUUUCCGACACCACCAAUCCCAUACAAUCCCACUAUCUUCGUGUUGUCUCCUUUCAGUGCUUUAAUGAUCUGAUAGCAAGCCGAUUCUGUAGUCCCGAAAGGAAUAAAAUGUCUUGGUAUAGGCAAUUCUUUGUCUGAUGGAAGAGGUUUAGGACGCGCAACUGUGCUGAAUUUGCUGCGGUCUUGUAGCAGAUCGGACAGCUUGCGAGUCUCCUUUGAUGCUUUUCUACCCAUCCAAUAUCGGAAACCCCAAUUAGGACACCAUCCAUUGAAACAACUCUUCUUUUCAUCUAGAUUUGCUUUCAAAGUUCGGACAUCGGCCAUUUUUUUGACUACAUCCGCCAGCCACUUCUCUACAUCUUUCUCAACUACUAUAGCGCAAUGUUUUUGUCGUUCUUCUUCUACUUUUUCGUUGAUGCCAUCUUGUGCCUCCUUCAAAUUAGUUUCUUUAUCCUCAAGUUCUUUAACAAUGCUGUUGAAACAGAACAGAUAGCGAGCUUGUUUUAUGGUAGCAUCCACCAAUAAUUCUCCAAGCUUUGAUGCAACACCUGAUAAAAUAUCCAUGCUAUUUAUCUGCAAUUAACAAAGUUGAUCUCAGUACGCUAUAAGCAAAACAAGGAAGCUUGAUCACAAGAUCGAACGAGAACGUUUAAUUACUUUUUUCUGAACGCACGUUUAUUAACGCUAGCGUUGAUCAAUAAGAGCACAAUGCAAACGCCGGGCUUUUAAGUAGCCUUUAGCUGCAAACAGAAGAUAAGAAAUAAGGUAAAUGGUGGAUUAUAUUGAAAUUAGAUUGCUUUAGAAUAUAUCUAGCUAAUUAACAUCAUAUAUAAGUCCUUGCUCUCAGUCAAAUCUUUCAUUCUUAGAAAUAAUACCAUAAUUCCAAAAAUCAAUCAGAUCUCAUACCUUCUUCGUUAUAUAUCCUCAACUACUGCUGAAAGCUCCAGUUAGAGAGUCGCACAAGUUCAGAGAAAAUUAAAAGCUGCAUCUGGCAAUAUAAAUAAACAUCAGAUCCAAACAAAAUAGCAUAUAUCUAGCUAAUUAACAUCAUCUAUAACUCCUUGUUCUCCGUCAAAUCUUUCAUUCUUAGAUUAAAAAAAAAAAUUGAAAUAAUAACUGUUAAGUGAUAUAGGAAGCAGAAGUAGCGUACCGAAAUGAGGGCGGCUAGUUCACGGAUGACAGAUCUGGUGACCUCAAGAUCAUGAAAAAUGAUUGAACUUUGGUGGAAAGGUCUGAAAUGAUAUGUCAGUGAGAAUUGAAAGGUGGAAAGUGAAGUGAUACACAUGCCUUAUCAUCUGUCAUGGGGGGUAAUUUGGUAAAACUGAUUUAAAAUUUAAAAAAAAAAUUUAAUAUGAAGUUUUGUGUCCAACUGCUUGUACUUGGGGAAUCUUUCGGGUUAUUGAGAGGAUGAUUUUAAAUUGUUUAAUUAAAUAUAAGACUUUUACUUUUCUUUUAUAUAUUUUUCUUUAGAAUGAAUUUAAAUCUCAUUCUUAUUAAAUGAAGGUAGAUUUCUCUACACAAAUUUUGGGUAUAUUUUAUAAUUAAUGUUCAACAUAUUUCUAAAUUAUAUUAUAAAUAUUUUUAUUUAAAAUCUCAACAGAUUUCAUAACACACAAAAAGAAAUACAUAUAUAUAUAUAUUGUAAUGUUCUAACAAGAGAUUUUUAAAAUUAUUAAGUUAAAAAUAAGAAAAAUAUGUGUUUUAACAUUGUACAUAGUAAAAUAUAAUGUAUUAAAGUGAGUUAUUUAUUUUAGGAAAAUGCUACUUUUUUCGGGUCAAACCCCGAAACUCAUCCAAACGACGCCGUUUCAUUUUUUUUUUUCCUCUUUCAUUCUCCCUAAACGACGCCGUUUUGGCUAAGGCAAAACCAUUGAUUUCUCUUUCUCUUCCGUCUUCCCCUUCCUCUCACAGCCAUUGAAUGCCCAGCAAAUUCAUAUCUCACAGCCAAAUUCAGUGACAUACACUUAGUAGGUGCAAUCGCAAAGCAUCUGAUUUUGUCCCUCUCAAUGUUCCCCAACUUGUCCAGAUUCUGAACCACAAUCAACACCAACAAUGCCACCACCCCUGCCCCCAAUGAAUGCCCAGCAAAUGUCAAAGUAUAAUUUGGCUUCCUGUCAACCAAGCCCCUUAAAAAUUCACACUCGGCAUCGAAAACCCACCUUGCAGCCUUCAAUGACCCAUUGUGAACAUAUCCACCAUCAAACUUUUUCUGCCCAAGUUUGUUAUCCACAACCCAAUCUGGAUUGAUUAUAGAAGAGAAGAGAACGAGGAGACUAUGCAGGUAUCCUGUAUUUUAGUUCGAUGAAGGAAAAUGGAACGAGGCAAACGAAGGGGCAGCUGGGUUCUGAAGAGAACGAAGAGAAGAGAUGUAUUGACUACUCUGUAAUUGUUCUUUUUAUCAUGGAAGGAAAUGGAGACAGUUUCUGCAACUGGUGUUAUAUUUUGCUCUUCGUUUUUUUGGUCAGUAGUGCAUAGAUGAUAUGGAUAUUUGGUCAUGAACAAUAGGUGGUUGAUUUGUACUUCUGUGCAUAGUGUAUAUUUUCCUUGUCUGAUUCAGUGCUUUUUUUCAUGAAAUGUAUGUUUACUGUCAAGGUGCCAAGGCUGAUGGGAGUUUCUCUAUGCAUCUGGUGUAAUCAUCUACAAAGCUGAUGUAGUAUCUAUAUCCAUGUAAAAAGGAGGGCAUGGGAGAUGGUCCCCAAAGGUCAGUAUGUAUAAGCUCCAGGGGUACUGAGGUUUUAAUUCCAGUUGAAUAAAAAGAUAACUGAUGAAGUUUUCCAUACUGACAUGCAUCACAGAAAUCAGGUAAAGUUAUAGAAGACUUAAGAGACAAAUGAGGUAUAAUAUUUUUCAAAGCAUGUUUGUUUGGAUGACCAAGUCGUUGAUGCAGUAAGUUUCCACAAACAACAGAUUUGGUAAUGUUUACAUGACUCUUAGAAUUUACUGAUUCAGUACAAGCUUUAUUUUCAGCUUUAUUUGACAGAACAGAAGCUGAAUUACUAAUAACAGAAAUCAUUGAUCUAGGUACAUAGGCUAGAGAACAGGAUUUGGAAAGAAAGGUAUCUUUUGACAGCAGCUGAUACAAUCCUUCUUUAGCAAUCCCUUGAGCCAGAUGCACAGUCUUCUUCUUGUCCUUAAUGAAACAAAGAUUGGCAACAAACUCAAUGGUUAUGUCAUUAUCUUUCAAAAGUGUUGAAAUACUAAUGAGGUUUUUGGUUAUUGCAGGCACAUAUAAGAUGUCAUUUAAGUGUAAAAGUGAGUCACAUGAUGUAUGAAAGCAAGCAUAUCCAAUAUGUGAUAUAUUCAAACCUUCCCCAUUACCAACAUGUAAUAGCUGAUUACCUGAAUACUCCAUUCCCAUAUUCAGAUUCUGCAGAUUGUUGGUGAGAUGGUGAGUAGCACCACUGUCCAAGUACCAUCCUUGAUCAGCUAAGCCACCCUCUGAAGUUGUGAGAAAAGCAGCUUUUGUGUUUGACUGAUAAGGGUUGAAGUUUGAGGGUGGAUAUGCAGGAGUGAAAUCUUUGUUAAACAUGUUCCUACACUCAGCUGCAGUGUGCCUUGGCUUGAAACAAAUUUGACAGAUGACAGCAGGAGAAUUCUGAGCACCUUUGUUACCAUUAAAGGCACCAUUCUGACCAAAUACACCAUUGCCACUGUCAUUCCAGUCACCUCUUCCUUGUCCAGAAUAAUUCCUGUUGAAAUUGCCAGUAUUCCAGUGAUUACCAUCAGACCAGUUACCUCUUCCUUGGCCUGUAACACCUCUGCCAAAACCACCUCUUCCUCCAUUAUUGCUAUUAUAGCCUCCUCUGCCACCAUUGUUCCCAUUCCAGUUGACAUUUUGAUUCCAGUUACCAAAACCUCCUCCAUUAUUAUUAUUGUAGCCUCCUCUGCCCCCAUUAUUUCCAUUCCAAUUGGCAUUUUGGUUCCAAUUACCAUAACCACCUCCAGUAUUGCCAUUAAAUUUCUUGUUAGGUCCAGUCUGAGCCAUAUUGGCAGUAUAGUUCAACUUAGCUUCUUUAUUAGCAUUUUGUUGAUUACUCUCUAUUCUAGCCUCAUGAGUUAAAAGCAUAGAAUAUGCUUCAUUUACUGACAUUUUCAACAUAUUAGCUUCUAUGUAUACAACCACAGGAUAAUAUGGCUGUCCUAAUCCACAUAUCAGAUGAGUUAUAAAAUCUAGAUUGGUUACAGGACUUCCAGCCAAAGCAAGUUCAUCACUCACAGCCUUAAGUUUGCUAAAAUACUCAGUGAUUGUCAUUGAUCCUUUUUUGAGAUUAUUAAGUAGCAUUUUCAGAUGUACUUUCUUAGCACCUGUUUCUGAUCCAAAUUGUUCUUCAAUGUUAGUCCAGAGUUCAUUAGAUGAGUUAGAAUUUACCACUAGACUGAGAAUUUCAACACUGAUCGAUGACAUCAACCAGCUCAGCAGCAACUGAUCCUGCCUUUUCCAGUUAUUGAACUCUGGAUUUUCCUGUGGCUCAGCUACAGUUACUCGAUCUGAACUUAAGCUUGCUUCUUCUUGAUUGUGAAACUGAUUUGGACACUUUCUAGUUCCAUCAAGAAGAGAUUCAAGUCCAUUGGCUCGAAUUGUAGAAAGGAUCUGAGAUUUCCAGAUUGUGUAGUUUGAUCUGUCUAAUUUGAUUGGAUUUGUGAAGGUAAAAGAAGAAACAGUUUGAUUAAUGUUUGGAUUUGAGCUUGAAGAAGCCAUGGCAGCUUGGAUCAUAGCUCUGAUACCAAGUUAAAAACAGAGUUCGUGUGUUUGGAUACAGAGAAAAUGUAUGAACCAGAGAGAAAAUGUUGAGAGUAUUCGAAGAGCAAAAAUGAGAAAAAUGAUUUGUUAUAUUAUUGAUCUUGAUGACAACUGUUGUAUAUAUACAUAAUCUGGAAUGGUAUACACGCGUUGUGUAUGUGAAAAACAAAAUCAAGGCUCAGUUACUAAACCGUUAUUAACAACUAAAACUAACCAGUUGACUCAGCAAGUUACACAUCAGCAAUACUAACAAACAAAAAACUAAUUAGCUCGUUAAUUCUAUAACUCCAUAAUAUGAACUAUCUUAACAAUGCGAUUGUAUUCUUUUAAGAUUUUCUGUGCUUAUCAAAUAUUAUUUGUUGCUCAACUUAAAACAUGUUAGUCUUGGAAGCUAUUCAGAUUUUGCUGGAUAGAUCAAAUACUGGUUCAUAUUUGUGAUAUUUUAACUGAUUGCUUUGUUCUGCAGGUCACCUUCAACCUCUCGUGCAAGGUCAAGAUCCAAGUCAAGGUCACCCGUGAGUUUUCAUCGUAGAAGGAGGUCCCGCUCUUUCUCGCCUCCAUCCCGCCAUCGAAGAGGUCAUAGGUCCAGGUCACCGCUAAGAUCACGCCACUAUUCAAAAUAUGAUAAUGAGAGGCUUUCAACCGGAGACACCAGGGACGGUGCUGACAGAUCUAGGAGGGAGUCAGAUAUUAAAGGAAGAGAAGGAAGAAAUCAGAACAAAGAAAGAAAAAAAAAUAGAAGCAAAACGAUGUCGUUUGAAGACGAAUCAAAACAAAAAAAAUAAGAGCUGAAAACGACGACUUAUGCUGCCGUUUCGGGGUUUGACCCGGAACAAAUAGCAGAACUCUUUAUUUUAUCUCUUAAUUUAAUAAUUUAAGAUAUCUUUUAUUUAAUAAUGAUUAUAUAUAUAUAAUUUUCUUUUAAAAAUAAACAAUUUAAGUGAAGCAAGGACAUUUUGGAGGCGUCUACCGACAUACCAUUUUGGAUUGCAAUAAAGUGAAGGGUCCCGCUAAUUUACAGCUUAUGUCAGUUACAUGGACUUGACUAGCUUACAGUAUCUGUAAGCUACAGACUGCAGCAUCAGCCGUUGGAUGUGGUUAGAUGUGGAGUGAGAAACUAAACAAUAAAAAAUCAGAUGGUGGGAUGACGGGAGAUGUUUGUUACAGAAACUGUACCAUAGACAAGUCCCAGUUACAUUCAUAACAAAUUAAUAAUUGUCUUUAUUAUAAAAUUUUUUUAUAUUCAAAUAUCGGUUCAUUUAUUCAACCAAGUCCUCGUAUUCUUUUAAUUUAUGAUAAGAUUCUCGCAUGGACCAGAUCUGCAUAUGUGAUAAUUACUAACUCUGUCAACUAGCAGGACCCCCAUUUUUUUAAUUUGAAUGGUCACAUCAUGAUCACACUUACAGACCCACAGAAUAAUACCAACAACGAACUGUAAAUUUCCAUGGACACAAAUAUCCCCAACUAGUGCUUGCUAAUUAACUAUACACAUAAAACUUAAUCACAUGUAUAAGAAUUUCGGCCCCUCAUUGCAAUAAAGUCAAGAGUUUUCGAGAUAGAAAAAAAUAGGUGAAGGAUGAAGAUCAGAGAAGAAAAAAUAUUAAGAAUAGUUUUUGCAUUUUGAUGGGUUUUAUAAAGUAAAACCUAUAUUUGUAAUUGUAUUAGCGGUAAUUGAAUGUUGGUAGCAAGUACUGGUCAAUAUAUAUAGUCACUACUGGUCACUAUAUAUAUAUAUAUAUAUAUAUAUUACAAAAUUGGUAGCAAGUACACAAUGGAGUCUAAUUAAUUAAUCAAUUGGUGUAAAAUUUGUAUCUCCUACAUAUAUAAAUCAUCUGCAAAAUGGCACAAGACAACUAGACAAGUGCUUUAUUAUUGGCUUGCUGCAGUUCUGAACAGCCUCCAUUUGCUUCUUGAUUGCGGGAUAGCUUGAUCACUAGAACCUGCUUUUUUAUUGUAGGAAUUAAUUAAAGUGCCACUUCUUCUGUGGCUUCUUGCUGCUGCCGCCGCUGCAGCGUAAUAAAAAAUAGUUUAAUUUGCUUCCUAUUGUAAUAUAAAAUAAAAAAAUAACUAUAACUUUUGUGUUUUUUCCAUUUAUUUUUCUGCAGUUUUCAUAAUAUCUCGUUAAUCUGUUACUCUUGAUGUCGAAGCCUUUUUAGAAAACAAAUGAGUGAUUGUUUUGCGUCUGAAGGAGUUUUGUGUAUAUAUAAUAUUCUCCCAAUUUCUUUUUCUUCUCUCUAUUUUGCUUUUGAUUUCGGCUUCUCCAAAAAUAUGAAAAAUGAAGUAGCCUCCAUUGUAUUUAAACCUUAUAUAUAUAUAUAUAUAUAUAUAUUCACGAAUAAAGCAAAAAAGAAAGAGGCGUCAAGCAUGAGGUGGCAAGUGAAGCAACAGAAGCAAAUUAGUCAAACAUGCAUGUGAUCUCGAGGAAGCAAGCAGCUAGCUAUUUCUUAUUUAUGAAGCCAAGUGUGGCUUCAUUUGGUGGCUUCAUGUGUUCAUCUAAUUAAUAUUUAGAUGAACAAUGAGAAAAUUAAUUUUGAAAUUUUUUUGAUUAAAGUAUGUGUUUUAUUUUUUAUUUUUAAAAAUAAAAUAAAACAAAAGUAAUAUAAAAGAAAUUUUUUUUAUGUAUUUGCUUUGGCCCUUCUUCUUCAUCUCUUUGUCUUCUUCAUCUCUUUCUUUAUCUUUUUUUUAUGGGUACUAUUUAUAAAAUAUUAUCAUGUUAUCAUUGUACUAUUUAUGAAAUAAAGUUUGAUAACUUAAAUAGUUGAAGUUAGGAUAUUAUUUGAAUUUUAAAGAGUAUAUAAAGUAAAACUUAAUUUUUCUAUAAAUUAUGUAUAAGUGUGUAGAGUAGUUGAAUGUUCAAAGUAAUAUUUAGAGUGUAAAUAACCCUAUCCAUAAUCGAAUGAUUUGUGAAACGAAAAAUGAUUGAAAUUUUUUGAGAAAAAAUAGAAAAAAAAGAACUUAAAUACCAUUAAAAAAAACAUUUUGAAAAAUAAAAAUUAUUGCUGUCGCCACACACUUUCUUCGCGGUUUAGAAAGCUAGAACAUUUUGAAGUUACUCAAUACAAAAUGCGUGCUACUACUAAACAUUGGCCCAAUUAAUGCCCAUCGAAAAGGCCAUCAAUUUAGCCAACAAUUUUGUCAAAAUUUCAACAAUUGAAGAAACAAUGGUCACAAACGGAACAGGUGAAUUUUGAAGUUGAAUAAAUCUUGAGAUACAUACAACAAAGCCUUGAAACUUUAUUCUUCACAAUUUGAGCACGCACUAACUAUUAAACAAGUAUAGAACAAAGCUUAUUUUUAGCUCCUUGCGCGAACUGAACACGUUGAACAAAGCUUUUUUUUUUUUCUUUUUUUGGAUUUUUGGAAUUUUUUAAAUUCAUUUAUGUUCGCUCCCAUCUUUUUCUUCGCUGGCGUCUUCAUUGGCAUCCCUCUCUUGGCUGGCAGCUGCCUCCUCCGUAGUUUGCUGUGCCUAUAUAUCCAACCAAUAAAUUGGGCAUUAAAUACGAAUGAAUGAUGAAUAAAAUGAUUAAAAAAUAACAAACAGAGAAAAUUAUAAUAUAACAAAUAUAUAUAUCAAAAGAGAAAUUUUGAUUUUAGGAUAGAUCAAUUAGCUAUCACAAACGAAAACAUGAACCAACUAUGUAUAGAAUCAAUUAAUUUAAAGUUCUCAAGAAUUACCUCUGCUCCAGAAUUCUUGGAAUCAUCUUCUCCUUAUGAAUUUCCACUAAGCUUGGGACAAUUACGAACAGCAACUCCGUCGAAUGCAGAUGGAAAUGGGAUCUGAUAACCCGCAGGCCAAAUGUUGGCGAGGUUUGGUAAAUCUGUCAGUUCCAACUCCCGAAGUUCAUUCAUAACAAUUUCAUUGUAAUCCGUGACGUCUGCUCCAUCUUUAUGCCAGAAUACUUCUUCUAAUUCAUCAUUAGCUUCUAUGAAUAGGUACUUCAGUUUUUGAAGACUUGGAGCUACGCUGAUAUGAAAUAGACGCUUUAGUUUGGGGCAAUAACCGACAGAGAUCCUUUUGAGUUUUGGGAAAUAUACAGGUUGGAGAUGAUCCUCAUCAAUGAUUUGUUCUAAUUCUGAGCAAUUCCAAACAUAUAACCCCUCCAAUUGCAACAGAUUUCGAGCAAGUUGUUGAUGAGAAGAGACGUCUCAGUGUAGUGCACCCGUCCACUCUUAAAUAGGUAAGACUUUGCAGGCUAAAAUUAUGCGUGGGACCUUCAUGAUAUAAUAAUACUUGCAUUUCUCGAAGGUUAUAUGUAGAGAAGAGAACUAAGGUAAACGUGAUAUAUGGUGGAUUAUAUUGAAAUUAGAUUACUUUAGAAAUUUUUAAACAAAAAAAUAAAUAAGCCUCAGAGUUCGUUGUGCCCCAAGGAGCCCAGUGGGUUUCAAGUAGUGGGUUCAAAAUUUGGAGGCAAGGGUCCAAAAAAAUAAAUUUGAGUUUUGUUCAUCCCUUGCUCACUUUUUUUUUUUAAAUUUUAAAAAUGAGCUUGUUGUGAAUUGCGAGUGAAGACAUGCAGAUACCGUCUUUGUUUCACCGGCUCUUUAGAACAAGGUUAUUAUUAUUUGGCACGAUAAGCCCUUAGCACCAUAUUGAUUAGAGUGUGUUCAUGAGGUGUGGAUUCCCCCCUCAUGAUUUAAUUGGCAUUAAUAAUGAAUAAUGAAUAUUUAGCCCAUGGUGUAUGUUAAUACGGAUCCAGAUACCUAAGUACGUCAUUUCAAUAGAUUUCUCUUCAAUUUAUUCUCGCCAUUUCAAUUCCAAUUUUAGAAUAAUCUAAGUCACUUUCACCACAAAUCCAACCACCCUCAUACAAAAUCAAUUCUAUAUAUAAUUAAAAUCCACCUCCUCGUGGGAUCGACACUCGUCACCAUUAAUCUAUUCUACAAUAGAUUUGUGCACUUACGAGUUCAAUAAAAUUUGCACAACAGUGAUGAAAAUUGAAAAGCCACCCAUAAUAACAGUUAAAAAGAGUAUUAGAGAUUAGAAGACUUUAACAUCCUAUGCACGUGCACUCAUGAUAAAAUUUGACGGGUUUCAAGAUUAUUACCCCUUUCUUUCUUUAAUCAAUAUUCUAAUAAAAUAAUACCAUAAUUCUCAAAUAAUAUCCUAACAUAUUUUUUUCUUCAAGUGUUCAUCAUAAUACUCACCUAUUAGAUAAUUAAUUGAAUCAUAUGUUAAAUUAUUUAUUAUUUUAUCUUACUAUAUAUCUAAUGGAUAUAAAUGACAAUUUAUUUGGUGUGGUAAAGCAUGGGGUAAAUUGAAUAGUUUGUAUGAGAAUAAUUUGAGGUUUGUAUAAUUUAUAUGAAGAUAAUCUGCAAAAUAUGUCAAUUUUAAAAGAGCGAUAUUAGUAAUCAUAAAUUUAUCAAUUUUUUUAAUAAAGAUUUUGUUUAAAAAUUGGCUAACUGGGUUUCAUGAGGAAAAUAGAGGAGCAUGAACGGCGCCACUUUUAAUUUUUAUUGUUGUUGUACAAAUGAAAUUUCAAAAGAUGCAUUAAAUGGAUCCAUUUGAAAUCGCAGGAGAGCAAAAGGGACUUACGUUGGACUUGAGAUUGAAAAAAUUAAUUUUAUUUUUAAAGUAUGGUCAACAGUAAUGACUUGGAGGUGAUUCCUAUUAAUCAACCAUCUUUAACUUAAAGAAUUAAUACAAAUAAAUGGCAAAAAUAAUAUAAUGAAACUUAAUGUAAUAAAAAAUUGCAUUAAAAGAGUCGGUACAAGCUCGCUAUCUGUUCUGUUUCAACACCAUUGUUAAAGAACUUGAGGAUAAAGAAACUAAUUUGAAGGAGGCACAAGAUGGCAUCAAUGAAAGAGUAGAACAAGAACGACAAAUACACAGCGCCAUUGACAUUGAGAAAGAUGUAGAGAAGUGGCUGGCGGAUGUAGUCAAAGAAAUGGCCGAUGUCCAAACGUUGAAAGCAAAGAUAGCUGAAAAGAAGAGUUGUCUUAAUGGAUGGUGUCCUAAUUGGGGUUGCCAAUAUUGGAUGGGUAGAAAAGCAUCAAAGGAGACUAGCAAGUUGUCUAAUCUACAUGACCGCGGCAAAUUCAACACGGCUGCCCGUCCUAAACCUCUUCCAUCAGACAAAGAAAUGCCUAUUCCAAGAUUUGUUUCUUCUUUCGAGACUACAGAAUCGGCUUGCAAUCAGAUCAUUGAAGCACUGAAAAAAGACAACAUAAAGAUGGUGGGAUUGCAUGGUGUCGGCGGUGUAGGAAAGACGACAUUAGCAAAAGUUGUGGGCAAUCGACUUCGGCAAGAAAAGAUUUUUGAUGAGGUGGGGAUAGCCACUGUAUCUCAGGAUCCAAACAUAAAAAAUGUUCAAAGUGAGCUGGUAGAGUCGUUAGGUCGGGCGUUAGAUGAGGUUGAUGAAAAGAAGAGAGCAGACCGACUGCGCUUGAUGUUCUCUGAGAGUAAAGGCCGCAAGAUACUCAUAAUCCUUGAUGAUGUCUGGAAAGAGCUCGACUUGGAGACAGUAGGUAUUCCCGCCAAUUGCUGCAAAAUCCUUCUAACUACUCGUCUGCAGCAAGUUUGUGAUCGCAUGGGUUGUGACACGCGGAUUAAACUAGAUGCUCUAGACCAAGCAGAAGGAUUGAAUUUACUAAGAGAGCAUGCUGGCAUUGAUGUUGCUGAUAAAGCCUUGACUGAUGUUUCAAAACGAGUUGCUGAUGAAUGUAAGGGGCUGCCUUUAGCUAUUAAAGCUGUUGGAAGUGCACUAAGAGGAAACACCGCUGAUCAAUGGAAUCUAGCACUAGAAAAACUACAAAAUGCAAAGCUCGAUAAAAUAGAAGGUAUUGAUAAGGAUUCCCAGGAUGUUUACGGUUGUCUCAAAUUUAGUUAUGAUUAUUUGAAUGGUGAGGAUUCCAGGUCGUGCUUCUUGUUGUGUUCGCUGUUUCCACAAGAUUAUAAGAUUGAUUUGGAGGAUUUGCUUGGAUAUGCAGUGGGGUUGGUUUGGUAUCAAGCUGAGUCAAUCGAAAAAGCCAGAAGCCUACUGCGUGGAACGAUCAAAGGACUCAAAGAUUCUUCAUUGCUGUUAGACACUGAUGAUGACAGAUUUGUGAAAAUGCAUGACGUAGUUCGCGAUGUAGCCUUAUGGAUAGGCUCAGAGGAGAAGAAAUUUUUUACUAGUAAAGUUGUCAUUGGAUUGGCGGAACGGGCAGUGGAAGAAGGCCUAAAACAAUACAGAGGAAUCUCUUUGGUGGGAAAUGGAAGAGAAGAGCUUCCUAGUGGUUUGGAAUGCCGUAGCCUUCAUAUUUUGCGAUUGGAGAAUACUGAAUAUGACAACAAAUUGCAAGUUCCAGAACAUUUUUUUAAAGAGAUGCCAGCAUUGAAAGUUGUUACUAUAAUAGGUGGAGUCCUUUCACUUAAAUCUCUUCAAUUCCUCACCAACCUCCAGGUUUUGCAGUUGAUUCGAUGUGAGGUGACUGACGCGUCUUUCCUUGGAAAGUUGGAGGGACUUCAAAUACUUUAUCUCAAGAUGUCUCGCAUUGAAAUUCCAGAUGGAUUGGGGGUUAAACUUAGGAUAUUGAAACUUCUGUAUAUUGAUACUUGCUCCAUUUCUCCCAUUACGAUAAAUGAAUUUGUUCAAUUAGAAGAAUUUUAUGGUCUGAUAAAAAAUUGGGCAGUUCAAGGGAUGAGUUCAGAAGAAAGUUCCGCUAGGCAUGCUGAGUUGAACCCCCGACCCGACGGAUCCGUUGUAUGUCUUCGAAAGAACUUUUCAUUUCCGAAAUUACAAAGGUAUAGCAUCAGUGAAGUUGACAGCUUUGAAUAUACAAUUGAUAGAAUACUAACCAUAGAAAUAGAAUACUAAUUUUUCUCAAACAAACCGAUGUCACUGCUAUAUCACUUCACAUGAUCUCUUUCAACGAAUUUCUUUUUCUUUUUUACAAAUUCCUUACUUUCACAGCGUAUAAUUAUUUUAUAAGUUUGCAUGUGUAAAAUAUUUGUAGGGAUUUUUUUUUUGAAGUAUUUGUCACUUAAUUGUCAAUUUGACAAUCCUAGCUGCUAACAAAUUUUAAUUACAUCAAGUUAUUUAUUUAUUUGUCUCAGAAAUUAAGAAUUCUAGAAGUAAGCGAAUGCUUCCAUUUGCGUGACACAAUUGACGCUCUGUUGAAGCAUGGCUUUGAAAAUUUGGAAACAUUGUAUAUUGGAGAUCUUGGAGUACAGGUGGUAUUUCAAGCGGAAGCUAUUAUCGCUGAGGGACAAGAAAACAAACUAUUCCCAUGUUUGAAGAGGUUGUACUUGACAAAUCUUCGAGAACUGCAAGUAUUAUAUCAUGAAGGUCCUACACAUAAUUUUAGCCUGCAAAAUCUUACUUAUUUAACCGUAAGCAGCUCCCCUAAGCUGAGACGUCUCUUCUCAUCAACACUUGCUCGAAAUCUGUUGCAAUUGGAGAAGUUGGAAAUUUAUAAUUGUUGGGAAUUAGAGCAAAUCAUUGCUGAGGAUGAGGAUGAGGAGCAUCUCCAACCUGUAUGUUUCCCAAACUUCAGAGAGAUCUCUAUCAGAUAUUGCCCCAAACUAAAGCAUCUAUUUCAUAUCAGCGUAGCUCCAAGUCUUCAAAAACUGAAGAACCUAUACAUAGGAUUUAAUGAUGAAUUAAAAGAAGUAUUCUGGCAUAAAGAUGGAGCAGACGUCACGGAUACGGAUUACAAUGAAAUUGUUAUGAAUGAACUUUGGGUGUUGGAACUGAGAGAUUUACCAAACCUCACCAACUUUUGGCCUGCGGGUUAUCAGAUCCCAUUUCCAUCUGUAUCCAGUGAAGAUGUUCAUUAUUGUACUGACUUUAGGGUUGUUCAUAAUUGUCCCAGGCUUCCUGAAAAUUCAGAAGUGGAUCCAUUUUUUGCAGAUUCAUUAUUCCCAGAAUUCUGAAGCACAGGUCAACUCUUGAGAACUUUAGUUAAUUGAUUCUAUACAUAGUUGGUUCACAUUUUCGUUUGUGAUAGCUAAUUGAUCUAUCUUAAAAUCAAAAUUUCUCUUUCAAUAUAUAUAUGUGUUAUAUAUAUAUAUGUGUUAUAUUAUAUAUGGCAGCGAACAUAAAUGACUUUAAAAAAUUCCAAAAAUCCAAAAAAAAAAAAGGCUUUGUUCAGCGUGUUCAGUUCAAGCUUUGUUCUAUACUUGCUCUGCAGAUGGAUGGUUAAUAUUUAGUGCGUGCUCAAAUUGUGAAGACUAAAGUUUCAAGACUUUGCUGUAUGUAUCUCAGGAUUUGCUCAACUUCAAAAUUCACCUAUUCUGUUUGUGAUAAUUGUUUCUUCAAUUGUUUAAAUUUUGACAAUUGCUGGCUAAAUUGAUGGCCUUUUCGAUGGCCAUUAAUUGGGCUAAUUUAGUAGUAGCACGCAUUUUCUAGACGGCGAAGAAAGUGUGUAAUGUCGUGACAGCAAUAAUUUUUAUUUUUUAGGAUGAGUGGCUACAAAUGUGUCUUUCGCAUUCUCUGGUACCCCGUACCUUUUGACAGCCACGCAUUCUUCUUGGCUCGUGGAAACUGGAAACUGGAAACUCAUUUUCACAAAUAAGACUUUGCUUUUAUGCUACAAGUGCUUUUAAUAAUUAUUUUGUUAGGAGAAUCGGUGCUUGCUUUGGAGCCCAACCCAUCAAGAAAUAUUAGUGAAAUUUUUAGACUUUGCUUUCUAAACCGCGAAGAAAGUGUGUGGCGACAGCAAUAAUUUUUAUUUUUCAAAAUGUUUUUUUUAAUGGUAUUUAAGUUCCUUUUUUCUAUUUUUUUCUCAAAACAUUUCAAUCAUUUUUCGUUUCACAAAUCAUUCAAUUAUGGAUAGGGUUAUUUACACUCUAAAUAUUACUUUGAACAUUCCACUACUCUACACACUCAUACACCAUUUAUAGAAAAAUUAAAUUUUAUUUUAUAUACUCUUUAAAAUUCAAAUAAUAUCCUAACUUCAACUAUUUAAGUUAUCAAAAUUUAUUUCAUAAAUGGUACAAUGAUAACAUGAUAAUAUUUUAUAAAUAGUACUAAAAAAAAAAAGAUAAAGAAGGAGAUGAAGAAGAAGGGCCAAAGCAAAUACAUAAAAAAAUUUCUUUUAUAUUACUUUUUUUUAUUUUAUUUUUAAAAAUAAAAAAUAAAACACAUACUUUGGUCAAAAUUUUUUUCAAAAUUAAUUUUCUCAUUGUUCAUCUAAAUAUUAAUUAGAUGAACACAUGAAGCCACCAAAUGAAGCCACACUUGGCUUCAUAAAUAAGAAAUAGCUAGCUGCUUGCUUCCUCGAGAUCACAUGCAUGUUUGACUAAUUUGCUUCUGUUGCUUCACUUGCCACCUCAUGCUUGACGCCUCUUUCUUUUUUGCUUUAUUCGUGAAUAUAUAUAUAUAUAUAUAUAUAUAAGGUUUAAAUACAAUGGAGGCUACUUCAUUUUUCAUAUUUUUGGAGAAGCCGAAAUCAAAAGCAAAACAGAGAGAAGAAAAAGAAAUUGGGAGAAAGAAAGAAGAGGCAAGGAAAAGAGAAAGAAAAAGAAAAGACGAAAAGAAAUAAAAGAAAACAGAGAAGCCAAGAGUGAAGAAAAAUAGAAAAAGGAAGGAAAAAUAGAAAGGAGACUAAGAAGCCGAGAGUCAAAAAGAAGUUGAAAAGAGAAAUUGAGAAGAAACUUUAAGGAAAUGAAACUAGGCAGUUAGAUUGAUAUCUAGUGAAUUAUUGGGCGAUAGAUAUAUAAAGUUCGAAUAGUUAUAUUAUAGUUUUCAUGUUACGUAUCGGGUUUUAUAUUAAUUAUAAUAGUUAAUUUUUGAACCAUGUGUUUUAGGAGAAAUUCAUGUUUCCAGAAACCCACAAGAGCUUGAAUGAACCCGAGAGUGAAUUAGACUUUGUGAAUAGAUACUAUUAUUACUAUUGUGCAUUCUAUGAAGCAUUUAUGUUUGAUAGUAUAAUUUAAUAUCAUGUUAUAAUUAUAUGCACGCAUUUUAUAUAUUUGAUUGAGUCAUAAGAUGUAAUUGCCAACCACCAUAUAUAUAUUCUUCCCCAUCGGCUCUACACAUGUAGAUUGAGAGUUAGAUCACUCUACCCAUUCAAUGUGGUUAAAUUAAGCUAGUAUUGAGAGGUUUUUCCCCUGCCCUACUCAUGCGAUAAUGAUACUGGUGAGUAUUAAGAGUUAUUUUCCAUGGGUACUAUUUGUUGCAGUUUUGCCAUUUAUAUAUGUAUGAUUUUAUGUCAUAGAUUAUGUAUGAGCUCUAGUGUUUUACUUUAUUUAUAUAUAUAUAAUUAUAUUCACUCACUGAAUCGUAAACUCACUAUUUUUCUAUUUAUCUCAUUUUUUCUAGGUCUCAGCUGGAUUUCAUAUAGUUCGAUUUUUAAUUAAUUGAGGUUAGGCCAUGACACACAUUAUUGCAUGACUUGCAUUUUGAGCACGUUUAUGUCCAUAUGUAUAUAUUUAAGAUAUAUGUGUAUAUAGUGAGUUUAAAAUUGUACGAAAUUUGAAUAUGUUUUCAGAUGAGACACAUAUGUUAUAAACAUUAUUAUAUGUUUAUAGUAAAGGCCCGAGGCCAUUUUUAUAUAUCCAUGAAUUAGUUUAUGUCGUGAGUUUUAAAUAUUAAACCGCGUGAUUUGCCUCGAAUCCGACAUAUGGGUCGGGCGGGUCGUGUCAUUCAUCCACCAUGAUUUUACAAUUUAUAUUAUUCAUCCAAAAUAUCUUUAAUUUCCAAUAGAAAAUUGACAAAAUCAUAGCAAAUAGAUCAUUUUGCUCUUAAAAAUUAAUUUAACGUAAAAAGACAAAGGAAAAUUAUCAACCACAUAUUUUUAGUUUACCCUGUUAUUGAAAACACUAAAAAAUUUGAAUUUAUUUAAUUUUUUACUCUAGAUUUAUAAUUGAUAUCAACUACCCACCCAAAAUGUUAACACUGUUAGAAUAUUUUAUAGAAUUUAAAUAAAGGUCACUUUAUCCUUGGAUUCAAGGGCAUUUUUCAAUUUGCACCAUAAGUAUUUAUUUAUUUAAAGUUAUAAGUGUUUUUCAUUUUUUUAUUAUUUAAUUAUUUUUAGUAGAUUUUUUGAGAUUAAAUAAAUUAUUUUGCCUCCACUAAUAAAAACCUAAAUUUUGAGCUAUUUUUUUAAAAUGUUAGAAUGUCUAAAAUAUUAUUUAUUUAUUAAAUAAUAUUAUUUUAUUCUUUCAUAACAUAAUUUUUAAAAAAUUAUUUAUUAAAAUAAUUUUUUAAUUUUUAAUAAAAACUACCAAUGAGAAUCAAAUGACUACAAUUUGUUUUUAAAAAAAUAUACAAAUAAAAACAUUAAUUAAAUAAACUUUAUUUAAAAAAGUUAUACUAAAUAGAACCUUAGGCUACAAAAACUUAUUUUAAGCCCAACUAAAUUGAAAUAAUUUCUCAAUAAACAUUAUUUAUUAAAUAUAAUAGCCUCGUAUUUAAUUGUUUCUUCAUAUAAUAAUAAUAAUAAUAAUAAUAAUAAUAAUAAUAAUAAUAAUAAAUCCCUCUAUAAUGCCAUCAUUUUUUUACAGCAUUAUCAAUAUUCUCUUUAACAAAAAAACUCAUAAAUAUCAAAAUCCAAUCUUAAUUCAAUUUGGCACGUAGUCCUGGUUUUGCGUUUGUAUGAAAAGACUACAAAUGUACGUGCCCGUACACAUCUCCAAUAUUAAUUGAUCGUCGUGAUGAUCAUCAAUCGCGGCGUUUCGUGGCAUCCAACCGAAACUUAAAUAUCAGGAAAAAAAAAAUUAAACAAAAAACGGUUCACACUUUCCAUUGAACUCUUGCAAAUUAAGCAACUCUAUCUACAUCGUUGUUAUUAUUAUUAUUAUGUUUUUGUUGCAUUAUUGUGAAAAAAUCAAGGGACUAUGGAGAAAAAGAGAUGAUGGGAUCUUUUCUUUCAACACCCCUUCUGUAUGCAGCAAUCAAUUAAUCAGAAAUUCCAUUUUCUUUUAUUUUCCGUUUAGUUUUUCUUUAAUUAUCAGAAAUAAGCCACUUCGGCCUUGGCCGAAGUGGUGGGCUGCUGCCCUCACAAGCAGCGGUUCUAGCCCCCACAAAAGCAUUGUGGGGGCUAAAUGUUCUUUAUAUCCUUCUCCCUUGCGAAAUGCAAGUGGAGUAUGGACAUCCUCUCCUGUGAGGGGUUAUUUGUAUUGGGCAUGUACUUCAUAGAAUUCAUUGUAAUAAUGUAAGUCCCAAUCAUGUAUAUUUGAUUGUAAAUAUCAGUGUAAUACCUCUGCUACAAUAAGCAGUUGUUGUAAAUAUCUGUGUAAUGCAGUAAUCUGAUGAUUAAUCAGUCUCAAAAAAAAAAAAAAUUAUCAGAAAUAUUAACUUAAGUUACUGGUUUAUUAAUUGGAAUUUUUAUCCCCCUUCACAGAAUGGUUUUUGGUUAUGCUUACCCUGCAUAUGAGUGCUUUAAAGCAGUAGAGAAGAACAAGCCAGAUAUUGAACAGCUCCUGUUAUGCUUACACUAUUAACACUAUUAACUAUGAAGAAGCAUCACAAAUCUAAAGAAAAUCAUAAUCUAUUAAAUUAAUGACGAGUUAUCUUAAAGUUCAAUCUAAUUGAUUUUACCAUUUAUAGUGGAAGCAACCAGUCAAGUGCUCAAUUUUUAAAGGAUUAAAUUAUUUACACUGUAAAAAUUAUUCUAAACAUUUAUUAUUUCAUACAACCAUUCACUUAAUUUUAAAAAUUAAGAUUAUAUUUUUUUUACUUUUUUAAUUUGAAUAGAUCUUAAUUAAAUGAAAGUCUAAAUAGCUCUGAAUGUAUAUGCUUGAGGACAUGUUUGUUUUUUUAUGACUAAAUAUAAGUGUUAAAUUAUUUGUCUUAUAAGCAAAAAAAAAAAUGAAUUAUGAUAUUUUGACAUUUAUGUCCCUAUAAGUAUUAAUAUAUAUUUGAUAAGUUAAAGAUGGUAAGUAAAUUAAAAUCAUUUUAUUAUUAAUUAUAAAAUAUCUAUUUUUUUCAAUAUAUACAAUGUUACAGCUAAAAAAGGUACAAUGUUAAUUACAUUAUUUGUGUGUAUGAUAUGAUUUUUUUUUUCGUUUAAUCACACAAGUUGACAUAGAAUCAAUUAACAAUUUCAAGUAAAAUAGCAUUUUACAUAUAUUAUUAAUUGUAAAAGUUAAAAUAAUUAAGGAAUAAAAACAACAGCUACAUCCUAGCCCAUUAAUUUUUGUUAAAAGUUUUGUUCAAAAUGAUUGUUAUAAAAAAAUAGUUGUUAUAAAAAAAGAGCCCGAGAUGAGUAUACGACUUAACGGCAAUUGGAAAGAGUAAAAUAAAAAUUAGUUAUGUUUGAUUGGAAAUAAGUGUAUUAAAUAGGGGUAUUUUUGAGAUAUUAUAGUGAUUUUUGUUCAAACUUUUUUUAAUUCAGAUAAAAAUCCAGUUAUUUAACUUUUUUCUAUUAAGUGGUAUAUUCUAGAAUUUAGAUAAAAUACGAAAAACAAACUAGUAAACUUAAAAAAAAUGUCUGACUUCAUACAUUUAAAAAUCAAGCUUUAAGUUUUACUUUAUACACUUUUUAAAAUAUCUAAAAAAAAUCCUGACUAAUUAAAUCAUUUUAGUUAAUUUGUAAAUAAAUUCUUUUUAACACAAUUUGAAUUUCUUGAAAUCGUGUUUUUUCCUCCUUCUGAUUUUAUUGUGUUAAACAAAUCAAAUGGCUUCUGCUACGGAUGUUUUUCCCGUGCAUUUGGUUUAUUUCCCUUUAAACUGUUGCACGUUGCAACUCUUCAGCAAGAGAGUUUACUCAUCUCGUUUUCAUUCGAUUGAAUCAAGAGACAAUUGUCUAAAACUGUAAGAUUAAGUAAAUAAAUAAACUCGAACACAAGUUUAGUUAUUAUUAUGAACCAGAAGUUUUAAGUAUGAGAAUUAUAAAUCAGUAUUACAUUAGUUAUAAUAGAUUAUUCAUUUGUUCAUAACAUUAAUUCAUGUGAUGAGAAUUUUUGAAAUAAAUUAUUUUAUUUAAAUAAAAGUAUUCAAAGUAAUUUUAAAAUAUAAAUACCCUAUUUAUUUAAAAAAUUACUAUAUUAGGCAUGCGAAGGCUACAUUCAAUUGGAUUGACACUCAACCCUCCCAAUAACAAAAAAUACAGGUAUAGAAAAAACUCAACUGAGGACAUGUUAAAAAGAUUUUUAUUUAUUUUUAGUACAUAUCAUGUGUGAGAAAAGAGAGCAAAUUAGUAAGGGGUCAUUAAAAAUUUAAAAUGGUGACAUCCCAAUGAUAGAGACUGGGGCAUAAUUAACUAAAAAAUUUAUAGUAAAAUUUGCUUCACGAUACACAUGAUUUAUGGUGAUGUUCCAGUCUCGCUUCAUUAACGUAAGUUCAUAAACAAAAAAGAAUGCUAUUUUUUAACAUAAGCUCAGGAUUAAAAAAUAAACAACCACAUUUAAGAUUUAAAACACAAGUUGCCUUAAAUUAACUCGAUUACAUGUGUCUAUUUGAAAUUAUUAAAAAUAAAUUCUAUUUUUCCCGCUAUCCCUAUCACUUUGCCAACGUGUUAUUCUCACAUUGGCCUGAUUUGCAGCCUCGAAUUGACUACAGCUAGGGAUGGAAAAAAUCUCCACGGGGACGGGUACCCUUGGGGAUUUUCCCCAUUCGGGGAGGGUACGGGGAUAAUUUUAUAUCCAAUUUUUUAUUCGGGGAGGGGACAGGGAAAAUUUUUUACCCAAUUUUUUAUUCGGGGACGGGACGGGGAUGAGGUGGAAUCCCCAUCCCCUACCCAUUUCCCCAUUUUAAUUUUUAAUUUUAUUUUUAUUUUUAAAAUUACUAAUAAAUAAAUAACAAAAUUAUAAAUAUUGACAAAAUAUGAGUGGAAUUUUGGGUGUGGCAUGUAUCUUUGAUCCAAGGUAUAAAAAGAAGUUCAUUGAAUAUUACUUUUCUAUGGUUUAUGGUGGUGUUAAAGAGUUGUAUGUUGGGAAAGUGGUCACCUUUUGUCGGGAAUUAGUGGAAGAGUAUCAAUUGAAGUUUUCACCAACUGUUUAUUGCUUUGAUUAUACUAGUAGUAGUUCUUCUAUUAGAUCUACAGGGGAUUCUUAUAAGAAAGCAACCAAAUGGAUUACAAGUUUUGAUGAUUAUGUAAACAAUGGAGAUUGUGCAGUUGUUGCAGAUGAAUUAGAUUCAUAUUUGGAUGAAAAAGUUAUACCCCGGAUGGAAGAUUUUAAUAUUUUGAGUUGGUGGAAGACAAAUGCUAAUAGGUAUCCUACAUUAGCUCGAAUUGCUAGAGAUAUUUUGGCAAUUCCAAUUACAACAGUUGCUUCUGAAUCAGCUUUUAGCACCGGUGGUAGAGUUGUGAGCCCACACCGUAACAAAUUUCAUCCAAGCACAUUGGAGGCCUUAAUGUGCUGUUAAAAUUGGUUACGAGCUUACAAUAGCAGUAUGAGUUUAUUUUACAUUGUAAUUAUAUUAUACAGUUAUUAAUAUUUGCACUUAUAAGUUACGUUACUUAUAUCAUUUUCAUUGUUUUAGGUUUGAAAUAUGAGGCUAUCUCUCAAUUUGCCACAUUUCUCGAGGAAGAACAGGACGAGCAGGAGGUAAAUAGUUUUAUUAAAAAUAUUAAUUAAGUAUAUACAUUUAUUUCAUUUAUUUUAUUGCCGAUAUAAAAAAUAAUUUUUUUCUUUUUAUUGUAGGAUUAUGAAGAUUGAGACAUUGAUAAAGAUAAUUAUUUUAAUAAUUUAUAUUUUGAAUGUGACUUUGUAAUGGAUCAAUAUUAAUGUAAGGUAUAUUUUAAACUUUAUUUUUAUCUGAAUUUUUUAUUUUAAUAUGAUUAAUUUAAAAUCGAAAAUAAAAAAAUGUAUUAGACUAUUAAUUAUUCGGGGACCGAGGACCCUCGGGGAUCCCCUGUUAUUAUUCGGGGAGGGGAUGGGAAUUCUCUCAAGCAAUUCUGACGGGGACAGGGAGGAGACGGGGACAUACACAAAAUAUCGGGGAUAGGUAUAGGGAGAUUGGUCCCCUCCCCUCCCCUCCCCAUUGCCAUCCCUAAUUACAGCAGAUUAAAAAGAUCAUGUACUGAAAUCGACAAAAUAAAAAAUCGGGUGCGUACCAGGCAAUACAGACCAGCCACAAACUUUUAUUGGAUGAUUGCCACGUAACGAAGAAUCAACGGUCCAAACGAGCUGGGAACUGACUGAGCCUGCGCUGUAAAGUCCAUGCGGCAUGCAGAUACGGGCCAACCAAAAGUGAAAAGCAGACUCAAUCAACCCGGCCUCCGCUGGUCUCAUCUCUUCUCGUCUCAUCCUCUACGAUCUAAACCUCUUUUACAGGAGGCCCUCAAACCGUCCCACGUGUCCUGACCACACAUAGAUUUGUGUGGUCACUAGGGAUGGCAAUGGGGAGGAGAGGGGAGGGGACCAAUCUCCCCGUAUUUAUUCCCAAUAUUUUGUGUAUGUCCCCGUCCCUUCCCCGUUCCCGUCAGAAUUAUUUGAGAGAAUCUCCAUCCUCUCCCCGAAUAAUAACAGGGGAUCCCCGAGGGUCCCCGAUCCCCGAAUAAUUAAUACAUUUUUUUUUUGUUUUUGAUUUUGAGUUAAUGAUAUUAAAAUAAAAAAUUUAAAUAAAAGUAAAGUUCGAAAUAUAUCUUACAUUAAUAUCCAUUACAAAAGUCACAUACAUUAAAUUAAUAAGUAACGCAGCAUGCAAGGGAUACAAACUUCUUUUACAAACUAUCAUGAACAAAUUAAUAGUCUAAUACAAAAUUGUUACAAAUAAAAUUGAAUUUAGAUUCAAAAUUAAAUUUUUCAAUGGUGGCGUGGACACUUUAUAAAUGUGGACUAUUCCCUUUACAACACAAUAGUUAAAUCGGAGCAAAUCAAGAGCAAAUAUUAGAUUAGAUUAGAUUAGAUAUUAAAAUUUUGAUUCGCUGUGGGCAAUUAUAACAUCUAAAAAUAAAUAAAAAAUAGAUUUAAGUUUAAAAUAUUUAAAUAAUAUUAAAAUUAAAAAAUUUUGGACUAAUAGAAUUUACUCGGUCUUUUUAAUGUCUUAAAUAAAAAUUUAAGACUUUAAUUAGUUAAUUAGGCCUAAAAGUUUAAUAAUAUAAAUAUUUUGAUAUUUUUUAUUUUUACCAAUAUUUAUAAUUUUAUAAUUUAUUUACUAGUAAUUUUAAAAAAUUAAAAUAAAAUUAAAAAUUAAAAUGGGGAAAUGGGUAGGGGAUGGGGAUUCCACCUCAUCCCCGUCCCCUCCCCGAAUAAGAAACUGGAUAAAAAAAUUUCCCCAUCCCUUCCCCGAAUAAGAAAUUGGGUAUGAAAUUAUCCUCAUACCCUCCCCGAAUGGGGAAAAUCCCCGAGGGUACCCGUCCCCGUGGGGAUUUUUGCCAUCCCUAGUGGUCACCAACCUCUGUCCUUAUCUCUCUCUAUUUCUAUGGACGUGUUUGACCUCAUUUUUCAAAGUGCUUGUCACAAUGAAACGAUGAAAAUAAAAUAUGUUAAUGGAUCAAUAACAUGUUAUGCUUAUUUAAUUGAGAUAUUUAUUGAUGUAUCACAAAUUAUUUAAGGGUAUUAAUUAAUUUUAUUAUUAAUUAUUAGCCUAUCACCACUCUCUAGAUUACUCAUAAAAUAGCACAUCAAUUAAUAUCUUAAUUAAAUAUCUAAAGUGAAUAAACAUAAUAAUUAAUCUAUCAUAAUUCAAUUAAACAAUUUACUAAAAAUAUUCUCAUACAACUCACAUCAGCUGCUGUUAAAAUGACAAAAUUUUUGAAAAAUUAUAUUUUGCGAAUGACAAGCUAAAUAGAUAAUAUUCAGAAAGAUAAAAGUUUAAGACAAGUGAGAGUUGUUCUUUAUGAUUUAUGCAAGUCAACAUUUAUCCGUUUAUACAUUAAUUUUGUUUGAAUAUAAACUCAAUUAAGACAGGUUCAAUGCACUAUUUUCUCAUGCUUAAGACAUGUUCAAUGAAUAUAAAAGUAAAUUCAAUAUUUGAGAUUUUAUUUUAAAUUUCUUUUUAUAUGGAUGAUGUAACUUUUCACGUACAUGUAUAAGUAGAUAUAUUUCGAGUUUGGGGUAAAUAUCUCAAUUUUAUUAUAUUGUAUAACAAGUAUAAAGAUGCUACAAGUAAAUAUAGCAUAUCAUAAAUUAAAAGAUGUUUAUUUAGUUAUGAUAUUUAAUUUUUAUCUUAACUUAUGUAUUGACAAUUAAAAUUUAUUAUUUGAGUUAAAAAUAACAAGACUCGGUAAUUAUUUAUCACUUAAAUUAAUUACACAAUGAUACAUUAUUUAUUAUAUUAGUUAAAAUAUAUAUUAACUUUCCUUUUAAAUAAGUGUAAUAUUAUUAUAGUAAAAGAAAGAGAGAGUAAUGCACGUUGAAAAUAAUACUAAAUUAAAUGAAACCAAACCAAACGGGGCCCACACUUUAGUUUCUAAAAACAUACAUUAUCUAACGACUACGGCUCUCCCUUUUUUUUUCAUAUAAAAGUGAGCCAAAAGAGUUAAUUAGACGCCGGGGAAGAAGAAGGCAACGGGAGGGACUCGCCCAAUACCAAAGGCAACUCUUGUGAUUCACGAGACUCUCAACAAAACAAAAGGCAAAGGCAAAAGCAAAUCCACAAACCUAAAACCCUAGCUUCACGAGAAUCAUCACAAGAAGAUUAAUGGAGACAGCUGAAAGUACAAGCUCGAUGAAGCAGCAGCAGCAAGUGCUGGACGGUUCAAAUAUAAUGAAGUUGGUUGGAAAUGAGGAGGUGUUUAGCAGCUUUGUUGAUCAUAAGUUCCAAGAACUUGACAGAGACAGAGAUGGUCAGCUCUCUGUGAAGGAGCUUCAGCCUGCUGUUGCUGAUAUUUGUGCUGCUCUUGGCUUGCCUGCUCAGGGCUCUUCUCCUGACUCUGAUCACAUCUACUCCGAGGUUCAUUUCUACGCGAACCCCAUUUCAUUUUUUUUAUAUUCUUACCGUACCUAUGAUGCUUUAACUGCUAGCUUAAUUUUUAAAAGUACAAUAAUUUGAUUACUGCAUAAGUCUUUUUUUUAAUUUAUAUUCAAGGGGCAGUGAUUUCAUCCGACACCUGUUAUAGGAAUAGUUAUUUUUAUUUUUAUUUGACAGCUAGUGAUUUUAUUUCCGUAAUUUUAUUUCCGUAAUGGUUAUUCUUAGCACACCAAUAAUACUACUACUUGUAGUCAGUUUCUUUUCUGUUUAAUUGAACGAGCCUAUAUUACUUAUACGUCAAGCCUGUGAUUUCAUUACACAACCCUAUUUCAAUCAUAAGAAUACAAUUAAUCUUUUUUUUUAAAGCAAUAGUCUCAUAGUUACUAUUUACAACUGAUCUGAUCUGUUCCUUGAGUUUGAUUUUUUUUUAAAAAAAAAAUUCUCCCCUAAUUGUAAGUUAGUGAUAUCGUAUCCAAAGAACAAGUUAGAAAAAAAAAAAAAAUAGAAAAUAUCAUUUUUUUGGUUGCAAGCUCCAAAGCUAGCGAGAAUAAGAUAAAGAUGUUACAUAAGUGGUGAAGACUUUUGUGCUCUCCCUUACGUUUCAAUUUUUUUCUUUUUUCUAGUAAGGUCAAUUAAACUUAUCUUUCAAUGAUGAUAAAUGAGCAAAAAUUGUGUCAUCAUCAGAUUAUUUGACUGUCCUCUUAUGUCAUUCAUAUUUUUCAAUUUGAAGAAAAUUUAUGAAUUGAAAAGAAGGCGGUGCAAUCUCUUCCUGGUUGGUGGGUACUGCACAGUCUAAUCUUGAUAUAACAUUUUGGUGAUCUUAAUUUCAAUAGAACAUAAUUGUAGAAGGUCGGCUACUCAAUUACGUUAACAUAUAAGCUGUCUAAUGUUUCCAUUUUCUGCGUAGUUAGCUCCAUAAUUAUCCAACCUAUUAUUCAAUUUUGGUCGGUGUAUUGCGACUUUAUAACUUUUGAUUAGCUAGCCUUUUCUUUAUUUCUUUUCUUAUUGACUUUUUCAAUGUUCUUGCUUUGUAUAUAUCUCCAUAGUUAAGGAGGAAUCUAGUGACGAAUGUUGUGGAACUUACUGCUUGUCUCUUUGGAACUUUAUUGUUGUUCAAGAAAUAAUGUAAAUGGGGACCAAAGUGAAUUUGCUUUUUAAUAAUUUGCAAUGAAGGUUUAAGUGAAGCCUCAUGACUUUGCUUGCUGAACAAGUGAUAAUCUUGUACCUAAUCUUCUAGUGUUCGGCCCAGCUCAGCACAUAUUAUUUUUUAUAUGUUGGAACCAAAAAGUAUGUGAUGUUGGAAUAUUAUUUCCUUUUAGGCGCACGAUAAAUGUGGAAGCAGUAAAUUAAAGCAUCAUAGUCAUGGCCGAAAAGCAGAGCAGGGAUAAAGUACGAGGGUGGUCCUGUUGCUCUACAUCAACUAGCCGAUUGUGUGGCACAACCGCUAAAAGAGCAGCCUGUGAUUGUUGCCCAUAGUGAAAAUAUUUUUGAUGGAAGUGGCAUUAAGAGACUCUUGUCAAACAAGUUUGAAUUAGACAAGGUGUGUCCUGUUUAAAACAUGCUUUUGUGUCAUAUUUUGGAGUGCAGCAUUAUUAUGGAAAAGCUUACUGAACUUCAUCUCAAAAUACAGACAAGGACUGCAGCUCUAGAGAUUGUGCCAAAAGAUCAUAAUGGGAAAUUAUCAAAGGACUAUUUACGUGUAGCAUUGGAUGCAGUGGCCGCAUCAGCUAGUUUACCCCGAAUUGGUGCAGUCGCACAGGUAUUCUUCAUCAACUUGUGUUACAGACAUUCCAACAAUAAUAUUAGAAGACAAUGCUGUUUGUAUUACACAAGUUAGAGGAGGAUAUAUAAAAGGAGAUAAAACCGAACACAUCUCACCAAAGUUCUUUUACGAACUUUUACACUCAUGAGCUCCAGCAGAGAGAAAAUUGAUGUUAAAUAGAUAUAUUCCACUAAUAAUUUAGCGGUCUUUUUACUAAAGGUUUACCCACUUCAACCUAGGAAAAACUAGUUUAUAGUAUUGGCAUGUGUCACCUCAGUAGAUUAUCAGGUAGUCUAUAGUAUUGGCAUGCGUCAACUCAAUAGAUUACCAAAUUGAUGUUUGUCUAUUUGAUGGGAAGUAUUCUACGUGCAUAAAUAUCUAAGAGAAGAACUAUAAAAAGUAGAUACAUGUGCUCUACACUCCUUUUUUCUAUGACUAGUUUUUCUCAUCUGAGAUUUUAUUGGUGAAGGCUUUUAAUGAGAGUUAUUUUAGGACCAUAUGAAAGUGGGGGACAUUCAAUGGAGAGUAUUGUGUAACAAUGGGUUUACUGCUUGUUGAUGCAGGAUUUUGGCACUUGAAUUUUUAGUUGGUAGGGAAUGAUCUUGAGGUGCUUCUUUCCCUGAUGAGCAGGGUUUUAGAGAACUAAACCUCCCCUUGGCAAACCCUUGCACACACAACAACCAGUCAGGGGACGCUGGUAGUUUUUCUAACAUAAACCCUCCGACGCUCAAAUCAGUAAUAUGGACUUAUUUAGAAAAAAACUAUGCCACUGAUUCGUGGCUUUGUUUUAAUUUUUAUCCCGUUAAUGUAAGAGACUUAUCAAAGAGAGUAAAAAAUAGAAUGUCAAAGUGAAUUGUUAUAUAGAUAAGUUCAAUGUCCGAGUUUGCAACUCCUUUACCAUCAUUAAAUGUCCCUUUUAUAACUUGUUUGGGCGUUCUGUCUCCACUGCCCCACGUUCAUCACUAUGUCAAGUGUUUCAUCAUGAGUGUAUUAGCGUUAUAACCAUUGCUAAGUAGGUUUAGUGUCUGGAAUCUCUGGAAAGAAUGCACGUGUUGAUAUCUCCUCGUAUUUUGUCCAACAACUACACCAUAUAGCUCCCCACCUACGAGCAAGUAGCUCCUGCACAUGGAUACCAGACAGCUCCUCGUCACCAAAGAAGCGACCCCUGCUCGGAUAUAUUUGGUCGGGACAUCAAACAUCCCAAACACAACUAUUUUCAUUUAGUAUAUUUAUAGCUUAUUAAAAUAACUUAAAUCUCAUUGAUUUAUUAAUUAAAUUUAAUGUAAUUUUUCACUAUAAAUAGCUAUGAGAAUAUAAGCCAAAAGCAUCCCAUUCUUAUUAUCUUUUUAUUUAGUACGAAGAAAGUUUUUUUUUAUCUUAAAUUUACUUUCUUAUUAAUAAUUAUUAUUAUCUUAUUUAUUACAUUUUAGUAAUUUUUUUAAAAAAUAUAAAAUAAAUUAUUUGUGUAACCUAUCCCUACUGUUAAAUUAUGAAACUUCGAAUGGAAAUUAGAGUGGCACGUGAGACCAUGAUAAUUCAUUAUAAUACAAAUUAAACAACUCAAAAGAAAAAAAAAAAAGGCCCAGGUGCACUUCACAACGCAAAAGUUGUCGAAAACUAUAAAAUAUUUUGUUGAUCUUUACUUUUCUUCAUUAAAAGUAUGCAAUUUAUUUUCACCAAAUGCUAGAGCAAACACGCGUUUUAUUUGUGAUCUCUCGAGCUUUACGGCGUGAUCGCCCUGGAAUUAAAAACAAAUCACCCAUAUCUAAAACAUCGAUAUCAUGCUUGGUACAGAAAGUAGAAACUUGACCAAAUAAAGAAUCACAUCCACUAUCUCUCAACUUCUGAAGGUUAUGCCUAUAAACUUCAACCAAUUUUAUAGCAUUCAAAAUAUCUUGAUUUUUCAUUUGUAGUGCUCGUGACAACUCAUUUGCAUAGCCAAGAAUAUUUUUCAUUAAGAAUAAACAAAAUACGAAAUCAAAUGAUUGCAUCAACUUCAAUAGCGUUUUAGCAUGAAAUUUUUGUUCAGAAUUUUCUUCAACUUCAAUUAUCUCAAGCACAUUAACCACAGAUGGAAACAUUGAAAUUAUGCUCAUUAACGUACCAUAAUGAGAAGACCAGCGUGUAUCAACAGGACGCUUUAAAGUAAUCUCCUGAUUCAAACCUUGUCCACUUGAAAGCUCACCUUUACCUAAUGCUUCAAUAACUGCAAGAGCAUGUAUCUCAUGUAGAAUGUCACGACGUUUAGCUGACACUCCAACAACAUUAACUAGCAUUGAAACUAAAUUGAAUAAAGAAUUAACAUCCUCAUGCUUUUUUGCCACGAAAAUAAGAGCCAACUGAAGUUGAUGAGCAAAACAGUGAACAUAAUAAGCAGAUUCAUUCUCCUCUAAAAUGAGUGUUUUCAAACCAUUAAACUCACCCUGCAGAUUACUUGCGCCAUCAUAACCUUGCCCACGUAACAUUGACAAACUCAAUCCAAACCUUGAAAACAUAUUAUCAAGAGAUUCUUUAAGUGAGGCAACUUUAGUGCUAGAAACAUGUUCAAUGCCUACAAAACGUUCAACCACAUAUCCAUUCUUAUCCACAUAACGUAAUACAACAGCCAUUUGCUCUUUUGUAGAUAUAUCACUAGGCUCAUCAAUUAGAACAUAAAAUAAUGCACCAUCCAUCUCUCUAAUAAUAUCAUUAGUAGUUUCAGUUGCAACACAACUUACAAUGUCUUUUUGGAUCUUUGGAGAUGUCAUUUGCAGAUUUAGAGGAUUAUUUUUGAAAGUAACAGCAUUAAUAUCUUCAUUAUGAUCAGCAAGGAAGUGUAAAAGCUCAAGAAAAUUCCCUCUGUUGCUUGAACCAUCAGACUCAUCAUGCCCACGAAAUGCUAGCCCUUGAUUUAAAAGAAAUCGAAUACAAUCAACAACAGUAUUCAAGUGAGUUUCAUAUUCACUUUGAGUUUUCUAGGAUUUUCUUUCAAAAAAUGUUGCAAUAUGUUGUUUCUGAUUCAUCAACCAUUCACAUUUCUGCCUAGCUCGGUUAUGGGCACUAUUGACACCUCCUUCAUGAAUCUUUACUUUUUCUUUUUUUUUCCAAUGUUUAAAUCCUUUCCCAGUAAAAGUAUCACUGCCUGAUUGAUCACCAUUAUCUUCUUUGAAAAGAAAACAAAAAAGAAAAUAUGCAGACUCUUCUUUUAUACUAUAUUCCAGCUAAGAACCAAAUUCUUUGAACCAAUCCGAAACAAAUCGUUGUUGUUGAUUUCUAAAUUUCUCAAAUUUAAAAUUGUGCCCCUUAGGUUGAAAAGGACCCCUUUGUAAGUAUGUUCUUCGAACUUGAUCUCGAAUAUUACAAUUAUAACUAUCAAUACAAGGUUACAAGCCAGGGUCAGCAAGUAAAUUUUGUAAAUUGACUUUAUAUGAACCAUCACUAGUUCCCUCUAAAGGAGAUGGGAGCUGUGGUUUCUUUUUAAAAAAUUUUUCCAUAUCUGUUUCAAAUCAAAUAAAAUUAUUAAUUAUUAGAUUAAAUUUCACAAUAAGACUAAAUCCUAACAACGAACAAGAAUAAUUAAUUUAAUAAAAAUUUGAUAAUAUAAAAAUAUUAUUUGACAACACACUCAAUGGGGCUCACGGGAAAGAUACAUUAUUGCAAAUUUUACUUUUUCAAUUGCUCAUUUAUUUGCAUUAACAAAGUGAUUGCUUUUAUAAUUUAUAUAAUAAAUUAUACACCACUUUCAUCAUUUCACAGAGCACCCACUAUCCCACCACUUUCCCUUUCAAUUUUAAUAUUAAAGAAUUGCUCACUUUUCACAAAUCAACUUUUACUUUUGGAAUUUUGUAUAUAGCUAUCAGAAUAAGAAUUGACGAACGAAGUUAGAGAGAUGCAGCACAUUCAUUCGGCCAAAAUCAUUAGUCAAACUUCAAAACAACAUUCAAGCACAAUACUUGUUUCAAUUUAUGGGCUAUGGCUGAUCUAGCUAAGGGACGAAAUCAUGAAAGGCUCAUUUUUCAAUCUAUGUUGUAAUAAGAAUGAUAUUUAAAUUCAUUUUAAAGAGAAACAUAUAAUUAAAAAAAAUGAAAAUCUUAUAUUUAAUUAAACUCAUUCUCUCAACAACCCGAAAGAUGCCCCAAAUACAAGCCGUUGGACACAAAGUUUCUUUUUUAAUUUUUUUCAACUUUUUUAUUUUAAAUGAGUUUUACCAAAUUGUCCCCUCAUCAUAGAUUAUAAGGUAUGCGUACCUUUUCACCCUCCACCUUUCAAUUCUCACUGAUGUAGAAUUUAAAAAAGAAAAGAAAAGAAAAGAAAAGUGAAGCCACCAAGUCAAUGGCAACUUGUGAAACAUUACUCGGACCUUGCUACCAAAGCUCAUUCAUUUCUCAUGCUCUCGGAAAUUACCAGAUCUCUGAGCUGCUGCUCUCAUUUCGGUAUGUUACUUUUGCUUCCUAUAUCGCUUACAGUGUUAUUUCAAUCCCUUUUUUCCCCCCCAAUGAAAGAUUUGAUAGUGAACAAGAACUUAUGUAUGAUGUUAAUUAGGUAGAUAUAUCUUAUGUUGUUUUGAUCUGAUGUUUAUUUAUAUUGCUAGAUGAAGCUUUUAAUUUUCUCUGAACUCUUGCGACUCUCUAACUGGAGGUUUCAGCAGUGAUUGAGGAUAUAUAACGAAGAAGGUAUGCGAUAUUAUUGUUUCAUAAGCUCUUAAUUUGAUGUUAUUUGUUUUACUUCCAAUGGCUACGCUAGUUCGUUUUAUGCCAAUUUUGCACGUUGGAUUAAAAACAUACAGAUAAAAUGGUCGAGAAUUUUAAGUUCUAAGUCUUUUAAUGCAAUUUUUUAUUACAUUAAUUUUCAUUAUAUUAUUUUUGCCGUUUAUUUGUAUUAAUUCUUAAGUCAAAGAUGGUUGAUUAAUAGGAAUCACCUCCAAGUCAUUACUGUUGACCAUACUUUAAAAAUAAAAUUAAUUUGCCUACCGGCUUUAAUGAAGUCCGAACAUGAGUCCAUUAUGCUCUCCUGUGAUUUCAAAUUGAUCCAUUUAAUACAUCUUUUGAAUUUCAUAUGUGCAACAACUAUAAUCUGGAAAUCCUUCAAUUUUUUUCAUGAGUGCGCGUGCAUAAGUUGUUGCGGAUUAGAAUAGGUUGUUGCGGUCUUCUAAUCUCUAUUACUCUUUUUUCAUCACUUUUAGCAUAUUUCCACAUGAAACUGCCUGUCUUCACUUGCAAUUCCCAACGAGCUCAAUUUUUUUUUUUUAAAAAAAAGGUAAGGGUUAGAUAAAGCUACAAUUCAUUUCUUUUUAAACUCUUUACCUCAUCCAAGAUUCGAACCCGCUCCUUUUUGGGGCACAAUGAACUCUUAGGCUUAUCUAAAUUCUAUUAAAUUUGAUGUUUGAUAUUUUUCUUCAAAAAUUUCUAAAGCAAUCUAAUUUCAAUAUGUUCCACCAUAUAUCACGUUUACCUUAUUUCUUCUCUUCUGUUUGCAGCUAAAGGCUACUUAAAGCCCAGCGUUUGUAUUUUGCUCUAUUGAUCAAAGCUGGCGUUAAUAAACGUGCAUUCGCAGAAUAGAAGAAAGUAAUUAAACGUUCAGAAAAUAGUAAUUAAACAUUAUCGUUCGAUCUUGUGAUCAAGCCUCGUUGUUUUGCUUAUAGUGUACUGAGAUCAACUUUGUUAAUUGCAGAUAAAUAGCAUGGAAAUUUUAUCAGGUAUUGCAUCAAAGCUUGGAGAAUUAUUGGUGGAUGCUACCAUAAAACAAGCUCGCUAUCUGUUCUGUUUCAACAGCAUUGUUAAAGAACUUGAGGAUAAAGAAACUAAUUUGAAGGAGGCACAAGAUGGCAUCAACGAAAAAGUAGAAGAAGAACGACAAAAACAUUGCGCUAUAGUAGUUGAGAAAGAUGUAGAGAAGUGGCUAGCGGAUGUAGUCAAAGAAAUGGCAGAUGUUCGAAAUUUGAAAGCAAUGGUAGAUGAAAAGAAGAGUUGUCUUAAUGGAUGGUGUCCUAAUUGGGGUUGCCGAUAUUGGCUGGGUAGAAAAGCAUCAAAAAGGACUAGCAAGCUGUCCGAUCUGCUACAAGACCGCAGCAAAUUCAGCACAAUUGCCCGUCCUAAACCUCUUCCAUCAGACAAAGAAUUGCCUAUACCAAGACAUUUUAUGUCUUUCGGGACUACAGAAUCGGCUUGCAAUCAGAUCAUUGAAGCACUGAUAAAAGACAGCACAAAGAUGGUGGGAUUGCAUGGUCUCGGUGGUGUAGGAAAGACAACCCUGGCAAAAUUUGUGGGCAAUCAACUUCGGCAGAAAAUGAUUUUCGAUCAGGUGGGGAUAGCCACUGUGUCUCAGGAUCCAAGCAUAAUAAAUGUUCAAAGUGAGCUGGUAAAGUCGUUAGGUUGGGCAUUAACGGAGCAAGAUGAAGAAGAUAGAGCAGACCGACUGCGCUUGAUGUUCUUUGAGAGUAAAAGCCGCAAGAUACUCAUAAUCCUUGAUGAUGUCUGGAAAGAGCUCGACAUGGAGACAGUAGGUAUUCCCGUCGGUGAUAGAGACAACUGCUGCAAAAUGCUUCUAACUACUCGCCUGCAGCAGGUUUGUGAUCGCAUGGGUUGUGACACGCGGAUUAAACUAGAUGCUCUAGACCAAGCAGAAGGAUUGAAUUUACUAAGAAAGCAUGCUGGCAUUGACGUUGCUGAUACAACCUUGAUUGAUGUUUCAAAACGAGUUGCUGAUGAAUGUAAGGGGUUGCCUUUAGCUAUUAAAGCUGUUGGAAGUGCACUAAGAGGAAGAACCGCUGAUGAAUGGAAUGUAGCACUAGAUAAACUACAAAAUGCAAAACUCGAUAAGAUAGAAGGUAUUGAUAAGGAUUCCCGGGGCGUUUACGGUUGUCUCAAAUUUAGUUAUGAUUAUUUGAAUGGUGAGGAUUCCAGGUCGUGCUUCUUAUUGUGUUCGCUGUUUCCAGAAGAUUAUGAGAUAGAUUUGGAGGAUUUGCUUGGAUAUGCUGUGGGGUUGGUUUGGUAUCAAGCUGAGUCAAUCGAAAAAGCCAGAAGCCUACUGCGUUGAACAAUCAAAGGACUCAAAGAUUCUUCAUUGCUGUUAGACACUGAUAAUGACGGAUUUGUGAAAAUGCAUGACGUAGUUCGCGAUGUAGCCAUAUGGAUAGGCAAAGUGGAGAAGAAAUGUUUUACUAGUAAAGUUGGCAUUGGAUUGGCGGAAUGGGCAGUGGAAGAAUGCCUAGAACAAUACAGAGGAAUCUCUUUGGUGGGAAAUGAAAAAGUAGAGCUUCCUAGCGGUUUGGUAUGCCCUAGCCUUCAUAUUUUACGACUGGAGAAUACUCUAGAUGGCAACAAAUUGCAAGUUCCAGAAUAUUUUUUUAAAGAGAUGUCAGCACUGAAAGUUGUUACUAUAAUAGGUGGAGUCCUUUCAGUUAAAUCACUUCAAUUCCUCGCCAAUAACCUUCGAGUUCUGCUGUUGAUUCGAUGUGAUGUGAGUGACGCGUCUUUCCUUGGAAAGUUGAAGAGACUUCAAAUACUUUAUCUCGAGAAGUCUCCCAUUGAAAUUCCAGAUGGAUUGGGGGAUGAACUUAGUAGAUUGAAACUUCUGUAUAUUGGUAGUUGGUCUGGCUCCAUUUCUCCCAUUACGAUAAAUAAAUUUCCUCAAUUAGAAGAAUUUUAUGGUUGGAUAAAAAAUUGGGAGGUUGAAGGGAUGAGUUCAGAAGAAAGUUACGCUAGGUGUGCUGAGUCGGACUCCCAACCCGACGGAUCCGUUGUAUGUCUUCCAAAUGACUUUUCAUUUCCGAAAUUACAAAGGUAUGGCAUCAUGGAAGUUGGCGCUUUAUAUGACACUGAUAGAUGGACAAGGUGCUUAGACGCUUUUGAUAGAGGGACAAGGUGCUUAAUCAUUGAGAAUAACCAUCCUAAAGCGACGCUAGGAAUUUUUUCAGCACUGUAUCAAAAUCUGGAAAUUCUUUAUUUAAGUGGGGUAACAGGUUGUCAUAAUAUUGUGCCAAGCAUAGAUGAACGGGGCUUAAAUGAGUUGACUAUUCUUCAUGUCACCGAUUGUAAAGAUUUAGAAUGCAUAAUGGACGCCUCUAAGUCGCCGCAUGGAAAGAGUGGGAAUCCUGUGAUGCUCUCAAGAUUAGUAGAGUUAUAUAUGAGGGGAUUACCAGAACUGAAGUGGAUAUGGAAGGCGCCCGGCCAACAUGUGAUCGGCCUCCAAUCUCUUACAGAAUUAAAAGUGUCAUGGUGCAACAAUUUGACAUAUAUCUUCACGUUGUCACAAGCUCGAAGUUUGGUGCAGCUUAAAAGUCUGAAAGUGAGUUACUGCGAGAGACUGGAAUGUAUCGUUGAAGCAAAAUUUGAUCAUAAUGAGAGGGAAAUAAGUGUAGGAGAUGGAAAUACAAUACUUGCGCUCCCUUCGUUGAGAAAUUAAGAUUUAAAGAUCUCCCCGAACUCAUCAGCUUCUGUUCAGAAAAUUAUUAUUCAACUUGGCCGGCAUUGGAAGAGUUAGAUGUAAGGAGUUGUCCUAAAUUGACCGUCAACAGUACUGAACUUGAAGCCAAUUUGCAGUAUCUUGGAGAGGUAUGUUCGCUUGUGUUUACGUUUUUUUCUUUCUUUUCCUUUAAUUUUACUCAAAAAGAUAGUUUAUCAAAAACUUUUGUGAUCAGUCAUUCAUAUCACCUUGCAUUUGGUGUGUUGAGAUGAAGAUGACGGUGGUGGUAGUGGUGAUGAUAAUAAUAACGAUCCAGUAUCUUGAGCAAAUUUCUUUGUUUUAGGGCCUAAAAUUCAUUUUUUAAAUAAAAUUCAUAUCUCGUUUUACUUUAUACUAAAAAAAUGGAUGCAAGGACUUGUAAAGUAUGUAUAUUAUUAGUCAAAUUCAAUUCAUUAGUUAAUUUUACCAUAGAGAUACUAUAUUAAUUUUUCUCAAACAAAACGAUGUCACUGCUAUAUCACUUCACAUGAUUUUUUUCAAUGGAUUUCUUUUUCUUUUUUAUAAAUUCCUUACUUUCACAAAGUAUAAUUAUUUUAUAAGUUUACAUGUGUAGUAUUAUAUUUUUGUAGGGACUUUUUGAAUUAUUUGUCGCUUAAUUGUCAAUUUGACAAUCCUAGCUGCUAACAAAUUUUAAUUACAUCAAGUUAUUUAUUUAUUUGUCUCAGAAAUUAAGAAUUCUAAGAGUACGUGAAUGCUCCCAUUUGCGUGACACGAUUCCAGCACUGUUGAAGCACGGCUUAAAAAAUUUGGAAGAAUUGGGUAUUAGCCAACUUGGAGUACAAGUGGUAUUUCAAGUGGAAGCUAUUAUCGCUGAGGGACAAGAAAACAAACUAUUCCCAUGUUUGAAGAGGUUGUGGUUGGAAAACCUUCGAGAACUGCAAGUAUUAUUAUAUCACGUAGGUCCCACGCAUAAUUUCAGCCUGCAAAGUCUUACCUAUUUAAGAGUAGACGGGUGCACUAUGCUGAGACGUCUCUUCUCAUCAACACUUGCUCGAAAUCUGUUGCAAUUGGAGGAGUUAUUCGUUCGCGAUUGCUGGGAAUUAGAGCAAAUCAUUCAUGAGGAUGAGGAUGAGGAUCAUCUCCAACCUGUAUGUUUCCCAAAACUCACAAGGAUCUCUGUCUUUAGGUGCCCCAAACUAAAGCAUCUAUUUCAUAUCAGCGUAGCUCCAGGUCUUCAAAAACUGUACAUAAUAGGUAAUGAUGAAUUAGAAGAAGUAUUCUGCCAUAAAGAUGGAGCAGACGUCACGGAUUACAAUGAAAUUGUUAUGAAUGAACUUCGGAAGUUGGAACUGAUAAACUUACCAAACCUCACCAACUUUUGGCCUGCGGGUUAUCAGAUCCCAUUUCCAUCUGCACCCUAUAGAGUUGUUGUUCGUAAUUGUCCCAAGUUUCGUCCAAGUUCCGAAGGAGAUAUAUGAUUCCAAGAAUUCAGGAGCACAGGUCAACUCUUGAGAACUUUAGUUAAUUGACUCUAAACAUAGUUGGUUCAUGUUUUCGUUUGUGAUAGCUAAUUAAUCUAUCCUAAAAUCAAAAUUUCUCUUUUGAUAUAUAUAUGUGUUAUAUUAUAAUUUUUUUUAAUCAUUUUAUUCAUCAUUCAAUCGUAUUUAAUGCCCAAUUUAAUGGUUGGAUAUAUAGGCACAGCAAACUACAGACGAGGAGAUGCCAAUGAAGACGCCAGCGAAGAAAAAGAUGGGAGCGAACAUAAAUGAAUUUAAAAAAUUCCAAAAAUCCAAAAAAAAAAAAAAAGCUUUGUUCAACGUGUUCAGUUCGCGCAAGGAGCUAAAAAUAAGCUUUGUUCUAUACUUGUUUAAUAGUUAGUGCGUGCUCAAAUUGUGAAGAAUAAAGUUUCAAGGCUUUGUUGUAUGUAUCUCAAGAUUUAUUCAACUUCAAAAUUCACCUGUUCCGUUUGUGAUCAUUGUUUCUUCAAUUGUUGGCUAAAUUGAUGGCCUUUUCGAUGGGCAUUAAUUGGGCCAAUUUGGUAGUAGCACGCAUUUUGUAUUGAGUAACUUCAAAAUGUUCUACCUUUCUAGACAGCGAAGAAAGUGUGUGGUGACUGCAAUAUCUUUUAAUUUUUCUAUUUAAAGUUAUUAUUUUAUUUUUUAUUAACCAUAUCAAAUGGUACAGAGUUAAUACAAAUUAUAAAUGGCAGGUUGUUAAUAUUUAUUCUGAGCUCAAAUUGUAAAGACCAGAGCUUCGAGACUUUGUGUGGUGACUGCAAUAUUUUUUAUUUUUUAUGUUCGUGACAGUAUUUUCCUGGAUAUUUAGGGAUUUUGGGUUCUCUGGUACCCGUACCUUUCGAUAGCCACCCAUUUUUAUUGGCUUGUGGAAACUCAUUUUCAAAAGACAAAAUGGAAAAUUGUGUUCCGAAUAGGACUCUGCUUUAUGCCACAAGCCCACAAGUGCUUUUAAUAAUCAUUUUGUUAUAUGAAUCGGUGCUUGCUUUGGAGCCUAAACCAUCAAGAAAUGUUAGUGAAUUUUUUUUUUUAAUUAUUUAGUGUAAUGGCAAUUCAAUUUUCUUUUCAAAUUCAAAAUCGUUUGCAUUCACAUCAAAAUUUUUUAUUAUCUCUACUAAAUGACACCCACAAACUAAUUAGUGAAUAUAUAUAAUGACAUAAAUGAAAAUCAUGGUUUGUUUUAGAAUAUUUAACAAGGUUACUAUUUAUAGAUAGAUAUAUAGAUAAUUGUUCAAAACAAAAGACACGUAAUUUUUGUUUAUUUUUCAAAUUAAUAAAUAGAUAAAUAAGAAUCGAGUUGCUGAAUUUUAAUUAGUUUUCAAGUCUUGGAAUAUCCAUUAAUGUUAUUGUGGAAUGUGCAUUUGAAAGAGCAUUCUGUAAAAUGAUUUUACUAAGUUACGUUUUUUUAAAUUAUUUUUAAGUUCCUUUAUUUUAUUUUUCCCAAAGCAUUUCAGUUAUUUUUUUAUUUCAAAAAUCACUUAAUUACGGAUGAGAUUAUUUGUACUCAAAAUAUUACUUUGAACACUUUAUUAUUCCGUACACUCAUACACAAAUUAUAAAAAAAUUAAGUUUUAAUUUAUACAAUUUUAAAAAUUCAAAAAAUAUCCUUACUUAAACUAUUUACGUUAUUCAAACAUUAUUUACUUAAAAUACUAGUAAAACUAUUUAGCUCCAAUUUUUUUUUGGAGACUUAAUAUAUACUUACAAGAAUAUAAUCAAGUUCAGUUGUAACCAAAUUAUUUAACACAAUUUUAGUAUAAUUUAUUUAUUUAUUUAUGUUCCAAUAUUGAACCUUUGCACCCAAAAUAACUUACAAUGAUAACAUGAUAAUUAUUUCAUAAAUAAUACCCAAAAAAAAAAAGAUAAAGAAGGAGAUGAAGAAGACAAAGAGACGAAGAAGACAAAGAAGAAGGGCCAAAGCAAAUUAAAAAAAAAAUCUUUUAUAGUACUUUUGUUUCAUUUUAUUUUUUCAAAAAAAAAUUAAACGCAUACUUUAGCAAAAAAAAAUUCUAGAUUGAUUUUCUCAUUAUUCAUCUAAAUGUUAAUUAACACCUUAGAAAUAAAAGUUUUAGAGUUUAAAGUAUGAGAAUUAUAAAUUGAACAAUGAGUAUAUUAUAUCGGUGUUCAAAGUGCUUAUACAAUAUUGACUUAUAAUAAAUUGUCCUUAAUAGUAAUUCACAUUACAAGAGUUUUGUAGAAUAUAUUUUUAUUAAAAUCAGAGUAUUCAAAGUAAUUUUUAAAAUAUAAAUAACCUUGCCCCUCAAUCACUUUUUGUGUUAAAAUUUUUUAUAGUUGCUUCAUUAAAGUUUUAACUUUUAAAUUGUUCUGUCAUUAAAUAAAAAAAAAACUACAAUACUUUUUAGUUACAUCAUUCCUUGUAACAUAUGUUUGUGGCAUUAAGCCACCAAAUAAAGCCACACGUGGCUUCAUAAAUAAGAAAUAGCCAGCUGCUGGCUUCCUCGAGAUUAGAUGGAUGUUUCACCAAUUUGCUUCUCCUGCUUCACUUGCCACCUCAUGCUUGACACCUCUCUCUCUCUCUCUGUUUUUUUUUUUGGGCACUUUAUUCGGUGAAUAUAUAUAAGGUUUAAAUAAAAUGGAAGCUACUUCGUUUUUCAUAUUUUUGGAGAAGCCGAAAUCAAAAGCAAAAACAGAGAGAAGAAAAAGAAAUUGGGAGAAAGAAAAAAAAGGAAAGGAAAAGAGAAAGAAAAAGAAAAGAAGAAAAGAAAUAAAAGAAAAAAGAGGAGCCAAGAGUGAAGGAAAACAGAAAAAGGAAGGAAAAAGUAGAAAAGAGAUUGAGAAGCCGAGAGUGAAAAAGAAAUUGAGAAAAAACUUUAAGGAAAUGAAAUUCGGCAGUUAGAUUAAUAUCUAGUGAAUUAGUGGGUAAUAGAUCUAUAAAGUUUGAGUAGUUAUGUUAUAAUUUUCAUGAUAAGUAACAGUUUUUAUAUCAAUUCUAAUAGUUAAUUUUUGAAUCCUGUGUUUUAGGAGGAAUUCAUGUUUUCAGGAGCAUACAAGAGCCGAAACGAACCCCAGAGUGAAACAGACUCUAUGAAUGGAUACUAUUAUUACUAUUAUAUAUUUUAUAAAGAAUUUAUGUUUGAUAGUAUGAUUUAAUAUCAUGUUAUGACUAUAUGUACGCAUAUUAUAAGUUUGAUUGAGUCAUAAAAUGUGAUUGCCAGUCACCAUAUGUGUACCCUUCCCCCCACAGACUCUGUGCAUGUGGAUUGAGAGUUAGGUUACUCUACAUGUGCAAUAUAGUUAAAUUCAGCCUAUAUUGAGAGGUUUUUCUCCCGUUGUACUCAUGUGAUGAUGAUCUUGGUGAGUAAUGAGAGUUAUUUGCCCUAUAUUCUAUUUGCUGCAGUUUUGUCAUGUAUAUAUGUAUGAUUUUAUGUUUGCUUAUAUAAUGUGUUCACUAUGGAGUUAUGUCAUACGAUUAUAUAUUAGGGGUGGGGGAAAACGGAUUCGGAUCAAUCCAAUCGGAUUGGGAUAAAAACCAUCCGAAUUAAUUCGAAAUAAUCAUUUGAUCCAAUUCGAUCCGAUUAAGUUCGGAUCGGAUGAUUAUUUCGAAUUAAUUCGGAUUCGGAUCGGAUUAAUAGCUCCGGAUUAAAUUCGGAUUAUAUGAAUAUGUAAAGGAAAAAAAACUAGUUAUACAAACAAAAGCAAACACCCAGCACCAACUGUUAAGAUUAAAGGGGGGAACGCAGAAGAAGAAGAAUCACAGAUCAACAAACAAUAGGCAGUAAACGGGAAGAUGACAGCAGCAGACAACAAGCAGUACUUGCUGUCAUCUUGGGAUUAAAUUCGAAUUAUAUGUAUAUGUAAAGGAAAAAAACACUAGUUAAACAAACAAAAGCAAACACCCAGCACCAACUGUUAAGAUUAAGAAAGAGGAAAAAUAACAGAAGAAGAAGAACUGAAGAUCAGCAGACAGCAAGCAUCAAGCGAGAAGAUGACAGCAGAUAUCAAGAACUGAAGAUGGCAGUAGCAGACAACAAGCAGUACUUGCUGUCAUCUUCAAUUGGUUGUUGUUGCCUGGGACGUCAUCGGCGCAUGGAAGGGGGUGUCAUCGACAAGCGGCUAGCCGGCAGGUGCGAAGCUUGAUGGCUGGGUUGGCUGAAUCCAUGCCUUUGUGGCUGGCUAGGUUCAAUUCGUUUAUGAUUUGGGAAUUUAAGGUAGAAGAGGUUUGUCACUGAAAUCAAUGUUGCUUAUUGUCUUCUAACUGAGGAUGAAGAGUCAUCAACUUUCCAUGAAACUUUAAGCAACUCAGAUGUUGCUUUGUGGAUGACAGCAAUACAGGAAGAAAUUGAAUCUCUACACAAGAACAAGACAUGGGAACUUGUACCACUACCACACGAAAGAAAAGUCAUUGGAAACAAAUGGGUCUACAAGAUCAAACGUGAUGGCAAUGAUCAAGUGGAGCAGUAUCGUGCAAGAUUGGUGGUGAAAGAAUAUGCUCAGAAAGAAGGUAUUGACUUCAACGAGAUAUUUUCUCGUGUGGUUCGACUUACAACAGUCAGAGUAGUCUUGACGAUGUGUGCUACAUUUGACUUACAUCUUGAGCAGUUAGAUGGGAAAACUGCAUUUCUUCAUGGAGAACUCGAAGAAGAAAUAUAUAUGCUCUAACCAAAAGGUUUUGCAGAAACAAGAAAAGAAAACUUUGUUUGCAGGUUGAACAAAUCUCUACACGGUCUCAAACAUGCACCGAGGUGCUGGUAUAAGAGAUUUGAUUCCUUCAUCAUGAGCCUUGGAUACAACAGACUCAGUUCAUACCAUUGUGUAUAUUACAAAAGGUUUGAAGAUAAUGAUUUCAUUAUUUUGUUGUUUUAUGUGGAUGACAUGUUGGUAGCAGGCUCCAACAAAGAUUGAGUCUAAGAAUUGAAGGCACAGUUGGCUAGGGAGUUUGAAAUGAAGGACUUGGGACCAGCAAACAAGAUUCUAGGGAUGUAAAUUCACCAAGAAAGAAAUAACAGGAAGAUUUGGCUUUCACAGAAGAAUUACUCGAAGAAAAUCUUGCAGCGCUUCAACAUGCAAGAUUGUAAGUCAAUUUCUACCCCACUUCUUGUUAAUUUCAAAUUAUCCUCAAGUAUGUGUCCUAACAAUGAAGCAGAGAGGAAGGAGAUGUCUCGAGUAUCGUAUGCAUCAGCAGUGCGAAGUUUGAUGUUCGCUAUGAUAUGUACAAGACCAGACAUUGCACAAUCAGUGGGAGCAGUCAGUCGAUACAUGGUGAAUCCUGGUGGAGAGCAUUGGAUAGCUGUGAUGAGGAAUCUGAGAUACAUCAGAGGAACCUCAGAUGUUGCAUUAUGUUAUAGAGGAUCAGAGUUUACUAUCAGGGGCUAUGUGGAUUCAGAUUUUGCAGGAGACCUUGAUAAAAGGAAAUCCACUACUAGUUAUGUGUUUACACUUGCGGAAGCAGCUGUAAGCUGGAUUUCAAAACUACAGACCGUUGUGGCUCUAUCUACAACAGAAGCAGAAUACAUGACAACUACACAAGCUUGCAAGGAAGCUAUUUGGAUAUAAAGGUUAUUGGAGGAGCUCGGGCACAAAUAACAGAAAAUUUCUGUGUUUUGUGACAGUCAGAGUGUCUUGCAUAUUGCAAGGAACCCAGCCUUUCAUUCCAGAACAAAGCACAUGGGGGUUCAGUAUCACUUCGUUCGAGAAGUAGUGGAAGCCGGAAGUGUGGAUUUAUAGAAAAUCCAUACGAAGGAGAACCUAGCAGAUGUUUUGACCAAGCUGAUAAAUACUGAUAAGUUUGUCUGGAGUAGAUCCUCUUGUGGCCUAGUAGAAACAUAGGCAACAUGACAAUAGCGAAGCAGAAAUGAUGAUGUGGAGAUUGAUUGAUUCUCAAUCAAAUCUCCAAGUGGGAGAAUGUCAAAAGAUUUGGCUGCAGCAUCUAGAAGCUGCAUCUAGAAGGUUUGAAGAAGCAAAAUGGUUGGCACAUGGCUUUGAAGUUCUAGAUGCCGUAAUGUUUGGUAAAAGAAAAAGAAAAAUUCAAAGCUCAAAAAUUCAAAGUUUGAAAAACUAAAAUUUUUGAGCUGUAUGGUUUGAAGUUUAUGACCACCUUUUUGACUUUUGAGGCAAAGUUUUGCCUAUAAAUACAAGCUCUCAAUUUAGAGUUUGUAUCCAAUUUUGUAAAGAGAGUCAAGAGUUGUGAGAAACAAUUCCUGCAGAGAGUUUUUGUAGAGCCUAAAUAAUAAAAGCUCUUGUUUAGUGAUUUGAGAGUUUGGGUGUAUUGGAGUUUUGGGUAGUGAGCUAAAAUACUACAAUACUUGUAACUCCUUUUCACUAGUAAAAUAUUUUCCUUCUGUCUUCGCCCGUGGACAUAGGCUAAAAGUCGAACCACAUAAUUUCUGGUGUCCACUUUUUGUGGUUGUUCUUUUUUUUUCUUACAAUUUCAUUUUAGCUGCGCGUCUGCUUCACCCAUCAAUUUCCUAACAUCAAAGACACAAUACAAGAUCAAUAUAUGCAGAGAAAAUGUAACACUAAUGAACAAGUCGAAAAUCUAAGGAUUUGAACAAGAAAUGUAAGAGUACAAGUCACACCAAUCGGGCUAGCUAAUCAGCCCUUUAUACGGUUCUAGGUUUGUUAUAAAGACAACAAACUUAAUUAUUAUUAACAAUAAUUAAUAAUAACUAAAAUAAUAAAGUUAAUAAAAUUUAAUAAUUAUAAUAAUAAAAUUAAUAAUAAUAAUAAUAAUAACAACAACAAUAAGGAUAAUAUUAUUAAUAAUGAUAAAUUAAUUAUUUUUAUUAAUUAUUAUUUUUAUCAUUAUUUUUAUUGUUAAUAAUGAUAAUAUUAAUAAAAAUAAUAAUAGUAGUAAUAAUUAAUAAGAACUAAAAUAAUAAAUUUAAUAAAAUUUAAUUAUUAUUAUUAAUGACAUUUAAAAUAAUAAAAUUAUUUGUGAUUUGAAUAAGGGUAAUUUAGAAAAUAUGAAAAAAUUAUAAGUAUAGAAAAGUAAAUUUAUAUUUCAUUCUCAUUCCCACAUUUUUAUUCCCAACCCACCUCCAUAGGAAUGAGAUUCACAUUCCUUAUUUCCAAAUUGUGUGAGACCCACACAUUUUAUUCAUAUUCCCAAAUUAUAUUUUGUCAAGUAAACAUAUGUUUCAUUCUCACUCCUUCAUUCUCACUCCUUCAUUCUCAUUCCCCAAACCCAUAAAUAAACACACUAUAAGUUCUUUUACUAGGUGCUAUUUUCAUAUGGACCUAACAACUUCAGUUAUUUUGCAAAUAGAUUCAAAAAGGUUUGCAUGUUACCCCUUUCAACAAUUUAUAUAUUAUUUGAGAGGAAAUUACCCCUUGAGGAAAAUUUUGGAACUUGUUUUUUAAGUUCUGUUUGGAGAUAAAUGCCAAAACUUAAGUGUAAAGAUUCAUAAAAGAUAGAGAAAUAAAAUUUUUGAAUAAUUGGGAUCUUAUUGAAUAUAGUAUGAAUAACAAAAUUAAGGUUUUAUGAGCUCUUUUAUAUUAUCCAUAAAUAAUGUGAAUUUACCAAAAUAGGUAAAACACAAAUUAUUAUUACAUAUACAAUUCUACCAAUUGAAAUAAGGAAAACAAAGCAAACAACACCCAAAUCAAUAUCUAGAAAAAAAAAAGAAUAAAAAUCCUGAAAGCAAAAAAAAAAGGAAAAUAACUAAAACUUGCAAAAUAACCAUGGACGAAAUAAAACUUCCAACACAACUAUUGGGCCAUAUCCAAAAAACAGUUUUGUGUUAAUUUUUUCUCGACAACAACUUCAAAACAAUAUAUUAUACCCCCAAAUGGACACAUGUAAUUUAAGUUGAACCCAAAAAAAUUCCAUGCUUAUCCUAUGUAACCAUCCUAUAUCAAUAAAAUUAUAUAUAUAUAUAUAUAUAUAUUAACAGUUUUAUUGCUAAAAACCAACUCCAACCGACUUUUAAAAAUGUUAAAAUUUAUCUUCAGCAAUAAUAUCAAAAACUUGUUUUAAAGCAAGUAUUUUUUUCUAACAAAAGUUAAUUUGAGUCUAAGCUUCAUCUAAUAAAUAUAAAAUAACGUCUUCAAUAAACAAUUCCAGAUAAUGGUUUUGGCAGUUUCUAUGAUGAUGAUGAUGAUAAGCCCCAUGAGGAUUGUGGUAUUGUGGGCAUAUGUAACUGUUCUUAACAUUUCGUAAGCUCCACAAGGCUCCUUUGAUAGGGAAGAUGGAUAUUGGGCUAAUUAUAACAUAAGCUUUUAGCAACCCUCGAAUCUUGAGGUAGAUUUUAAGUAUGAGUUGGUUUUAUAAACCUCUAUAUGGUAUCAAAGUCAAACUCAUACAUGAGUAGGUGUAUAUUACCUUACCUCGUGAUAAGAACUAAAUAAAAAAACCAACCAGCUAGCACACGACAGAAGGUGAUAGGAAAAUUAUCUCACAUCAACUAAGAUAGUUAUUAGGUUGAUAAUAUAAGUUUGAGACAACUUAUUAUAUUGUUGUUUGAACUCAACUCAUGGAUGAUAUUAAUUCAUGGUUUUUUGUGCCACUUAUGUCUUUGUGUUUAAAUCUAGACCUUAUCAUUCAAUAUUCACUGUGACCAGCUUAGUUUUAUCAUGUAUCUAUUUUGUACAAUUACUUUGCAACUCAAAUGUUGUAUUAAACAAUAUCAAUUAUAAUAAAGUUUCAUCCGGAAAGCAUUCUUACCAGUGAACGCAAGACAUUAAUUGUUCGUAAUUUUAUCAAAAUGAAACGGAGAAAAAAAGCGGCUGAUUCUCAGAAUUACACGGGCAAACUUAUUUUAAGACCGUCUAAAUUAAAAUAAUUUUUCAAUAAACAUUAUUAUUAAAUAUAAUGUUCAAUUUAGCACGUAGUCCUGGUUUUGCGUUUGCAUGGAAAGAUCUCAAGUGUAUAUAUGUCGUCGUCGUCGUUGUUGUUGUUAUUAUUAUGAUUGUUACAAUUAUUAUUAUGUUUUUGUUGCAUUAUUGUGAAAAAAUCAAGGGACUAUCGAGAAAAAGAGAUGAUGGGAUCUUUUCUUUCAACACCCCUUCUGCAUCCAACAAACAAUUAAUCAGAAAUUCCCUUUUCUUUUAAUUUCCGUUUAGUUUCUCUUUAAUUAUCAGAAAUAUUAANNNNNNNNNNNNNNNNNNNNNNNNNNNNNNNNNNNNNNNNNNNNNNNNNNNNNNNNNNNNNNNNNNNNNNNNNNNNNNNNNNNNNNNNNNNNNNNNNNNNGAUUUUUGGUUAUGCUUACCCUGCAUAUGAGUGCUUUAAAGCAGCAGAGAAGAACAAGCCAGAUACUGAACAGCUCCUGUUUUGGUGCCAAUAUUGGUAUGGAACUAUGGAUCAGUGCUUACACUAUUAACUAAUUAAGAAUUAUUUUGCAACAAUACUAAUUAAUCCCGUACAUAUAACGAGUCAUAUUCAUGUCUGGAUGCUUGGAUUUAAUAAAUUCAAAUUAUUAGAAUCAGAGUUAUACAGCACCUGAUUCUAGUUCUUGAUUUUGUAAAAUCACGACGUCCGAACCUAGGCAUCCUUUUGCUUGUAAUAACAAAAAAUUGCAUUCGUUGUAUUGUAAUUAUAGGGUUUUGGUCGCUGUGUUCACAGUUGGUGAGAGGGUGGGCGAUACCUUUAUUUCAUGGUAUGUGUAUUUUUAUGAAUAACAAAACUCUUAGUACAACGUCACGUGACAGUAUUGCGUAUUAACUUGAAGGUUACCGAUGUACAGUAAAGCUAAGUUGGCAUUCUUCAUAUAUCUUUGGUAUCCCAAAACAAAAGUAAUAAAUCAGCAAUAAUUCAUCAUCUUUUUCAGUACUCUGUAAAAUUUCUGAUUGAAAUUAUUUAAAAAGUUUCAGCUUUUAAUAUCUUCAGGGGACAGAUUAUGUUAUAUAAUGUUUUAUUGCGGCCUUAUGUUGCAAAACAUGAAAAAGAAAUUGAUCUUAAUUUUUUAAAGCUGAGAAUUAAGGCCAGGGAAAUAGGUCUUCUGCUUUGGGAGAAGGCUGCCAUUUAUGGGCAAGCAAGGUUUUUUGAGAUUUUGCAGUACUUCUCUUCUCACUCAGCUUCAUUGUCUCACUCUGAUCAGGUAAUUGAACAACAUUUUGUAAUCUAUUUUGCUGUCAAUUUUCUCAUUAAGAGACAAAAAAUGUUUUGUUUUGGGAUUUAUGAAAAACGACAGAAAAGUAAGUGGAAAAAUAUAAAAGAAAUUAUAGUGAAUUUUCUUGUUAUAUUACAAUAUAUAGGAAGCAAGUUAAACUGUUUUUGAUUCUGCUGCAGCAGCAGCAAGAAGCUACGGAAGAGGCAGGCAUUUGCCAACAAAAUAUGAGGCUGCUGCUAAAAUGGAAACAAUGCCAGUAUCAUCAUCUUUCCAAGAUGGCAAUUUAAUUAAUUCCUUCAAUCAAAAAGGAGUUUCCACUGAUCAAGCUAUCCCGCAAUCAAGACGCAAAUGGACGUUGUUCAGGACUGCAGCAGCAAGCCAAUAAUAAAGCCCUUGUAUUUUUCUUGUGCCAUUAUGAAGAUGAUUUAUAUACAUGAGAAAUGUAAGUGACAAUAAUUGUAACUCAGAGGCUCUCUAAAUUUAAAGGUGUCUUUGUAUUUUUUUUAAAGGUUGUUUUCAUAUUUAUGUUAUAAUAUAUAUAUAUAUAUAUAUAUAUAUAUUAUUUUUAAUGAAUAUGAAGUUUGUUUUCGUAGUUUGUAUUAAAAUAAUAUUAUUUGAAAAAAUUAUACAAUAAAUUGUAUGUGAAACCCAUUGCUUUUGUCUUGUUUAAGUUAUUAACAAAUUUUAAAUGCAAAAGAAGGGACCUACCGCAAAGAUUGUUCUAGUGCUUGCCUUUGUAUUUUUUUCAAAUGUUGUUUUCAUAUUUAUGUUAUAAUAUAUAUGAUUAAUUUUUAGUGAAUAUGAAGUUUAUUUUGGUUGUUUGUAUUAAAAUAAUAUUUUUUUGAAAAAAUUAUACAAUAAAUUAUAUGUGAGACCCACUUCUUUUGUCUUAUUUAAAUUAUUACGAAAUUUUAAAUGUAAAAGAAAGACUUACGACAAAUAUUGAUCGAGUGUUGUACAAUAAAUUUAAAGGUGGCUUUAUAUUUUUUUCAAACGUUGUUUUCAUAUUUAUGUUAUAGGGUCCAGCUACAUUGCGUCAGGGGUUUGGUACCCCAGUCAUUUGUCCUUUUGCAAAUGACCAUUUAGAUCGUAAAGAAAGGUAAUCAACGGCUGAGGUUUAACACUUACAAAAUGGGUAACCGGCUAUAGCUACAAUAUCAGUAAAAGGAAAACAAAAAGGAAGUAUAUAAUCCUUUGCUCCAGAAGACUCUGGACUUCGUCAAUGAGCCAAACGGGGACAGCCGUUUGCUCCAGAAACUCCCCCUCUUGUACCUCCACGCCGACGCCGUUACCGCCUCCGUCACCAUGCUCUCCGACGCAAGACUCCGCUUGAAUCGGAACGAAUACGACCGCUUCAACAAAAAAUCACAGCCGUUGAACCUCUCCUCCGAGUUGAAGUUCUUGUUGUUAAUCGCCACCGCCACGUCAUCAACGCAUGGCGUGAUUUCAGAACCGUUCGUAGAGGCGGCCGUCUUCGUCGGCAUUUGGAUUUCGGAUAGAGACUCAAGGGACGCAAUCACGAGUCGUAGCAAUGAACUGUCGUCGAGACUCGGUCGGAUUCUCGCCGCCAUUAUGGGAACAAACGGAGACUCGGUCAGAAAAAUUCCAGCUCGGCAUAAGGGAAUUGUGAAGAUGAAAAAAAUUCCAGCUCGGCAGAAGGGACUUGUUUUUCAAAACAAACAAAUUGUGCUUCUGGUAUUUAUUUUUGCUGAUGAAGCUUUUUUUUUUUGGAACAACAUCUGAUGUAGAAGGAGUUUAUAGGGCUAGGAUUAGAAGUUAAAAAUUUCAAAGUGGGUGACAAAGUUGUAGUUGUGCUUGUGAGUGCUAAUUUAUAUAUAUAUUUUUUUUCUUAUCCUUUUAUCUUUAAUUUAUUCUGAAUAAAUUUCUAGUCUUCUUUCACUAUUAGGAAGAUUGAAAUUAAGGUCAUGGAGAAAUUUGGAUGACCGGUUAUUGAUGAUAGGCAACAAAAUAUCAUUUCUUCCAGUUAAGAGAACCCCCAUAUUAGUUAAUAUGGUUGUGGUUGCAACUAUGAUAAUUAGUAAAAUGUCGAAAACACAUUUCUCUUUUUUACACGGUUCAGGUUCUUGACCAUGCUAGCAACUCUGCUUUCCCUAUAAAAAUUUCUUUUUGUUACUGCAAUCUGGUGAUAGAGUGAAUUGAAUGAAUUUUUGGUACUUUCUUUGUUUUGUGCUUGGGUCAAUCAAUAAAAAUAAUUACGUGGCAUUCCAAAGAUUUUAGUGUUGUCAGAUCAGAUUAAAAAAGAAAAGGUGUAAACUGCACGCUGUUGCUUUUGUUGGAUGAAGUUAUAGGCAUGUAUAAAGAUACCACCACUAUAAAUCUUUAUUUCCAAGUCAUAUUUGGUUUUUGGUACAUGUAGUUGGAUAUCUGAGAGCCUUCUGUCCUCAUUCAAAGUUCAUACAUCUUUGGCAUGUGAAGGGUUCAGGUCUUUUCAUCUACGUGAGCGGAGAGGUGAUGCUGCUCCAUCAGGGUUCAGUCUAAUUUUGUAUAAGCUGAUUUCAUCUGUUCAUUUUGUUUCAGUUUUAAAUUUCGUUAUUGAUGACAGAGUGGAGGCAGACUAGCUGAGUUUGCUAUGGCCAAGGAGAGCUUGACAGUUGCUAGGCCGCAAGAAGUUUUUAAGUUUUUGCAACUGAAGUUGCUGGCAUACCUUGUGCUGGUCUCUCUGCUCACCAGGCCCUCACUCAGCUCCUUGGUGUCAACCUAGAUGGAAGUGGCCAACAGAAAAACAUUAUGAUCACUGCUGCCUCAGGGGGUGUGGGUCUCUGUGUCGUUCAGUUGGCAAAGCUUGGAAACACAGACAUGAUCUGCUUCAAGUGAGUGUGUGUGCGUGUUUUAAGAAUCAAUAGAUGAAGUCUGCAUGCUGCCUCAACCACCACUAACCGAGGAAUUUCAUUUACGCAUCUCGUAUUUAGAUUACAAUAUAGUGUAAGCCAAGAACGUAGCAAUUUUUCUAUAAUUAGUUUGUUGUAUUGAUUACAGAAAGGCACCCUUUCAUGAGAUGUAGUUGGGUGCCUCUGCAUUUUCGACAUGGAAGGCUACUUGUUGGCAUUAUUAUAUCACAUAUUAUAUAUUUUAUGCAUCUUCUUUCCCAUGUUGUUCGUUUUUAUAACUGUAAGAUAUAUUCUUUUGUAGAUGUUCUUGGAUCAGCAGUUGGGUUUGCAGUCUUCACAAUUGUUUUACUCUCAUGGGCAUUGACAUUUGCCAUCGAAGGGGAGCAUCUCUUUGGCUCUGCUUGGGAUAAACUAGUAAUGUAUAAUGUUGCUGAGAGAUUAGGCUUGACAGGUUGGAGCUAGUCAUAAUCUGUUUCCGGGCUCAUGAAUCUUAAAACUCAUUUCAAUUGUCCUGUAAAUAGUCUGGUGUUGAAACUUGAAACAACGUACAUUAUGUUGAAGGUAAUAUUGGACCCAUUUUUCUCAAUUUGUAAAAGAACCUUUCCUGUUGAAUCUAGUGGCAGAUUCAUGCUUUUAUCUGAAAAAUAAUGUAUCAUCGCAUAUUUUUUUUAUUAAAAAAAAUUAUAAACAUGAGAACUCCUGAACCUUUCUUUCGUAUGUAUUAACUUUGUUCGAUAAAAAAUUGUCUACCUUGAAUUUUGAAAUUUGAAACGGUUGCUGUAUUCUCAUCUGAUCCGCUGCAAAAAUGCCUUGAUAAUGGGCAAUGUUAUGUGACCAAGCCAGUGUCUCGCAACAUAUUAUUUGGAAAAAUAUGUUCUCUUUUAUUCAUUCAAUUUGAAAACAAUAAUUUGUGCAAUAUUUAAUUGUGCACAGUUUUUAGUAUUAACAAUUGUUUAUUUACCAACCGAUAAUACUUUUAUUUUUUGCUUACUUGAUAAUUUAUAUUUGUUUUUAUGUAAUAUAUUAUGAUUUAUUUAUUAUGUCUUAACUAUAUUUAAUUACUUGUAUUUUUUUGUUGUCUAUAAUAUAAAAUAUUAAUUUCACAUUUUUCAAGUCUCCAAACAGAUAAACCGAUGUUAAUGUUUUAUUCAACAUGUUUGAAAACCUUAACAUUAAUCAAGACCGCCUUAUAAUUGUGCUUCUGUAAAAAAGAUUGACCUUUUUUGUUGACCGGAACUGAUUUUAUGAUUACAUGAGCUUACAAUAGAUAUGAUUGCCUGGGAUAGCUGGUAGUUUUGACUCAAUCUCAACUGUUCAUGAUUUAAUGGUCACGAUUGUCCCAUUUGACAAUGGUUGGUGAAGCAAGUUGUAGUAUUCAUAUCUUUGUAUUCCAGUCAACCCAUUCCACACAUUAACCCCGCAAAUCUCAAUUGUUGUUUGAUCGUAUCAGACGCUUCAAAUUAUGCCACGGGUACUAUUGACUUAAAAAAAUACCAGCCGUUCACUCUCCGUCUAAUGGUUGUGAGGAAAACAUACAUGAAGUUUAUGAUGGACCGCAAAUUACUACAUUAUAAAAUUAUUUUUCUAUCAAUAGAGUCUCAAUUUUUUUUUGGGCAUCUCUCUUCUUCUCAAUUUCUCUCAAACUGCCUGUAAUCUUAAUUUUCAGCUGUGUUUUAAUAUUUUCCAUAAUUUUUUUAUAAAUAAAUUUUGUUUAAUUUUAUAUUUUAAUGUCAAUUACCAUACACAAUAGUCCAUUAUAUUUUUAUCUUUCUUUUUUUUAAUCUUAUCCUUCAUCUCAAUUAAGCCUAUAUUUCUUGGUUGGUGAUUUACUAUUUUUAAUUUUAUUGUUAUUAUUAUUAUUCUAAUUAUCAUCAUCAUUAUCAUCGUUAUUUUUUUAAAUAAUAAUAAUAAUAUUCUUCUUCUUCUUCUUCUUCUUCUUCUUCUUCUUGUUAAUAAUUGGUUUCUAGCCUUACUUAGCGACUUAGCGGCUUGUAUGUUAUAAUUCAACUAAGUGUCAGUUGGAUUCCUUGAACAAAACACCCAUCCUGCAACAAACUGUUGAUCAGAAAAUCUGCGAUAGGGUGUUUGGUUCAUCAAGCUCAAGAUAAUUUUAUCUUAGUUUUCUUCGGGUAAAAGCUCAUUUAGUCCUUGUAUUUUAAGAUUAGUAUCCAUCUGGUCCUUAUAUUUUUAAAAAUAUCUUGAAACAUCCCUUCCGUUAAAGUAUUGAUACCCCUACCAUUACUUUUUAUUUCUUUUGACUUGUUUUUACAAUAUUACCAUUUUAUAAUAAUUUUUUUGGACAUUAAUAAAAAGAAAAUAAUUAAAUUACCAAUUUAACCCUAGAAAAUUAAAAAAUUAUAUUAAUUUUUUUGUAAGCACCAUUUGCACACUUGGUAGUUUGCAUACAAUUUUUUACAAUUAAAAAUUAAUAUAAUUUUUUUUUAUUUUUAGGAUUAAAUUGGUAAUUUAAUUAUUUUCUUUUUUAUUAAUGUCCAAACAAAAAAGUUCUUAUAAAAGGGUAAUAUUAUAAAAGUAAGCGAAAAGAAAUAAAAAGUAACGGUAGGGGUAUUAAUACUUUAAUGGUAUGGAUGUUUCAAAGUAUUUUUAAAAAUACAAAGACUAAAUGGAUACUAAUCUUAAAAUACAUAGACUAAAUGAGUUUUUUCUUGUUUUCUUCUUCUUUUAACUUAUACUUUACCUCAAUUUAGACUGUCAUUUUUUGUUGAUCAAUAUUUAUUUAUUUAUAAUAAUAAUAAUAAUAAUAAUAAUAAUAAUAAUAAUAAUAAUAAUUAUUAUUAUUAUUAUUAUUAUUAUUAUUAUUAUUACCCAGUAAAUAUUUUUUCUUCACAUUUUUUUUCCAAUCUAGUUUUCAUUUACUUUACUCAUGAACAAAAUUUCCACAAAAAAUUAAUUAUACGGUCACUUUACUGUAAAUUAAUGUCACGCUACUUUCAUGAUUAAAUUUGAUAUUUCCCCUUUUUCCCCCAAGUACGCAAUGCAAUACCUGACCCUACCUUUAAAUCCACCUCCUAAAAUUUUCGUCCCUAUUUUUUAAAAUUUCAAAUCCAUCUUACCCCAACCCAUACUUGCACGCUUCCAAUGUCUUGUUUUUAACCAUUACUUGCAUGCACCCUUUUUCCUUUAUUUGCAUGCGAUACUUAACCACUUCCAACCCAUUACAGUCGUUCAUUUUUGGUCAAAAAGCGGAUCCCCUGCAGGUUACCGGGCCAUCACCUUUUUGUCAGGUUACUAGCUACCGUGCUGUGUCUCUUCUUCAGCCAUUAGAUUAAAUCCAACGGUCACUCUGCUACAGACAAAUGACUUAGGUACCAAACUCCUGAUGCAAAGUAGCUGCGCAAAUAUAUAUAUAUAUAUAUGAUUAAUUUUUAGUGAAUAUGAAGUUUGCUUUGAUCGUUUGUAUUAAAAUACUAUUGUUUGAAAAAAUUAUACAAUAAACUAUAUGUGAGACCCACUUCCAUUAUUUUAUUUAAAUUAUUAGAAAAUUUUAAAUACAAAAGAAGCGACCUACAACAAAGAUUGUUUUAGUGCUAUACAUCAAAUUUAAAGGUGCCUAUGUAUUUUUUUCAAAUGUUGUUUUCAUAUUUAUGUUAUAAUAUAUAUAUAUAUAUAUAUAUAUAUAUAUUAAGCUUUUAGUGAAUAUAAAAUUUAUUUUGGUCGUUUGUGUUAAAAUAAUAUUGUUUGAACAAAUUAUAAUGUGAGACCCAUUUCUUUUGUUUUUUUAAAUUAUUAUGAAGUUUUAAAUGCGGGCACGUAGGUCCAUGAUAGUCAUCAUACAAAUAAAACAACAACAAAAAGUCGCCAUAUAAGACAAAAGUUGUCGAAACCCCACAAAGGCUACGGCUACAUGAACUGGAUCUAUUAAUAGAUCCCAUGUAAUAAAAUAUUUUCAAACAAAUAUAGAGCACUGGAUUUGAUGCCUCGUACAAUCAGCGGCUGGAAGUUAUUUUGACAUAGUCGAGAAUUUGCAGCAACAACUUGUGGUGGCCCCGCUGAAACAACAACAGAAAAAGAAAGAGGAACGUUAUUAUUUGUUUACCAACUCGGGAAUCGGAGAAAAGGAGUUGAAAUGAAUAGUUUGUUUACUUGUUAAAUUGAGUUUGAGAAUGAGAAUGAGUUUCAUGACCCUUCAUAAAAAUUUUAGAUUGAUUGCUAGAGUUGUGAUUUAUUAAGAAGAGUUGGGAAUGGAAACUCCAUUUCCUAGAAUAACAAAAUUAUUCCUACUACGUUUUAAAUAUACCCUCUUUAGAAAUUAAAAAAUAUAAAUUGAAAAAAACUGAAAAUUUAUUAUUAUUAUUAUUAUGGAAUUUAGUUAUUAUUGUUGAUAUAAUUGUUGUUGUUGUUGUUAUUUUAUUAUUUAUAUUAUUAUAAAAUUUAUUAUUAUUGUUGUUGUUAUUGUUAUUAAUUAUUACUAUUAUUUGUUUACUUAUUUAUUUAUUAUUAUUUAUCACCAUUAUUAUCAUCACCACCACCAUCAUUAGACAAUAAUUAACAAAAGGUAUUUUAAUAAAUUAUUAAUGAUAUUAAUUUGAAUAUUAUUAUUAUUAACAAUUAUUUUUAUAAUAAUAAAAAUUACAAAUAAUAAUAAUGAUGACGACAACUACGAUGAUUAUAAUAAUAAUAGUUAUAUUAUAAAUUUUAGGAACUUUAAAUUAUUUAACUUAUUCCGAUUCUUAUUUCAAGAUAAAAUAAACACAUCAAUAGAAUUCCAGUCCAUUCCGAUUCUGAUUCAUGUAGCUCAAGUAAACAACUUAUUACGAUUUCCAUUCCUCAUUUCCAUUAUAGCUCAUACUUAUUCCAACCCAUUCAAAUUACUGAUAAUUAGACGCAGCAUUAAUACUGCUCUAAGAAAUUGGUUACUAUUGCUUCUCUUUCUUUUUCAAAAAUAAAAAAUAGCAUGGAUACUUUUUUCGGUAAAUGUUUGUUGAACAAUUCUAAUUACAAUUUUAAUUAUAUUUACGAUUGAUAAUUUCAGUUGCACUUUCUUACAAUUAAAAUUACAAUUGCAAUUAUAAUAACUACAUCAAUAAUUUCAAUUUCAUUUUUUUAUUAUUAAUUCCAAAUUUAAUUUAAACAACCGUUACAACUUUAAUUUCAAUUGUAAUUCCAUUUACUUUGUUACAAUUACAAUUUUAAUCCCAAUUACAAUAACAAUUGUACUCGUAAUUCCAUCGACAGUUACAACUAAUAAUAUUUUUAUUCUAAUAAUAUUUAACAACAAUUACAAUAAGAAUAACGAUAAUCAAAUUGUAUUUGUAACAAUAAAUAGAAUAACAACUGUAAUUACAAUUUUUUUAAAGAUACAAUUGUAAUUACAAUUGCAAUUAUGAUCACAAUUAUAAUUGUAUUAUUAAGUGUAAUUAAAAUUAAAAACACAGUUGCAAUUACGCAAGAACAAUUACAAUAGCCGUAACAAUUACAAUUACAACUUCUAUUACAUUGAUAAUUACAUAUCCAAUCGCAAUUACAAUUCUAGUUGCAAUUACAAUUUCAAUUAAAAUCCCUAUUAUAAUCACAAUUCCAAUUCCGUAUUUCCAAUCAUAAUGUGUUCUUUUUGUCGUUUGGAUAAUCCUGCUUAAUUUGAUAACUUAACGGAUCCCUCAUCAAUUACAUUAUAUAUAUAUAUGUGUGUGUGUGUGUGUGUGUGUGUGUGUGUGAGUUGAAGAUUAUAAAAUGUUUGGUUGACAGGAAACUUUCUUAAACUACAGAGAGAAAAUAUUUCAGACUGAAUUCAUUAUUAUUAAUAUGUAAAAAUGAAAUGACGGAUUACAAAACUUUAUAUACACAAGUCUGGAAGAUUCUACAACACCAGAUGCAUGUGAAUCAGCUUAACAACCUUUAACAAAUUAUUAGUGGGAAAACAAUAACAAACUCUGAAAUCUGUUUUGACAUAAGUAACUGUAAGCUGACGUGGCUGCUGACUUAGCUGCUGACAUGGACAUUACGAUUUAUUCUUAACAUUCCCCCUUAAGCUCAAGGUCUGGGACAGACAUUGAGCUUAGCUCUCAUAUAAGCAAAAUGAUCAAAGCUAAGUGGUUUAGUGAGUACAUCUGCCAACUGAUCUGAGCUUGAUACAUGUUCAACAACAAAUUCCUUCUUUGCAAUGUGUUCUCUCACAAAGUGUAAGUCUAGCUCAAUGUGUUUGGUGCGUGAAUGGUAUUUGGGGUUACUUGCCAGAGCUUCUGCACUUUUAUUAUCACAGUAUAAAAUAGGUGUGUUGUUGAGCUGCACUUUGAGUUCCUGCAACAGAUAUGAAAUCCAUAGCACUUCUGAAGAUGUCAAGGCUAAUGCCCUAUAUUCUGACUCAGCUGAAGACCGAGAAACAACAUUCUGUUUCUUAGAUGACCAGGACACAAGAUUUGACCCAAGAAAAAUGCAGUAACCACCUACAGAUCUUCUGUCAUCAGGGUCAGAACCCCAGUCUGCAUCUGAGAAGGCUGUGAGAGAAAGAGAUUUUGAAUUAUAGAAUUGAAUCCCAUAAUCAGCUGUACACUGAAGAUACCUCAGAACCCUUUUACAGGCUUGCCAGUGAAGCACAGUAGGAGCAGCUAAGAAUUGACUCAGCUUGUUUACAGUAAAGGCUAUAUCAGGCCUUGUUAGAGUUACAUACUGAAGAGAUCCAAUAACACUUCUGUAAAGAGAAGGAUUCUCAAACUUAGUACCCUUAUCUUUAUACAAUUUGUCAGCAGCACUCAUUGGAGUAGUACAGCCUUUGCUGCCAAGCAUAUGAGCCUUCUGUAAGAUGUCUCCAAUGUACUUGGUUUGUGAAAGGUGUAACCCAGCACUUGAUGGAGUAACCUCUAACCCAAGGAAAUAGUUGAAGUCACCCAAGUCUUUAAGGGCAAACUCAGAACCAAGCAGUGUAAUAAUUUCUUCUAUUUGUGCAUUGCUAGAACCAGUGACUAAGAUAUCAUCUACAUAGAUGAGAACAGCUAAAACAUCUGAACCAGUGUGCUUAAGAAACAGAGAGGUAUCUGAUCUAGAAGUUUGAAACCCCCACUGUAAUAGAGAACCCUUUAAUCUAUCAUACCAAGCACGAGGUGCUUGCUUAAGACCAUACAAGGCUUUAUUUAACUUGCAGACAUAAGUUGGAUGUUGAGAAUCAAUAAAUCCCUCAGGCUGAUGCAUGAAGACUUCUUCAGUUAGGACACCAUUCAGGAAUGCAUUAUUGACAUCCAGCUGUCUAAUGGUCCAAUGAUUCAUCACAGCAAGGCUCAGAAUAAUUCUAAUGGUACAAGGCUUGACAACAGGGCUGAAAGUCUCAAAGAAAUCCACACCAUAGGUUUGAUGAAAACCUUUUGCAACUAAUCGUGCCUUAUACUUAGAGAUACUUCCAUCUGGGUUAUAUUUAACUCGAAACACCCAUUUAUUUCCAACAAUCUUGGUGGCUAAGUCAGCUGGCACAAGAGUCCAGGUUUCAUUAUUCUUCAAGGCAUGAAACUCUUCUGUCAUAGCCAUAGACCACUUUUGAUCUGAUAAAGCUAUUUUGACACUAGUUGGUUCAAUAUCUUGAAUAGCUGUAAGGUAAGUUUUGGGUUUGAAGAUUCCUGCUUUGGCUCUUGUAAGCAUUGGAUGAGUAGGAACUGUUGAUAAGGAUGGUUGAGGAAAGGCUACUGAUGAAUGUUGGAUAGAUGUGUGAGAGUGAUCACUUGAGGAAAUAGGUGAAGAAUGAGUGUUUAUUUGGGGCAAGGAAAGAGAAUUUGGAGAUGGUGGCACUGCUGGAACUGCUGAUGAUGAUGGAGAUUGCUGUAUUGAGCUACUGUCAUGAAGAAUACAGAAUGAAGGAGAAGAAAUUUGGACUGACUCUGACAUUGAGCUAGAAGAAAGAAACAAUUUGGAAUAAGGAAAUUCAUGUUCAUUGAAUUUAACAUGAACAGCAAUGAAAACUCUCCCUGUUUUAUCCAGACAUUUGUAACCCUUGUGAAGGGGACUAUAACCUAUAAACAAACACUUUUGAGAAUGAAAAUCAAGUUUGUGUUGAUUAUAUGGUCUAAGUAAAGGAUAACAAGCACUGCCAAACACUCUAAGGAAAUCAUAAUUUGGUGACUGCUGAAACAACUUUUGAUAAGGUGAUUGAUUGUUUAAAACUGUGGUUGGCAUUCGAUUAAUGAGGUAAGAGGCUGUGUGAAAGGCUUCCCACCAGAAAGUGACAGGCAUAUGAGCUUGAGCAAGAAGAGUUAACCCUGUUUCAACAAUAUGUCUAUGCUUCCUCUCAACCACACCAUUUUGAUGAUGUGUGUGAGGACAGCUGUACCUAAGUUGGAUACCUUCUUGGUGAAGAAAAGAAGUAAAGGCUUUAAACUCUCCCCCCAUGUCAGAUUGUAAUGUUUUGAUAGGGAGACUAAAUUGUUUUUCUACCAGGGCUUUGAAGUUUUUGAAGGUACCUAAGGCAUCUGAUUUUAGCACAAGAGGAAAGAUCCAACAGUACCUAGUAUAGUCAUCAACAAAGGAGAUGUAAUACUUAUAGCCUUCCAUAGAAAGUACAGAGGCUGGUCCCCAGAGGUCUGUAUGGAUUAACUCAAGAGGAUUUUUCGAUUUGAUUUCAGUUGCUGAAAAAUGAAAUUGAUGUAGUUUACCAAGUUGACAAGCAUUGCAGAAUUCAAGUUGUUGUUUAUUAUCAGAAGAAAUGUUGAUACAGCUGUUUCUCAAAAGAGUUUGAACAACAUGCUUACUUGGAUGACCAAGUCUAUUAUGUAAAAGACUAACUGAAACAUUGCUGGAAGCAUGAAAGCUUACUGGAAAACCAGACUUUAUUUGCACAGACAAAGGGUUAACACAGGUUUGAUGAGAAGAAAAAACUGACACCAUAGAACUUGGUUGUUGAACUUUUGAAUCAAAAGGAAGAAAUGACUCUUCAUAUGACAGCAGCUUAUACAACCCUCCUUCAACAAUCCCCUGAGCCAGCAGUGUUCCCUUCACCUUGUCCUUUAGAAAACAGACAUCAGAUGUAAAUUCAAUUGUGAUGUUACUGUCAACAAGAAGCUUGGAAACACUUAUAAGGUUUUUGGUAAUUUUUGGAACACAUAGGGUAUUAUGAAGAUAAAUGCAUGAACCAACAGAAGUAUGUAAGCAUGCAUUCCCAAUAUGUGUGAUUUGAAGACCUUGUCCAUUGCCUACAAGUAAAGAAUUUGUGCCAAAAUAAAUUUUACCAUCAGUUAAGUUCUGGGCUGAGUUGGUAAGGUAGUGAGUAGCCCCACUGUCAAGAUACCAACCCUGAUCAGCAACUCCCUCAGAUGUUGCCAUGUAGGCUGAUUUUGGUCCCUGAUUUGGAUGGUAGCCCUGAGCUGGAAAGUUGGGAGCAAAAUUUCUAUUAAAUCUGUCUCUACAAUCAGCAGCAGUGUGGUUAUACCUGAAGCAAAUCUGACACAUAACUCCUCCUUGAGCAAAAUUCUUUCUAUUACCCCCAAAACCACCUCUGCCAAAGCCACCAGCAUUAGAGUUUCCAUUAUUAAAAUUACCAGCUAAACCUCCACUGUUAAAGUUACCACCACCAUUAUUAAAACCACCAGCAAAGCCUCUUCCAGCAUUAGGAUUUCCAUUCCAACUACCUCUUCCUUGACCUUGAUAUCCUCCACCUCUACCAGCAAAGUUUUGAUUCCAGUUUUGAUUCCAGUUUCCACCUCCAUUUUUAUUCCAAUUAUUCUGAUUAUUACCAUUACCUUUCUUUUGAAAAUUUCCAGUUUGAGCUACAUUAGCCAUAUAGUUGCUUUUAGCUUCUUUAUUGUCAACAAUCUUACUGUUUUCAAGUCUAGCCUCAUGUGUCAAUAACAUAGCAUAGGCUUCACUUAGAUCCAUAGUCAACAUGUUUGCUUCAAUGUAAACAACUACAGGAUAGUAGGAGUGAUCUAAGCCAGUGAUAAGAUGAGUGAUUAGAUCAAUGUUACUUAAAGGACUUCCAGCCAAAGCAAGACCAUCAGAAAUUGUUCUAAGUUUUGUGAAGUAUUCAGUCAUAGACAGAGAUCCUUUUCUUAGAUUACUAAGAAGCAUUUUAAGGUGAACCUUUUUAGCCAUUGAUUCUGAUCCAAAUUGUUUUUCCAGAUUCUUCCAUAACUCAAGAGUAGUUUGUGAGCUUACCACGAGACUUAGAAUCUCAAGACUCAUUGAGGACAUUAUCCAGCUGAGCAGAAGCUGAUCUUGACGUUUCCAUGCAACAAAAUCUGGAUUUUCACGACCUUCUCCACUUGCUUCACCAGAUCCAGAUCUAUUAGGAAGAAAUUGCUCUGGACAGAGUUUUGAUUCAUCGAUGUAGCUCUCAAGACCAUUCCCACGAAUUGAAGAGAGUACUUGUUGUUUCCAGAUCGUGUAAUUUGUGCGAUCAAGUUUGAUUGGUGUGGUAAAGGUAAAGGAUGUUCCAGACGAGACAUGAGUUGAAGAAUUAAAGCUUGAAGAAGCCAUCACGUGGCUCUGAUACCAAGUUGAAGAUUAUAAAAUGUUUGGUUGACAGGAAACUUUCUUAAACUACAGAGAGAAAAUAUUUCAGACUGAAUUCAUUAUUAUUAAUAUGUAAAAAUGAAAUGACGGAUUACAAAACUUUAUAUACACAAGUCUGGAAGAUUCUACAACACCAGAUGCAUGUGAAUCAGCUUAACAACCUUUAACAAAUUAUUAGUGGGAAAACAAUAACAAACUCUGAAAUCUGUUUUGACAUAAGUAACUGUAAGCUGACGUGGCUGCUGACUUAGCUGCUGACAUGGACAUUACGAUUUAUUCUUAACAGUGUGUGUGUGAAAUCUAUUGAGAUUUUAGACAUAAAUAUUUAUAAUACACUCCACAGAUAUGUUUAACAUUAAUUUUAAAAAUAUACCUCAAAUAUGUAGGGAGAUAUCUACCUUUAUUUAAAAAGAAUGAGUCUCAUGAAAAUAAGACUCACAAAUUAAUUCCUAGGAGAAAUAAAUAAAAUAAGAGAAUGACAAUCUUUAGAUUCAAACUCAUUCCCACGACAACUCCAAGGAUACGAUGGCCAGAUACAAAGCUUCUUUUAGAAUUUCUUUGAAAUUUUUUAUUUUUAAAUGAGUUUUACAAAAUUGCCCUCAACCAUCCAAGAGAUGCUAAACAGAGUAUAAAUGGGCAGGGAGAUAUUUGGUAGUUCAGAAAUAUAGUCUAUCUGAGUGACCUUAAACCUCACGAAAGGUUUUUAAAAAGGCUAUGGUUAUGUUGGAUUUCACCUACUCAACCAUACACACAAAGUAAUAAAUAGUAAAAAUUUCAUUAUAACUCAUUAUUUAUUAUUUAUCACUUUGCGUGUGUGACUGUGAUUCGUGCCCCACCGUAAGUAAACUCUAACAUAACCGAACCCAAAAAGACUAUUACUCCUCAUCAUAGAUGAUAAGGCACAUGCACCAUUUCACUUUCCACCUUUCAAUUCACACUAAUAUAGAAUAUAUAUAUAUAUAUAUAUAUAUAUAUAUAAAAACAAAAAAACAAAAAACAAAAACAAAGAAAACGAAGCCACGAAGUCAAUAGCAACUUAUGAAACAUGACCCGGACCUUGCUAUUAAACCUCAAUCAUUUUUCAUGCUUUUGGAAGUCACCAGAUCUGUGAGCUAGCUGCUCUCGUUUUAGUAUGUUACUUUUGCUUCCUAUAUCACUUACAGUUAUUAUUUCAAUCUUUUUUUUUUUAAGAAUGAAAGAUUUGACUGAGAAUAAGGAGUUGUAUAUGAUGUUAAUUAGCUAGAUAUAUCCUAUGUUGGUUUGAUCUGAUGUUUAUUUAUAUUGCUAGAUGCAGCUUUUAAUUUUCUCUGAGCUUGUGCGACUCUCUAGCUAGAGCUUUCAGCAGUAACUGAAGAUAUAAACGGAAGAAGGUAUGAGAUAUUAUUGCUUCAUAGGCUCUUGCCUCCUAGUUUGAUGUUUGUUUUACUUAAUUCCCAUGGCUAUACUAGUUUGUUUUAUGCCAAUUCUGACCGUUGGAUUAAAACGUACGGAAAAGAUGAUUGAGAGUUUAAGUUCCAAGUUUUUAAUGCGAUUUUUUAUUACAUUAAUUUUCAUUCAUUUAUUUGUAUUAAUUCUAAAGUUAAAGACAAUUGAUUAACGGCAAUCACCUCCAAGUCACUUCUGUUGAACGUACCUUAUAAUUAAAAUUAACUUUCGAGCCGUCCUAUCUUCUGGCCUCUUAGUCUUUCAAUCCCAAGUACCCACAUAAGUCCAUUAUACUCUCUGUUUACUUCAUGAUUACUAAUAUAUAUCUUAAAUUCUGCACGUAAAGUUAUUUUGCAGUUUAUCUUCAUAUAAAUUAUACGAACUCAAAUUUUCAUUAUGCAAAUUAUUCAAUUCUAACUCAAACAUUAAAAAAAUCACAAAAAUUACUCAAAACAUCUAUAUUCUAUAUUUGUUUCGAUUAAAACUUAAUUAAUAUUCUUUACUUUUCAUUUGCUGCAUGAUAGAUUUGUUUGAUUUUUAAUUUAUAUUAGACAGAAAAUACUAUUUUGCGUUUGAAAAGUAUGUUCAAUAGCUAUAGUAGGUCCAAAUUUUAGAGACUAAAAGAGAAUUUACCCCAAUCUUUACCAUCCCAAACAAAGUGUUAUUUGCAUCAAUUAUGUAGUAAAAUAGAGUAAUAAAUAAUUAAAUUAGUCAUCGAAUAGAUGAGUGUUUGAGGAAAAAAAAAUUCUUAAAAUAUUAUUUGAGAUUUAUGGAAUUAUUGUAUUGGAAUAUUGAUUGAAGUAAAAAUGGGAUAAUUAUCUUCAAAUUUUAUCAGGAGUGGGCUUGCAUAAGAUCUUGAACCCCUCUAAUCUCUAAUACUCUUUUUAAAUUUAAUUAUGGAUGGCUUUUUAGUUUUCAUCACUCUUAGUCUCUUACCAGAUUCCCCCAUGUAACUGCCUGUCUUCACUCGCAAUGCACAACUGAUUCUUCGGUUUAUCUAGAUUCUGUUAAAUUUGUUGUUUGAUAUUUUUAUUUAAAAAUUUCUAAAGUAAUCUAAUUUCAAUAUAAUCCACCAUAUAUUACGUUUACCUUAUUUCUUCUCUUCUUUUUGCAGCUAAAGGCUACUUAAAGUCUGGCGUUUGCAUUUUGCUCUUAUUGAUCAAAGCCGGCAUUAAUAAACGUGCAUUCGCAGAAUAGAAGAAAGUACUUAAACGUUCAGUAAAAAGUAAUUAAACAUUAUCGUUCGAUCUUGUGAUCAAGCCUCGUUGUUUUGCUUAUAGCGUACUGAGAUCAACUUUGUUAAUUGCAGAUAAAUAGCAUGGAAAUUUUAUCAGGUAUUGCAUCAAAGCUUGGAGAAUUAUUGGUGGAUGCUACCAUAAAACAAGCUCGCUAUCUGUUCUGUUUCAACAGCAUUGUUAAAGAACUUGAGGAUAAAGAAACUAAUUUGAAGAAGGAAAAAGAUGGCAUCAAUGAAAGAGUAGAACAAGAACGACAAAAACACUGCGCUAUAGUAGUUGAGAAAGAUGUAGAGAAGUGGCUGGCAGAUGUAGUCAAAGAAAUGGCCGAUGUCCGAACUUUGAAAGCAAAGAUAGAUAAAAAGAAGAGUUGCUUCAAUGGAUGGUAUCCUAAUUGGCGUUUCCGAUAUUGGAUGGGUAGAAAAGUAUCAAAGGAGACUCGCAAGCUGUCCGAUCUACAAGACCGCGGCAAAUUCAGCACAGUUGCCCUUCCUAAACCUCUACCAUCAGACAAAGAAAUGCCUAUUCCAAGAUUUUUUUCUUCUUUCGAGACUACCGAAUCGGCUUGCAAUCAGAUCAUUGAAGCACUGAAAAAAGAUAGCACAAAGAUGGUGGGAUUGCAUGGUCUCGGUGGUGUAGGAAAGACAACCCUGGCAAAAUUUGUGGGCAAUCAACUUCGGCAAAACAACAUUUUCGAUAAGGUGGGGAUAGCCACUGUAUCUCAGGAUCCAAGCAUAAUAAAUGUUCAAAGUGAGCUGGUAAAGUCGUUAGGUUGGGCAUUAACGGAGAAAGAUGAAGAAGAUAGAGCAGACCGAUUGCGCUUGAUGUUCUCUGAGAGUAAAAGCCGCAAGAUACUCGUAAUCCUUGAUGAUGUCUGGAAAGAGCUCGACUUGGAGACAAUAGGUAUUCCCGUCGGUGAUAGAGACAAUUGCUGCAAAAUCCUUCUAACUACACGCCUGCAGCAAGUUUGUUAUCGCAUGGGUUGUGACCCGCGGAUUAAACUAGAUGCUCUAGACCAAGCAGAAGGAUUGGAUUUACUAAGAAAGCAUGCUGGCAUUGACGUUGCUGAUAAAACCAUGACUGAUGUUUCAAAACGAGUUGCUGAUGAAUGUAAGGGGCUGCCUUUAGCUAUUAAAGCUGUUGGAAGUGCACUAAGAUUAAGAACUGCUGAUGAAUGGAAUGUAGCACUAGAUAAACUACAAAAUGCAAAACUCGAUAAGAUAGAAGGUAUUGAUAAGGAUUCCCGGGGCGUUUACGGUUGUCUCAAAUUUAGUUAUGAUUAUUUGAAUGGUGAGGAUUCCAGGUCGUGCUUCUUGUUGUGUUCGCUGUUUCCAGAAGAUUAUGAGAUAGAUUUGGAGGAUUUGCUUGGAUAUGCAGUGGGGUUGGUUUGGUAUCAAGCUGAAUCAAUCGAAAAAGCCAGAAGCCUACUGCGUGGAACGAUCAAAGGACUCAAAGAUUCUUCAUUGCUGUUAGACACUGAUGAUGACAGAUUUGUGAAAAUGCAUGACGUAGUUCGCGAUGUAGCCUUAUGGAUAGGCUCAGAGGAGAAGAAAUUUUUUACUAGUAAAGUUGGCUUUGGAUUGGCGGAAUGGGCAGUGGAAGAAGGCCUAGAACAAUACAGAGGAAUCUCUUUGGUGGGAAAUGAAAAAGAAGAGCUUCCUAGUGGUUUGGUAUGCCCUAACCUUCAUAUUUUGCGAUUGGAGAAUACUGAAUAUGACAACAAAUUGCAAGUUCCGGAACAUUUUUUCAAAGAGAUGCCAGCAUUGAAAGUUGUCACUAUAAUAGGUGGAGUUCUUUCACUUAAAUCACUUCAGAUCCUCACCAACCUCCAGGUUCUGCAGUUGAUUCGAUGUGAGGUGACUGACGCGUCUUUCCUUGGAAAGUUAAGGAUACGUCAAAUACUUUAUCUCGAGAAGUCUCCCAUUGAAAUUCCAGAUGGAUUGAGGGAUGAACUUUGUAGAUUGAAACUUCUGUAUAUUGAUACUGGCUCCAUUUCUCCCAUUACGAUAAAAAAAUUUCCUCAAUUAGAAGAAUUUUAUGGUUGGAUAAAAAAUUGGGAGGUUGAAGGGAUGAGUUCAGAAGAAAGUUAUGCUGGGCGUGCUGAGUUGAAGUCCCAACCCGACGAAUCCGUUGUAUGUCUUCCAAAAGACUUUUCAUUUCCGAAAUUACAAAGGUAUGACAUCAAUAAAGUUGACGGCGAUGGUUUUGUAAUUUAUAGAGGGACAAGGUACUUAUGCAUUGAGAAUAACCAUAAAGCAACACUAGUUAUUUUUUCAGCAUUGUAUCCAGAAUUGGAAAAUCUUUAUCUAAAAAGGGUAAGAUGUUGUCAUAAUAUUGUGCCAAGCAUAGAUGAAAGUGGAUUAAAUGAGUUGACUUUUCUUGACGUCGACUAUUGCGAAGAUUUAGAAUGCAUAAUGGAUGCCUCUAAGUCACCGCAUGGAAAGAGUGGGAAUCCUGUGAUGCUCUCAAGAUUAGCAGAGUUAUAUAUGUCAGAAUUACCAGAACUGAAGUGGAUAUGGAAGGCGCCCGCCCAACAUGUGAUCAGCCUCCAAUCUCUUACAGAAUUAAAUGUGUCACGGUGCAACAAUUUGACAUAUAUCUUCACGUUGUCACAAGCUCGAAGUUUGGUGCAGCUUAAAACUCUGCAAGUGAGUUAUUGCAAGAGACUGGAAUGUAUCAUCGAAGCAAAAUUUGAUCAUAAUGAAGGGGAAAUAAGUGCAGUGUAUGGAAAUACAAUACUCGAGCUCCCUUUGUUGAGAAAAUUAAGAUUUGAAGGUCUCCCCGAACUCAUCAGCUUCUGUUCAGAAAAUUAUUAUUUAACUUGGCCGGCAUUGGAAGAGUUAGAUGUAAGCAGCUGUCCUAAAUUGACUGUCAACAGUACUGAACUUGAAGCCAAUUUGCAGUAUCUUGGAGAGGUAUGUUCGUUUGUGUUUAUGUUUUUUCAUUCCUUUUUCUUCAAUUUUACUCAAAAAGAUGGUUUAUCAAAAACUUUUGUGAUCAUUCAUUCAUAUCACCUUGCAUUUGGCCGUGUUGAGAUGAAGAUGAUGGUGGUGGUAAUGGUGAUGAUAAUAAUAAUGAUCCUUGAGCAAAUAUCUUUGUUUUAGGGCCUAAAAUUCAUUCUUCAAAUAAAAGUCGUAUCUCGUUUUACUUUAUAAAAAAACUGGAUGCAAGCACUUGUAAAGUAUAUAUAUUAUUAGUCAAAUUCAAUUCAUUAGUUAAUUUAACCAUAGAAAUAGAAUACUAAUUUUUCUCAAACAAACCGAUGUCACUGCUAUAUCACUUCACAUGAUCUCUUUCAAUGAAUUUCUUUUUCUUUUUUAUAAAUUCCUUACUUUCACAGAGUAUAAUUAUUUUAUAAGUUUACAUGUGUAGUAUUAUAUUUUUGUAGGGAAUUGUUUUUUUUAAGUAUUUGUCGCUUAAUUGUCGAUUUGACAAUCCUAGCUGCUAACAAAUUUUAAUUACAUCAAGUUAUUUAUUUAUUUGUCUCAGAAAUUACGAAUUCUACGAGUAGGCAAAUGCUCCUAUUUGCGUGACACAAUUGACGAUCUGUUGAAGCACGGCUUAAAAAAUUUGGAAACAUUGUAUAUUGGAGAACUUAGAGUACAAGUGAUAUUUCAAGUGGAAGCUAUUAUCGCUGAGGGACAAGAAAACAAACUAUUCCCAUGUUUGAAGACGUUGUGGUUGGAAAACCUUCGAGAACUGCAAGUAUUAUAUCAUGAAGGUCCUACGCAUAAUUUUAGCCUGCAAAGUCUUACCUAUUUAAGCGUGGACGGGUGCGCUAUGCUGAGACGUCUUUUCUCAUCAACACUUGCUCGAAAUCUGUUGCAAUUGGAGGAGUUAUUCAUUCAGGGUUGCUGGGAAUUAGAGCAAAUCAUUGAUGAGGAUGAGGAUGAGGAUCAUCUCCAACCUGUAUGUUUCCCAAAACUCACAAGGAUCUCUGUGUAUUAUUGCCCCAAACUAAAGCAUCUAUUUCAUAUCAGCGUAGCUCCAAGUCUUCAAAAACUGAAGCACCUAUCUCUAGCAGCUAAUGAUGAAUUAGAAGAAGUAUUCUGGCAUAAAGAUGGAGCAGACGUCACGGAUUACAAUGAAAUUGUUAUGAAUGAACUUCGGGGGUUGGAACUGGGAGAUUUACCAAACCUCACCAACUUUUGGCCUGCGGGUUAUCAGAUCCCAUUUCCAUCUGCAUCCGAUGAAGAUGUUCGUAAUUGUCCCAAGCUUCGUC